rnacentral:lncRNA from 1 species
AGAGCGAGCUCUGAAAGCAUAACAACUAAGCCAUAGAAGAUAUUAUGAAGCUUUUGGUCCAAGAUUCUUCUGAAUUCUUGGAACGGAUGGAAUCAAGGGCAGGAAUGAUAUUUGCUCUGUAUCGCCACAAAGAUAACCUGAAUUGGUAAAUACCGUCUAAGUGCAGCGUGUGGCUUAGGCUCCAUAUGUAAGACUCACAUUGCAUUGUAUUUUGUAAUUUGUACAUGAUUGUGAUGGUUCCAAACUUAGUUUAUCUAUUUUCGUGGGUUUUCUCUCCAUUUGUUAAUGAAAUCAGGAUCAUGUAGUCCUGGUCAUCAUCAUCAAUUCAGUUUUGGUUUCUGAUCAUGUUGCAUAGUAAUGCCUGGCCCAAGAUUAAUCUAUCCGAAAAGGUCACCCUUCCUCAUACUUGUUUUGGUGAUAUACCAGUGGCUCAUUCAAGUUAUCAAAAAAAAAAUUGGCCUGUAGAGAAGGUUCAUAGUGUUCGUCAGUUCAGAUUCUGAUCAUAAUAUUUUUCUUAAAGAAACUACGCAACCCAUGAACUUACGGAUCUGUGUUUGGAUCAAUGGACUAAUUUUUUGUUCGGGUCACAUCGGAUAUUUGGAUACCAACUAGAAGGACCAUCUAAGUGACCGUAUCUUUGGUGCAUGCAAUGAACCGAAGAAAUAAAAGAAAACAACACCAUCGGAUGUUCCAAUGGCCCCCAGAAGGCGUUGGAUUAAGCGUCGGAAGUUUUGGUACGCUGCGGAAGAAAUAAGGCAAAGUCAACCAUCGGAUGCUCCCACCAGGUUGCCACGAAGCGUGACAAUUUUAUUUGAUUCUGAAUCUUAUACUGCCUUAUAUCCUUAUCAGGUUGAAAUUUGUUGUUCUGGCAGUGUUCUUAUUAUCCUAACAACCUCAUCCAUUGAUGCGUAACUAAUGCUUGAAUCUGUAAACUAAUGCAUAGGGACACGUUUCUAUCGGAUUUAUCACAUUUGGAUGCAUCAUAAUCUUAAUGUCAGUAGCCUAAUGGAAAGAAACGAACUGAAAGUUCGUGAUGCGGUCACAAAAUGAUAAUCUGCAAUUGUAUAAAGUUACACUCCAGAAAGUGAUCCAGGAGAUACUCGACCAGGCACACAGUGCAUCUUUCUAGCAUAAUAACCUUCUUCUCAUGUCUGCCCAAUGCCCAAGGAUCCAUGUUCAGAAUCUUUAAAUCUGUAAAGCUGUGGCCUGUUGCAUGAUGAAAAUUAACAAUCCUCUAAUGAACUGUUGUGCAUUUGGUUAAGAAAUACUUUUGAAGAAAGCAUUCAGUUAAUAAUUAACUUUCUUCACCGAAGGGUUAACUAACAUGUCUGCAGUCACAAACAUCUCAGAGCUUUUGGAGAUGAUCACUAUAGGGCAUAGGCAUAGCUAGAACAGAAACUUAGCUUCACGUUUUCUUGAACAAGCCUUUUUUUUGCUUCACUUUGAGGCAAAGUUCAAGAGUAAAUAAAGAAUUGUUCCGUAUUUGUGAAAAAGUGAAUGCUUUUGAUUUUUUUAUUUCUUAAGAUGUGGAAUUUAGGAAUGUCCAUUUAAUAGACCAACUUCUAAUUUGAUUUCGAUUUGAAAUGCCAUGUUUAGUGCCAGAGCCUCAGCUUGAUACCUUUGUCUUCUGCAAGACUAAGAGUGACGUAGCAGCCUUCCAGCUAGAUGACAUGUUUAGCACACUUCAAAUCUUGAUUUGCACCGUUACAUGCUUUGCUUACCUGUGAUGCUUCGAUGCAGUAUAGAGGAGGUUGUGGACUUGGUUGCCGACGACUUGUAUGUUCUCGGUACAAGUCCAUCAAGGGCCUUGUCGAGGCUGGCCGAAUCGACCUUAUCUGAUGUCAAAUCACAAAUUCGUACUUGUAAAAGUGCGAGCUCUGAAAGCAUAACAGCUAGGCCAUAGAAGAUAUUAUGAAGCGUUUGGUCCAAGAUUCUUCUGAAUUCUUGGAACGGAUGGAAUCAAGGGCAGGAAUGAUAUUUACUCUGUAUCACCACAAGGAUAACCUGAAUUGGUAAAUACCGUCUAAGUGCAGCAUGUGGCUUAGGCUCCAUAUGUAAGACUCACAUUGGAUUGUAUUUUGUAAUUCGUACAUGAUUGUGAUGGUACCUAUCGGUCUUUAAACCCGACAACCUACCCAGGGGAGUACCUGGGAUAGAGUUUUGGUUGGUGGGUGUCGUCGAAAUCAGGAACUUGAUGGUGUACGUAGGCACGCAAUUUAGAUAGGUUCAGACCGCUAGAUCGCGUAAUACCCUACGUCCUAUGUGUCGUUUUCUUGUAUUGGAUUGAAUUUUUUUUUGAGGGGCCCUGCUCGCCCUUAUAUAUCGGGAGCGCAGGGUUACAGGUUAGUUAUCUUACAGGAGUACUAGUCAGAUUCGACUAGAGAGUCCUACUCUAACUGUUACGAGUAGUUUUUUGAGUCCUCGACUAGUUCCUGUCCUCCACGUAGACUACGCCGCCCUGCACCGUAGUCUUCAUGUCUGACACGUCUCAGUGCACAGUCCUGUAUACGGAUCUGCCCAAACCUUCCUGUGGGCUUAUAGAUGUAUGUAUGACAAGCCCCUAAGUACGUUUUAGUCAAAUGCAGCAGUCUUAAGUACCUUCAUAGGCUUCAUCCGACUAGUUUUUAGUGCUCUCCUAAGCACUCUAUCAAGGUUGAGUCUUUAAGUGACUCGAGUACUGUCAUGCGGCUAGAAUGUGCUCAAGCCUCAUUUGAUGUUGCCUUAAAUGUCUGUCCUUGAAUUUAUAUAUGGAAGUGUGAUGAAAAUCGCACUCCAUAUGGAGUAGCCCCUGAGCAUUAGGUUGAAUCGAAAAAUCAGGCUGAGGGUCAGUCUGCAUCUUCAUUGUCUUUGCCUUGAACUUCAAAACAAAAAACUUUCCUACUGAUGAGCACGUGGCACACAACCCCCGAGCCGUUACUCGACUAGUUUCAGGAGGUAUAAGGGUUAAUCAAUAGUCACCGUGACCAUUUGCCAACAGUAAUAUUAUCUCUUGUGAAAAUUUCAGUAGCUGACGACCAUAUGCGAAUUUUGCGGCUGGGGGCGAUAACCCAUUCAUUUUGCGGUAGCUUGCGCGUCAGAAAAAGGCAAGGUCAUUACCUCCGUUUACUCCACCUCUAUUAUAAACAGACAGGAGAAGUUACCUCUCCCAUUUACUUUGCCAUUUGCAUCUGCUAUUUGCCUUUGCUAAAAACCCUAGCCCCAAGCGCCGCUGCAGUCCAAUCUUAGAUCGCCAACACCGUCUCCCCCCUAUCGAGUGCCCAAGUAUAUGCGCGUGAAGAGGCUUGCAACAAUCAGGAUGGGGAAGAAAGCUGCUGGUGCCAAAGGUGAUGAGGGUUCCAAGAAGGGAUCCAAAAAGGGGAAGGAGCCACGGCUGCCUCCGCCCAAGUACAGGAAAAUGAACCAGACCGUGCUACCAAAUCAGGCCUUGGCUUUGAAGACGUCCACCCUAAAGGAAGAGGAGAUCCAAACCCUGGUGUCGGCGAAGCUACUGAAGGACCAAGUAGUCGUGGGCUGGCGGUGUGCCUACGGUAAUGCAUGGCCAUUUGAGAUGCACCCCAACGAGACGGUAACUUUUGCGCACUUUGUUUAGCGGGGUUUUGCUGUCCCCUCAUCUGAUUUUCUUCGGGGUCUUCUGGAUUACUACAAACUUUAAUUAGUCCACCUCAACCCAAAUGGCAUCCUCCACAUCUCUAUCUUUGUGCAUUUGUGUGAGGCUUUCUUGGGGAUUCAACCCACUUCCAGUUGUUUCGUAAUAUAUUCUGGGUGAAGCCGCAUCCAAGAAUGGAGAACACUGAAGUAGUCGGAGGCACCAGAACUCAGAUAUGGGAGAAGAGUAGUAGUCUGUAUUUGGACUACCAAAUGAUCGAGUCACAUUGAAGACCAUGAACUGAAGCUGCCAAAGAUGAUUGGCCACCGCCCGGAGUGGAACAAUGGGUCGAUUGAUGAGCCAACGUUCGGGAGCAGUCUCCAGGUACUUGAGCUUUUAGCCAAGAUCGCCCAUCUGAAGCAGCAAGGACUGACAAGCAUUGGAGUGACCUUUAGUUUCCUGAGGAGGUGAGUACAACCCCUGCAACUCCACCACACAUGGGGUUAUGAGUACUCAGGCCUUGAUGAUCCGUUAAGGAUGUCACCUGAGGAGUUCUCCACCAAUGAGGUGAUGGCGAGGCUGAAACACAUCUUCAAGAAUGUCUCUGAGAUCCCUUGAAUAGUCUCGGCAUUCAACUCCUUCAACCCGCCAAGAGAAGUAAGUACCUGUGGCCGUAGCCCCCGAGUACCUAUUCGUUGUUGAUCUUCUGUUCCGACUGGUCUCCCUUUAUGCAGGAGGAUGUACUCAUGUUCUUUUCACCCCCUCCUCCACUUGGCACCAAUGAUGUUGAAAGUGCACCGCAGGUUUUUGGGUGGAAUAUAGCUAGAUUAGAGGCCACCCAAGAGGAGGAGGAGGAAGAAGGAACCGAGUCCCUCAGUAGCUCAGACACUAAUGCCGUCGAGGAUUUUGUUGUGCAGCACCAUGCCUCGGGCGAGGCCAGGGCAUCCUCUGGCUCAUCAAAGCGUCCUGCGGAAGAUGAGCUUGAGGCCAAUUUGACCCCACCGCCGAGGAAGAGAUGAACAGUUGCCAAGACGCGUGCUUUGAGGAGUCUUCGCAUCAUCGAGGACACACCUCCGUCGAUAAUAACCUUUGACGAAGGGCAAAAGCCUAAGGUGCGAGUAUGAUUGUAUAUGUAUGUUGAUCUCAUGGCUACUAAUCAAGAUUUUGUUGUAUUUGUAGGUAGUUGAUGAUGUAGUCGAGGCAAUGGAGGCAGCUACUGGUGCCAUCCUGUCGGAAGUUCCAGCCCCCAGGGAGGUCGUUGAAGUCGGCGAUAAUCAAGAACUCCCCGUUGUUGAAGUUAACCCUACGGGUAUUGAAGUACCCAUGCAGGAAAAAGACAAGACUACCCUAGCUGGUGGUAGUUAGGAAGCACCUCCACAUGUCUCGCAAGGAGAGUUCGCCCCCACUGUCCAGCCGCUACGCUUGGUGGGUAACCCGUCGCUAAAGCUAUGGUGAUCCACAAGGUAAGCAUUUUGUUGUUGUAUGAGUACUAAUUCUAGGUUGAGUACUUGGUUGUCUUCCGUCACUGACACUUUGUGCUGUGCAGGACCUCUUCGGCCCUUAGCCUUCCUGCAUCGGGUUUGAAGUCUACAACCAAUGGCGCUAGCCACUCAGGUGAAGAUCCAGCCUCCAUGCCUAUUGUGGUCCCAGUGGAAGAAAAUCCGGCUUCAGUGUCAGAAACAGGGGCCGCAUCAUUUGUUGCUGCUUUGGUGCAUGACAUACUCGACUCGAUGAGUGAUGCUGCUGAGCAAGCCCCCGAGCUUGAUGUACCCGGAGCUUUUCCUGAGGCAACUCCGGUGGAGAAUCCGCCCCCGUAUGAAAUCUUGGACACUAUCCCUCUCAGCGCUGCUGCUCCCUAUGCCUCUGAGCUUGAAGCCACCCAAGCCCUUGAAGUUGUGGCUUCGGCAAUCAGGAUGUCUUAUGGAGCCGGUACGUCUUCUACAGGCGAGAUGGCCUUAGUGCCCAGCAUGAGGAUUGAGCCAAGCGUGGAGGAUCGGAUGCCAUCUGAGGAGGUCCAGUAGCUCAACGAUCCUCUGUUCAACUGUGGUGGAACUGCCUAAAUUAACCUGGCUAAAGUGCACUUAAGUUGCCUAACACAUGAUCAUGCACCUUAAACAAGUCAACUUAGUCGUCCAUCGGAUUUCAUCCGAUAAACCACUUACUCAGGAUGCAGAAAGCAUUGCUCACAUGAAGGUGAGUGGUUACACAGAGACUACAACAUUCCAUUCACAUUAAACAUAGAUCAACAAUUUAUUACAUCAGAGUUUAGAAAUUCAGAUAGAGUUUGCACGAUUUCAAACAACGAAGAAGUAAAACAUGCAGAAGCUAAACAUCGAUACAUGAUAUCAUGAUGAAGCCGUUCAUGACAUCAAUGACCCCUAUCCUCACCAUCCGAGGAGGGAUCCCACUCAACCGUCCAACCCAGAGGAAGCUAGGUAGGCCAAGUGAUGCUAGUAGCCAAUUCAUUGACAUCUAAGUUACCUGAAAGUAAAGUCACAAGCAAGGCUGAGUAUACUAAUACUCAACAAGACUUACCCGUCGGGUGGCAACUACUCCACCGACUUCUAGACAUGCAAGGCUUUUUGGCGGAGGAGUUUGUUUUUGCCAAAGCAUCUAAGUAGAUCCUUACUUUUAAGUUUUAGCAUCAGGUUCUAGUAGAUUAUUUGUUCUAGGUAAGCAACCUAUUCUAAGCAAGCAAGUUGAGCAAACAUUUUAUUCCAAGCAUCAUCAUCAUUAAAUAAGCAUUCCAUGUUUCACUUGUUACUUAAUGCAGCACAGUAGUCAAGCAGUCUCAAACUGUGAGAGGCAGACAAUUCAAAUCGAGUUUCUUAAUCUUGCAAUGUGAACCUAAUCCCAUGACAUUGCGUACCACAAUGGGUCCACACAUGUUAGCCAUCCCCAUCAGUUCCUAGGCAUGUGGCUAGGGCCCACUUCCCUUGGAUACAAGGCCCCACGGUCCCGGAACAACGUCGUACUAUGACUGCACUUGUACCCACAUGCUGCAGCAGGGGAACCCAAUUCCAGAGAGAGUGGGGAGUAUGCCCACGUCCUGGACCAAUCAGGUUCUAGGCUUCCCUAUCCCAUACUAGGUAUGAGCUUAGUACUUUCAAACACUUGACCACGAACGCCAACACAUUACGACCUUAGCAGCUUUCUUCUAGACAAACGGGGCAAUCCACCAAUUCAGAACCAAUUGCUCGGCCCCGUCCAUCAUCCUUAUGGUUUUAACAUAAGUAAACAGGCAACUCCUAUAACUCGCGAGUGACAGGAAAUCACUCGACUUCUACCGAGUUCCUAUUUAGCAUAGCAACUACACGACCUAUCAUGCUAGUAUUCAGUAUAUAGGUACCUAGGAUCAUGCAACUAGGUUUUCAAACAACUCCUGUAAACAUAAUGUACAAACAUAACUAGCAUAAGUAGUGCAUAAAUUUAGAAAAUUGGGUUAUGCUCCGGGGCUUGCCUUCUUGCCCUAACUCAGCCUUGGGCUCUUCUGAACUUGGUUUGGGCCUUGAUUUGCCUUGAUCACAUUCAGCUCAGCAGACACCCUCCUACUUCGUGUUUCGGGCCGAGCUCAUACAUUCCGUCAGCGCAGUUAGCUUCUACACGAGAUGCAAAUGCAUGAUUUCAAAAACAAGCUUUUAUGUGUAGGUUGAAUUUCAUAAGUUAUUACACAAGCAUAGGCUGUAUUUUGGACCACAUUCACUUAGACAAGUUUAUAAACAUUUAUUUUCUUGUAAAGUAAGGUGUGUUGGGAUUCAAAACUCAGAGAUGACUUUGAUGGUGAUUGUGUACACAUAUAUUAGGUUUGUUAUUACUAACUGCCAAAGAGAAAAGGUGCCAUCCUAGGGUUGAUCAAGCUUAAAUCGGAAAGUUAUCCUAUUUCUGAAUGUUUUUCUAUACCUCUUCCGAUAUUUUCCAUAUUACCCUUACUAUUACUUAAUUUGUUUUCAUUCAUUUCUUUUGGGUUUAACUUUCAUAAUUUGUUUCCACAAAAAUAAUUAAAAUUAACUAAAGAUCCUAUGGUUGAUUGCACUUAACUAUUUUUGUCUCCAGUUUCACAGAGAGUUUGGCUCUGAAAUUUUAACAGUGAGUUAACCUAAUGCAACAGAGGUUCCUGAAAUUUUUCCAUGAUUUAUAGUGAAGGACAUCUAUUUUCCAUAUUUUCCUUCAUUUAAACUUUUACAAAAAGUUAAGCAUGUUUCAUCAAGUUUCAUACAAGACCCUUAUUUUUCAUAGGGAGUGUAUUGCAUCCAUGAUCUAACAAAAGUGGUUUUGUAUUUUUCUCACUUUUCUACUAUCCAUACUGAAAAAGAUAAAACCUAGCCUAGUAUUUCAAUGUUGGCUUCAAAUCAGUGGGUUAAACAUUUGAACCAGUGUUACAAAAAUCAUAUAUAGAACAAUUUCAACACAACUAAGCCAAAAGAGGUGGAUUUGUCAUUUUACCAUUUUUAGGUGAUUUAUGGUGCAUUUAUUGGCUUGAACACAAAAUAAAAUCUAGUGCUAAAUACAGAUCAUCAACAUGCAUAUGAGUAUUUUUAAAUGAAACUAGACGUCACCAGGAACCUAGCAAAACAAGGAUCAUAUUUUCCCAUUUUUCUAUAUCUACUUAUGCAUUUUCAAAGUUUCAGCCUUUUUAAAUCUAGGAAAUCAAGAAAACCGAGGUCAACUUGCAAACUAGCCCCUAGAUCUAAGGUUUAAUUGUGCAAAGAUCCCUGGAAUCCUUCCCAUACCCCCUACAUUUCCUUCUUCUUCCCCACACAGAUCCCCCCCACACAGACACAGAUUCACAAUAGAGGCACGCACGGUUGGGUACCAUGGUGGCCUUGGGCCGGUGGUAGGGGAAGAAGGGGCACUACAUGGGGAGGGAGAAGGGUGGUUCACGGGGGCUAGGAAGCUCACCAGAAGGGGCCGGUGACGAGGGAUAGGCAGUGCGCAGGGAGGCCCAUGAGCAGCAGAAUGGGCGACGGGGGUGCUUGCCGUGGAGGGCGCCGUCUGGCGAGGGAGAGAACUCGGGAAGGGGCAAAAUGGAUGCGCAUUGUCGUGAGAAAGGCGUGGCUGCGAGGAAUCGAUUCGAGGCUUGCUCACAGCAGUGAAUUUCGGCAGCGAAAUUUGGGGAUUUGGAGGUGGCAAUACUGGCAAUGGAGGUUGGGAGGAACGGGCGAGUGGUUCUGGAGGGGCUGGAGCUGCUGAUAUAGCCGGGGCGAGGUGAGGAUAAGAACGGCGAGGCAAUAUGGACACCACAGCGACACAAGACGGCCAUUGGUGGUGUGGCGAGCACCGGUGAUCAACAAACUCAUGGCUGGCAUGCCGUUCGCAUGGAGCUCUGGCCAAUGGAGCGCUAGGGGUGGCGUGGGAUGGAAGGAGCUUCAUGUGGGCGAGGCUUGGGUGGCCUAUGGGCGGAGAGGGUCCUGCUGCCGUUGGGAAGGCCGGCCAACGGCCAUCCUCAGGCCCUGGGUCACCCAACCAGUGCUGAAUAGGUGGGGAGACAGGUAGGAGAUGAAGCUGAUAGGUGGGCCCACGAUAAAAUAAAAUGUUCAACUUUGCUCCCUAAAACGACCUAGCUACAGGUGCCAAAAAUUCCCAAAAAAUACUCGUUGGAAAGAUAAAAUCAUGAAGACUCCAAUGCAACAAGAAUCAACUCAAAAGUUGUUAUGGUUUGCACACAAUGGUCCAAACAAAAUAGCUAAAUUUGAACUUUAACUAAAUUUUUUUUGGCACAAGAAAACAUCUCUGAAAAAAUUGGUAAAAAUAUUGUAAAAUCACUAAAUGGUAUAUAGUAUUUGAAUAAAAUAUUAGGAGUCAAAGUUGUAUAAAAUAAAUUGGGGUUGCUUCACAAAUUUGGGUUUUUCAAAAAAAACGAACUUCUAGGCACUUAACAAUGUGUGGCCAAAACAUUCAUUUAUGCACAAAUGAUGCUCAUGAUGGUUAACUAUGCACAAAAGGAUGUUCAUGAUGCUCAAAUAUGCACAAUGAUGCUUAUGAUGCAUGUCGUGCAAAGGUGUCGUGUUUAACAUGUAUUUUUUCACCAAGUUUGGACUUUGUUCUUGCAUUUCCAAAAAUAAAAGUUGGAGUUUAAGGUGUGGGCUAGGACUUUUAUAAAGGCCAACAAGGAAAAGCUCGACUGAUUUGGAGAUAGGAUUGUGGGAUUUUUUUAGCGGACGUUGCUCAAAGCUGUUUUUUGGAAUUUGAUUGAAAUUUGACCAAACUUCAACUCAGUUUUGAACUCCCUCUGCUCAAAAUCAGAAGAAGUGUUGAUUAUGAAGGUUGUUCCAUGUGAAAAGUUCUACCACUUUUGUAUUGGCCAAUAGUUAAGUUCUCAUAUGAAAGUUAUUUUUAUUGGCCUCUCCAGGUGAUCAUCAACAGGAAGGAGUUUUAAGACUUGGCAAAAUCUAAGGUGUUUUUCGAUCUUAACUCUCAGCAAUUUGGAGUUAGCUUUGAUUUGCUUCUUAAUCACCCUGUUGAUUAUUUGAUUUAGGUUCUCAAUUACUCAGGCUGUCACAUGAAUGCACAAACGGUGGCCACAAUCCUUGAGAUGAACUAGCACGUUGCGUCUUAUACCAAGGUGAGUUUUGAUUUUAGCUGUGUACUAUACUUCUAGAUGCUUGCAACUUGUACUCUGCGCAGCUCCCGAGUACUAAUUUCUUUGAAAACAGAACUUGAUCAGCCACUCUCACCAGAAUGCCCAGCUGCUGUGGGACCAUGGCGAUGCCGUGCGUCGGGUUGAGGCGAUGGAGAAAGAAUUGGUUGAGGAGUUGCGGCAGUCUUCUCACCUCAUCAUGAAUCUUGAUAGCGUGGCGGCACCAUUCGGGCACAAAGGGAGGACUUGGAGAAAGAGAAAGAAUGCCUUGUUGCCCGAAACAAGUCACUGAACCAGAAGCUUGAAGGUGAGUACUCAUCCUCUUAUUGUAUUCAUCUGCUUGUAGCCUGUAGUCUUUCUAACUGAUACUUGGUCUUUGUUGAGCAGAGUGUAAGAGUUAGGAGCCCCAGUUGAAGGCUACCACAACUAAUUGGCAGAACGCCUACUACCGGGCCACUGAUCAACAUGAGAGACUGAGGCAACAGGUGUCUGAGCUGGAGCGCGACUUGGAGAAAGAGAGGAAAAUGCACCGAGAUGGCAAAGUUGAACUGAUCAAUGUCAUGACAACCAUCCAAGCGCAACAAGUUGAGCUUAGAGCCUGUAAGCUGAAGCUCCAAGAGCUGUCUGCAGUAGAGCAGCCCUUGGUUGAUAUGGGGGAGCCUCCGGUUAAUGGCGCGGAUCCUCGCUCGUUGGUGGAGAGACUCCGAGAUGGGCCGGGGAAGAUCACAGGCUACAUCCAAGGGAUGGAGAAGUCCAUCUCGAAAUAGUUGCUGGCCUUCAUAAAGUCCUUCUACCCUGACGCCGACUUGUCUCCUAUCGCAGAGGGAAUAGCAGGAGAUUGCACGAACGAAAUCUUCCAGCAAUAUCUUCAAGAGAUGGAUCCCAUUGCCGUGGAAGUAGCCAAGCACUUGGACCUGCAAUUAAUUUCUUACCUUUUGGGACACGAAGAAAAUUUAGUUUUGUAAUGGGAUAAAUGUGUAGAUAACUUUCAGUCUUAAUGUAAUUUGUUGCUCUUGACUUGUCAUUUGUUGUGUUUAGUGCUUCUCACACUUAGUCUUUAUUUUGCUCGUACGACCAAGGUGAGUGUCUGCGCACAAGGCUACUAUUGUGAGCCUCUUCGGAAGCAAAUUGUUGGGUACUCGGGUACUCAAGCUAUCCGGUAGUGGACACUGUGUUGUUUCUCCAAGAUUCUUCUGACUAGGGCUUGUUUCCUCGACUCCCCUGAGUAGAGUACUUGCAUGAUUGCUGCUUUGUCAGGAGGGCCACAUGGGAGUGCUAUUCACUCGUGUCCAGUCGAUAAAGACAAGCAACAUGUGAACACUGGUCAUCAGAGUCCUAACGGUAAGGACAAGCGUCACGCGAACACUGUAUGGGUGUGAUGUGCACAGAGAGAUCUAUCGUGUGUUCAUGGGAGCAUAUUGUAGCACUUUGGAUUGUCGCUGACUGCCUUGGCUAUAAAUAGAGCUGCAUCUGCAUCCGGAGUGUUCAUGGCUUACGUUAUAGCUCUUGUUGGGUUGAGGCUUUUGUUGUUUGCUAGGGGUAGCUUCCACCAUAUUUCCUGAUGCUAGAAGAAUUCUCAUGAAGAAUACACAAGUGCUCCUUCCCUCUACAAGCUCUUCAACCUAGCCUGGAGGCCAUAAUGCUAGAAGAAUCCUUGUGAGGAAGGUGCAUCAUGUGCCCCUAGCUUUGUCCAGGACACCGCUGAGGAAGACCUUGAACACAGCUUUCUUGCAUUCACUCUAUUUUCUUCUUCCGCAUUGAAAGCUACUUGCCCUGAGGUUAGGGUAGUCCUGGGACUGUUCACAUAUGCUUUGUGAUAUUGUAAAAGCCUAGGACUUCUAUUGUAACCUUAAUGAAAACACGUACGCCUUGUUGAUGAGAUAUUGCUAUCUUGUUUCUUUGGCUGUUUUGUUGCUGUGCCCUAGGAACCUAGAGCUGCGAAGCUCAUUAGUAUGAGAUACAUUAAGAUAGAUUUCUAGUAAAUAAGUAGUCGAUCAGCUAGUUUGUGAACUCCAAAAUGACUAGAUAGCUCUUGCGCCGCUAGUUCGCUUAGCGAAUCACCUGGGUGAGUUGGAUAACUCAUGUAGACUUGUAAGUACAAGUCAUACUGGGGUGUCGUGGCCCAAAGAACUCAAUGCAUCGUUAGGAUGCUGCUGACCUGCUUUUGCGAGCCACAAUGGGGGCGGAAAUGAGUAGUCGAAUUUCGCCGAAGAUAAUUGCAUUAUUAUGCAAAAAACUGACAACGGUGGCCAGUGGACUAUUUAGAAUGCUGCAUAAUGUUCUGACUAUGGAUAGAAUCAACAGAUGCUCGAUGUUCCAUGAGUUGUCGACAUCUUCGCUAGAGAGAUGUUGUAGCUUGUACGAUCCUGUGCCUGUGACCUUGGAUACGAUGUACGGCCCUUCCCAUGGGGAAUUAAGCUUGUGCAGCCCCUUAGUGUCUUGGAUAUGCUUGAGGACCAUGUCGCCUAUGCUGAAAGAAUGUUCUUUGACAUUGCGAUCAUGAUAGCGGCAAAGACCCUCGAGUACCUUGCAGACUGGACGAGUGCUGCACAUCGGGCUUGUUCUAGGCGGUCAAGAUCUAGGCGCCUUGUCUCCUCUGCUCCCCUCGUCACAUUGCUUAACUGUUGGGGAUUUCCACAUAACGUCAGUAGGAAGGAUAGCUUCCAAUCCAUAGACCAGGAAGUAGGGUGACUGCCCUGUAGGUUUGCACAACUAUAAGUAGGGCGAUCCAUAGACCAUAGAAGAUGUUGGGUAGUUUUUUGAGCCACUUGCCUCCUUUGGUGUUGCUAAUGUCAUGUAAUAUUUUCUUCAAGGCUUCUAGUAGCAUCCUGUUGGCGCGCUCAACCUGGCCAUUGGCCCACGGGUGAGCAAUAGAGACAUAUCGAACGUUGAUGCCAUUGUUUUCACAUUACUCCCAGAACUCAUGGUUGUUGAAAUUGGAACCAAAAUCUGUGAUUAUCUGAUUGGGGAAUCCAUAGCGGUGGAUGAUUUCAUCAAGGAAGUUGAGUACUCUAUCUACCUUGGGGCAGGUUACUGGCUUGACCUCGAUCCACUUGGUGAACUUGUCGUUGGCUACCAAUACUCAGUUGAAUCCUCCAGGCGCUGUAGAAAGCGGACCGAUCAUAUCAAGCCCCUAGCAUGUGAAAGGCCAUGUUGGUGGUAUGGUGAUAAGCUUGUAGGCAUGGACAUGCUACUACUUGGUAAAGAAUUGACAACCCUGGCACUAGCAGACUAGUUCUUCAGCGUCCGCUAGGGCGGUGGGCUAGUAAAACGCUGCUCUGAAAGUCUUUCCUAUGAUUGUGCGUGAGGAUGCGUGGUUACCGCAAAUGCCCUCGUGUAUCUCCUCUAAUAUGUCCUUGCUGUCUUGACGUGUGACACACUUCAUGAGUACUCCUGAAGACGCGCCUCUUCUAUAGAGCUUCUUCCCGACUAGAAUGUAAUUUUUGCUUCAUCGUAGAAUCUGCUUUGCGUUUGUCUUGUCCGAGGGUAGUUUUUGCUCCCGUAUGUAGUCGAUGAACGUGGUUCUCCAAUCGAUGUCAAUCAACAUCACCUCCCGAUCUGGUGCCUCAGGACCACGAUCGGUGCUUGUAGAAGGUGCCAGAUCCACUAUGGAUGGCUUGCGUAAUUCAUGGACAAAGACUCCUGCUCGUACUUGGGCACGAGUUGAGCCAAGUUUGGACAAGACAUCCGCGGCGACAUUGUUGUCGCGGACUACAUGGUGAAAUUCCAAACCUGAAAAUUUAUUCUCGAGCUUGCGUACUUCUGUACAGUACGCAUCCAUGUUCCUCUUGUUGCAAUCCCACUCGUCAUUGACUUAGUUGAUCACUACUAGUGAGUCAACAUAGACCAACAAUCUUUUGAUUCCCAAUGAUACUGCUAGGCGAAGCCUGUGCAGUAGCGCUUCAUAUUUAGCUUUGUUGUUGGAUACCUCCCAGAAGAUCUGCAGGAUGUAUUUGAGUUGCUCUCCUUUGGGAGAUAUCAAGAGUACCCCUACCUGGCACCCUCGAGCUUGAGGGACCCAUCGAAGUACAUGACCCAAUGCUCUGGCGCUCUGUGGGCGUCGGUAGUUGAUUUUCCUACCACUCUGCCAUAAAAUCGACUAGAGCCUAGGACUUGAUAGUGGUUCUUGACUUGAAAUCCAGGGACAAUGCUCCAAGUUCUACUAUCCACUUUGAAAUCCUGCCUGUGGCAUCCUGAUUGUGGAGAAUCUCGCUCAGGGAAAGUCAAUGAUGACGGAGAUCUUGUGUUCCUGGAAGUAGUGCUGCAACUUCCGCGAAGUGAGUAGUAUGGCGUAUAGAAAUUUUUGGACCGAUGGGUACCUAGCCUUGGAAUCUGAGAGUACUUCGCUGAUGAAAUGGACGAGCCUCUGCACUUUGUAUACAUGGCCGGGUUCUGAUCUUUCAACUACUAUCGUCGUGCUUACGACGUUAGUAGUUCUAGCGAUGUAGAGCAGCAAGUCUUCGUUGGGGCUAGGUGACAUGAGGACCGGUGGCCUUGAUAGGAAGUCCUUCAACUGUUACAGGGCUUGGUCUGCCUCCUCGGUCCAUUGGAACUUGUCUUGCCACUUGAGUAAUUUGAAGAAGGGAAAGCCUCAUUCUCCAAGUCUUGAUAUGAAUCUGUUAAGGGCCGCCAUACACCCAGUUAGCUUCUGAACAUCUUUAAUGCCAGACGGUGCUUGUAUAUCAAUGAUGGAGGAUAUCUUCUCGAGAUUUGCUUCAAUGCCUCUAUGGCUAAUGAUGAACCUGAGUAGUUUUCUAGAUGGUACGCCAAAGACGCAUUUUGUUGGAUUGAGCUUCCACCAAAAUUUCUGCAGACUAGCGAAAGUCUCUUCUAAGUUAGUGAUGAGGUCAUUUAGAUUUCUGGUUUUGACUACCACGUCGUCCACAUACGCCUCAACAUUGUGGUGCAACUAUUUCUGAAAGCACAUCUGGAUUGCAUGUUGAUAGGUGGCGCCUGCGUUCUUCAACCCAAAGGACAUCGUUGUAUAACAGAAAGCUCCGUAAGGGGUGAUAAAUGCGGUCUUGGUCUAGUCUUCUUAGUUGAGAGCUAUCUGGUGGUACACCGAGUAGCAAUCUAGGAAACAGAGUAGUGUGCAUCCACCAGUGGAGUCGAUGACUUGAUCGAUCAUCAGGAGCCCAAAGGGGUCCUUUGGAUAGUGCUUAUUGAGAUCCGUAUAAUUGACGCACAUCCUCUACUUGUUGUUGUUCUUCUUUUGAACCAGGACGGGAUUAGCGAGCCCCUCAGGAUGGUAGAAUUCUUUUAUGAAACCCACCGCGAGUAGUUUUGCCAACUCUUUCUUGAUAGCUUUCCUUCUAUCCUAGACAAAACAUCGUAGUCGUUGUCUCUUAGGAGUAGCUUUUGGAUCCACAUUUAGCGAAUGCUCGAUCAGCUCCUUGGGCACCCCUAGCAUGUUUGCUGGUUUCCACGCAAAGAUGUCUCGGUUGGCCCAAAGGAAACUGACGAGCGUGAGUUCUCAUUUAGGAUCCAACCCUGAACCGAUCAGGGCUAUAUUGGAGGUGUCACCAGUCUCGAGGUCAAUGGCCUUGAUGUUCAUGUCACUUGUUGGCUUGACCUUUGUAGCCCCGACUUGUUCUCUGGAAUUUCGAGUUCAGCCGAGGAGAGCUUUUUUGAGGUGGCGAAGAUUUGUUGCAUUGAACUGGGUACUUGAGAAGUUGCAGCUAACUCGACAGCUUCUGUAUCGCAUUCAUAUGAUUUCUUAAAGUCUCCAUGGAGGGAGAGGACUCCCUUGGGACCUGACAUCUUGAGUACUAAGUACACAUAAUGCAGGAUGGCCAUGAAUUUGGCCAAUGCUGGUCUUCCAAGGAUAGCGUGAUAAGAAGUCUAUAAAUCUGCCACCUCGAACCGGAUGUACUCUGUCCAGUAGUGCUCCUUGGUCUCGAAGGUAACUAGCAAGACUACCUAUCCAAGAGGUAUAGUCGCGUUGCCUGGGACGAUCUCAUAGAAGGGAGAGUUUGUCGGGGUGAGCAUCUCCAUGAUGUUGAGGCCCAUCUUCUUCAAAGUCUUGGCGAACAGGAUGUUGAGGCCGUUGCCGCCAUCGAUGAGUACCUUGGUGAGCCUCGAGCCAGGAACAACUUGGUCCAAGAUGAUAGGAAAUCAUCCUGGUUCUGAGAAAUUAAUCCACUCAUCUUUUUGAGAGAAGUUAAUUGGUACCUCUGACCACUUGAGGGGUGUGGGUACAGCUGGUUCAAUGGACAUAAUCUCUCGUAGUACUAGCUUCUGGGACUGCUUCGAGGCGGUACCGGGGAUCCCGCCAAAAAUGAUGUUGACAGUCUUGGACGUUGCCAUCCUCGUCUUCGUCUUCCUUGGCUUUCCCUUUGUCAUUGGUACCCAAUGGCUCUAGCAAGUUCUUCAUUACUCUGCGUAGGCUGUAGCAGUCUAUCGCAACGUGUUUGUGGUGAGGAUGCCACGGGCACUGUUUUUUCAAGAGCUCGCUGAAAGCGGGCCUAUCUUGGCUUUUGCCACCUCCUUUCUUGGACGAUUGAGAUAUCAUCGUGACAGUAUUGUCUGGCUUGCGUUUGCGGCUUUGACCUCCUGAGUAAUUGUUUCGGUGAUCGCCACUGUGGUUCUUGUCAUUGUCUUGGCCGUUGCUUUGAUUAUUGUUGUACUAGCCUUGAUUGCAAUUUGAUUCAAACCUUUCAAGCUCUUUGUCUUCUUCGUCUGCCCAUGCUUGCGCCAUAAUCUUGAGGGACUUGACAUCAUGGGGGCGCCGUCUGCCAAAAUCUUGGAACAUACGGCGAUCGUUGAAUCUGUUCUGGAAACAGUCGAUCACGUCUUGCUUUGAGAUAUCUACAAUGGUGGCCUUCUUAUCGAAGAAAUGACACAGGUAGCUUCGUAGGGUCUCGUCUCGCCGUUGCUUGACUUGUGCCAAGUCAAGUUUAUUGCCUGGAUGCUGCAUUGCUCCCACGUAAUUGUUGGUAAAUGCCUUCUUGAGAUCUUGCCAUGAGUCAAUUGAGUUUGACUUCAAUGAUUUGAGCCAAGUGAGCGGCGCUGAUUCCAAGCAUAUGGGAAAAUAGAUGACUUUUGUGUCAUUGUUCCCUCCUACGGCUUGAACUGAUAAUGAGUAGCAUCGGAGCUAUUGAACUGGGUCCUACUUGCCAUCAUAUUUGGAGAUGCCUAUAGGCUUGAAUUUCUCGGGCAAAAUAGUCUUCGUGACCCGACUUGUGAAAGCUGGGAAGCUAUCGUUGUCGUCACCCCUGAGAUCAACUUCGAGUUCGCGUUCACGGCGUAGUCCUUCGAUGAUGUUAUGAGCGUUGUGAUUGUUUUUGAUCACUUCUCAAAGAUCCACCAUGGAACAUGCAAGCUCAGGAUCGGCUCUGUGGUGGCGGCGGCCUCCCUCAGAAGGUGUCCAAUUACCCUCGGGUAAAUCCCUAUUUUGUCUGGCACCUCUAGAUUGUCAAGUUGAAGGGCCUCUGUACCUAUUGUCGUGUUGAAUUCGCUGGGAUGGAGUACGUGAUACCGAGGCUAUCGGAUUCUGCCUGUCGAGUUGUUCAUAGGCAUGUUCUGCCAAUGCUGUCAACUGCCUGGUAUAUCUAUCAUGUGCCAUGGCUCGGGUAAUGAGGUCGAUGGAAGCAAUAGUGGUGAGAUGCGUACGAUGUUGUCGCGUUUGGACUACUUCAAAGGCUUUGUCCAGAUUCAUGAUUGGGAGCCUCUCUGCCAGCCGGCGGUGAUGAUCUUCUCUCGUUGUGUUCCUUGCUCGUCGAUGUGUUCUUUGAGCUUCGGUUUCCUCCCUGACGACUUUGGCAGUUAGUUCAUCCUGCGAGAUGUCAUCUAGGUGACGCUCGUGUAGAGGAUUCCUCUUCGGUGGAUCGCCGUCCUCCAUAUCUUGCCCUGUGAUGAGGGUGAAGAGUUCUUUGUCUGGAGAGUAGCUUCCAGAACUUGAGGUGAUGACUUCUGUAGAGCCAUCGCCUUCGGAGAUAGGGGAUAGAGGCAUCCCUUCCUGAUAUGGGAGAACGUCGAGGUAGGCGAUGAAGCGUGACUCGUUGUCCUAGGUGAGGGUGGACGGCCUCAUGCCAGGCCAAUAGACGAAUGUGCCUUGGGGUGUCGAAGUGAUCACCAACCCCUGCUACGGACCUGAUAAUGGCGUCUCCUCAUCGGAAUCCAAGUAGUGAUUGUAGUCAGGGUCCUCGAUCGCACCCGGGUCGGAUUGCAAUAUGGAUAGGCCUACCUGAUAAGUGGCAGUUUGUAAGUGCAUUUGGCCCCAUAUGUGGGUUUUGGUGUUGAUGACGCGCAUGAUUAGGGGACUAGUAUGAUUAUCAAGUGAUUGAUAGGAUUUAAUUGCAAAAGAGUGCAAAGGUGUACUUAAAUAUUCUCAAGAAGUCCCCAAAUGCGAAAAUAGAAUGGUGUUGAGCUCAAAAGGAUUUUCAUUUAUGUUUUCUAAUUUUGAAUUUGAGUUUUGGAACACCGUACUAUUAAGGGGGAUGCGGAUGGAUAGCUUGAAGAUGCUAAAGUGCUCACUUGGGAUGCUAACCACCCAUUGACACAAAACACCCACUUGCACAACCUUUUUCUCAGAUUUUCUGAGCAUAUCGGAAGUUCCGAUACUGUAUUGGAAGUUCCAAUACCUAUCAGAAGUUUCCAAAUAGUCCUAGCAAGGGUCCUCUGCACGUCUGACUUGAGAGUGUCAGAAGUUUCGAUACACCAUCGGAACUUCUGAUAAAUGUGUGUCGGGUGUUUCUUGAAACUCCCGACAGGGGUCCUCUGCACACCAGUUCUAAAUCCAUAAGAAGUUCCAACACUGUGUCAGAAGUUCCGAUAAGCACAUAACGGGACUGUAAUGGUUAGUUUUGGGGGCUUGAGUAUAAAUACCCCCUCAGCCCCCCCAUUCAAGGCUGCUGAACUAACUCGAGACAAAAGCCCCCUAGAGCAUUCAAUACACCUCUCCCUCACCCAUUUGAGCCAAAUCCUUGAGUUCUUGAGCUAGGGUUUAAGUGAGGGCAAGAUUGAGGGUGAGUGCCUUGAGGUUUGAGUGAAGAGCUCAACAAGUUCAUCUCAAGAGCACUUCAAGCAUCCUCGGCUUCGAUUCACAUUUGUUACUCUUGAAGCUUGCUUCUAGAUGGCUAGGCGUCACCCAUUUUAGUGCCCUCUUCGUGUGGUGCGCCCAGGAAUGUUUGUAUCACGCAACAUUCGUGGAUUCAUAGUAAGUGACUCAAUCUUCCUUUGUGGUUGAUUGAGAGAGGUAAAGGGUUAGUGAGUGCUCGGCUCUUUGUGAGCUCCUCAACGGAGACGUAGCUCUCUUAGUGAGAGUGAACUCCGGUAACAAAUCCUUGUCUUGUGUUCUUAUUGUGUUCUUUGAUUCUAGCUUGACCUAGAGGCUUGUUUUUAUCCGAUCUAUAUAUUUGAGUGGUUUCGUGCAUAUAUAUCACCUAGAGUAGUCUUUAUACUUCAUUUAGUAUCUUUUGAUUCAAAUAGAAUUGGCAGAUUCAGGUUGCAUUUUGAAAUUUCGUUCAGCUCACUCUAUCCUGUCGGAAGUUUCGAUCUUGUACCAGAAGCUCCGAUCCAUCGGAAGUUCUAGCAUAGCAUCGGAAGUUCUGACACAUCUAAUACCGCUGCGAAGUUUUUCAGGAAAAUUUGAAGUGAGCCUAUUCACCCCCCCUCUAGGCAUCACAAGAUCCUUUCACAGUUGCGUUACGGAGUCCAAACGAGAAUCGACUCAGAGUUUGAAUUGAUUCGGACGACGGCUGGAAUGCCCGCUCAUGAGAACCAAUCUGAGUAGAUGUAGGGCCUGAGUGGUACUUAGACUUGCUUCUCGAUCCUUGGAAUAGGUCGAAAAUUUUGUUGAAUCUCUUAAUGAAUUCCUCCAAAGCUUGGCGAUUAAGAUUGAUGUCAUAGAACUUCUCCUCUGGGGCCUUCGCGAUGUGGCAGUGGAAGCCUCCAGUGUAGUUUGCGAUGCAGACCCAAGAGCCAAACAUGAACGUCACGCUUGCUUCGAACGCGACUGCAGGUUUGAUGGUGACUUGUGCCAUCAAACUCACAAGGGAAAUCUCGGUAACUUCCCCUACUUGGCCCGUCAGCUGUCGGUGUUUCAACACGGCAACCUACCCAGGGGAGUACUUGGGGCAGAGUUUUGGUAGGUGGGUGUCGCUGAAAUCAGGAAUUCGAUGGUGUACGUAGGCACGUGAUUUGGACAGGUUCGGGCCGCUAGAUCGCGUAAUACCCUACGUCCUAUGUGUCAUUUUCUUGUAUUGGAUUGAACUUCUUUUGAGGGGGUCUUGCCCACCCUUAUAUAUUGGGGGAACAGGGUUAUAGGUUAGUUAUCUUAUAGGAAUACUAGUAGGAUUCGACUAGAGAGUCCUACUCUAACUAUUACGAGUAGCUUUCCGAGUCCUCCUCUAGUUCCUGUCCUCCAUGUAGACUACGCCACCCUGCACCGUAGUCUUCAUGUCUUACACGUAUCGGUGCGCAGCCUUGUAUACAGAUCUGCCCAAACCUUCCUAUGGGUCCAUAGAUGUAUGUACGACAGUACCAAACUUAGUUUAUCUAUUUUUGUGGGUUUUCUCUCCAUUGGUUAAUGAAAUAAGGAUCAUGUAGUCCUGGUCAUCGUCCUCAGUUCAGCUUUGGUUUCUGAUCAUGUUGCAUAGCAAUGCCUGGCCCAAGAUUAAUCCAUCCGAAAAGGUCACCCUUCCUCAUACUUGUUCAUAGUGUUCGUCAGUUCAGAUUCUGAUCAUAAUAUUUUUUUAAAGAAUCUAUGACAACCCAUGAACUUAGGGAUUUGUGUUUGGAUCAAUGGACUAAUUUUUAGUUCCGGUCACAUUGGAUGUUUGGAUACCAAUUAGAAGGACCAUCCAAGUCACAGUAUCUUAGGUGCAUGCAAUGGACAGAAGAAAUCAAAGAAAACAGCACCAUCGGAUGUUCCGAUGGCCCCUAGAAAGGCGUCGGAGUAAUCGACGGAGGUUUUGGUACGCUGCGGAAGAAAAUAGGCAAAGUCAACCAUCGGAUGUUCCUGUAAAAACUCUGCCUUAAUUAGGUGUAAUUAAACAUAAACAAGUCUUUGGUCACUAAGCAAAAGAGGUGAAAUGUCCUUUUUUACCCUAAGAAGCUCUUUUCGGAGUUAAAUAUAAAACUUGAGUUUUUAUAUACAAACUUGAAAUUUUGCCCAAAUAAGAGUUGUAAAACUUUUAAUUUCAAACAACUUUUGUUAAAGACGCUUUGGCUAAUUCGGAGUGGGAGAAGGUCAAAAACAAGAAUCAAAACAGGAGUAUUAUAGAACCCUACAAACAACCUAAGUCCUGGAAUUCAAGUUUUUCUUCGACUUUGGAACCUGUUAUCUCACAAGUUCACAUCUAACCUCGAGUCAGACCUUUAAUAAAAAUUGUAGUCCCUUGAGUGUGUUCCCAACUUUGUUACACUGACCUAGGUCUAAAUCGUAACCGAACCUACUCAAAGUCUUGGUCAAAGUCGGGUAAAACAGUCAACUCAGCCCUCUGGGCAUUCCAGCUCUAAGUCUGGAAACCAUCCAGAACACUCCUCUUGGCGAGUAUGUUCCUCCAAAUUUUUGAACUAAACUCAAGAAAAGCCCUUAAUAGAAGUUGAAUUCCUAAGACCGAAGAGCAACUCCUUCAAUAACACCUUGGUCUUUUUCAAACCAGAAACUGCCCUAAAGUCGAGUCAAGGACAGCCAAACUCCUGAAAUUUUCACCAACUCGGCGGAAAUGCCUAAGUCCGAAAACUCUAGUUUUUGGCAAACCUUGGCUCAAGUUUUCUCCAAAUCCUUUCAAAAUCUGAGCAAAUGCUUUUAAUAAAGUUGAACUACGACCGCAGUACUACAAGUUUGUUUAAGGGUCCUCUGAACGUUUAGUUUGAAAAAUCUCGAGUAGAGGGCCCCCAAAGCCGGUCUUGUUUCCUGUCUGAAGUUGCCUCGACGCUAGCACGUCCGGGCAUGUUCGCCCGUGCGCCGCCUGCCGCAUGGCCGCCAUCCACCGGCGAGCUCACCGUCACCCUACCCGCGCCCACGACAAGACGGGGCAAGCACUGUGCUGGCCAAUCGCCGCCGAGGCUGUUCCCCUUCUCCUGCGCGCGAGCCGCUCUGCCCAACCAGCGCCCGCGUCUUCCUUCCCCUUGCAUGCCAUGCUACCGCCAGUUUCUGCGACGCCGACCCGAGCUGCUAACCCCUUUCCAACUCUUCCCAACCCUGAUUCGUCCGCAAAAGCGACCGAACCUUGUCUGCCUCGCCCGAGUAUUGUCCGCCUCGCCCGACGGCUCGGUUGAGUCUUUUCUUUUGACCGAGGGUAUUUGUGUUAAAUUCUGAGGACUUCUCUAUGUUAAAUCUGAGGAUCCCGGUACAGUUUUUCCUUAAGUCUAAGGGUCAGAUCGUAAGUUUUCCCCAAUCCAACUCUUUUAACUCGUUUUAAAUCGAUAGGAACUUGGAAGUUACAUCUUAAAUCGAGGAAAAAUCAGAAAAAUACUAAAUCACUUUUGUUGGAAUCCUUGUUCUGUCUAGUUUCUUACAAAAAUAAGUUUGCUCAUGUUACUGUUGUAAAUAAUAUCUUAUGAUUUUAUUCCUUGUUUAGGCCUUUUAAAUCAUAGUAAAUAGAAGAAAAAUGCUAAAUAGGUAAUCCAACUCUGUGGUGAAUGUUUCUGUGAGUUGAAGCUCAGAGAAAUGUUUAGGACCCUAGAGAAGAACUUAAAGUUACUAUUUUAGCUUUACAUUUGAAAUCUAGAGUUAAAAAUCUUACUUUUUGCAUAAGUAUUAAUCCCGAGCUAAGAAAAAUAAGAAAUUUUGGGGAAGAGGUACGUAAAAACUUUCAGAAGUAAAUAACUCUCCUAAUGCACUUGAACCACCCCAAACACAUCCUCUCUCUCUCUCUUUGUGCAAACUCUAAGUUGCAAGAAUCUAAAUGUGUACACAGUCACCAUCAAAGUCAACUGCAAGUUUAAACCCGACCUCACCUUCCUUUGUGAAGUUAAGAGAAGUUAAAACCUUGUUUAGGUGAAUGUGGCCUUUAGGCAACUUCCUUUCUACCAUAAUCCAUGUUGUGCGUCGUUCGUGUUCGCGCCUGGUUGAAAUUAAACUCCUGCAUGUGCAUGUCGUGUAGAAGCAAAUCUCGCUGAUGGAACCUAUGAACUCCACCCCACACCGGAGGAAGAACCCGUCGUGGAGCUUCAUCACUUGGAAGGAGAGCCCGAGCUAGAUCAAGAUCUCGAAGAACCGCUGACCCUUCCUGAAGGCAAGCCCCGGUGCAUGUUUCCCUGUUUUAAAUUAUGCAAUAUGUUGAUGCUUAUGAUUGUGCAAUUACGUUUAUAGGAGUUGAAGGACACCUUAGAUGCAUGAACUUAGUACCCUUCUGAUCUGAACACUAGCAUAAUAAGUUGCGUAGAUGCAAUACUAAAUAGGACUCGGUAAAAGUCGAGUGAUUGCCUGUCACUCGCGAGUUAUAGGAGUUGUUUGUUUACUCUUGCUACAACUAUAAGGACGAUGGACGGGCCAGGCUUAUGUUCAGUUCUUGGUGGUUGGCCCCGUCUAUCUACACGAAAAUGGACUAAGGUCAAAAUGUGUUGGCGUUUGUGAUCAAGUUUUUGAAAGUACUAAUCUCAUACCUAGUAUGGGAUAGGGAAGCCUAGUACCUAAUUGAACUGGGGCGUGGCAUACCCUCCAGCUGUCCUUGGAACGUCGUUCCCAUGGUGCAUCAUGUGGGUGCAAGUGCGGUCCUAGUACAACUGCCUUGGAAUGUUGUAACCUCUGUGCUACUCACCUUCGUGUGAGCAAUGCUUCUCGAUCCUGUGAGUGGUUUAUCGGAGGAAAUCCGAUGGUCAACCAAGUUGACUUGCUUAAAGUGCAUGAUCGUGUGUCAGGCGACUUAAGUGCAUUUUAAUCAAGUUAAUUUGGGCGGUUCCGCCACAGCUGGCAUUAGAGCUUGAAGCAUGGUAUAGAGAGCAACAAACCUUAAAAACACCUUUUCUGAAUAAAAAAUGCAAGAAACUAGUUGAAAAAUCCGUAAGCUCGUUAAGGAUGAGUUUAGUACGAGAAGCCCUAGGGGAAUUUUGGGGUCAUUUAAGGUGGCUAGUAACUAUUGGUUAUUUGUACUGACUUCCAGCACUUGUCGCCACGUUUAUCAGACGUGUGCAGAGUUCCACAUCGCGAGUAUGCGAAGGGUGAUAGGAAUUCGAUUCCAACGAGCCUAUCAUCACGGUUGUCUUUCGCCCACAUCUAUUAUAUGUGUGCAGGUUCUGUAUGUUAAUGCAUGCGAAGGAUGGUAUGGUUUGAUUCCAAUGAGCCUAUCGUCAUGGUUGUUCGCCCACGUCUAUUAUAUGUGUGCAAGAUUCCGCAUCACGAGAAUGUGAAGGGUUAUGUGGUUCUAUUCAAAGGAACCUAUUUCCACGGUUGUUGCGUUGUCCAUGCAGCGUUAAAUGCAUGGGUGCCAUUUCUAUAGUGAACGGUAAUGUUUGUGGAUGCUUUCGUGGGUGCUGGCAUGAAAGGUUCAAGGUGUGAUGUGUUUUUCUACAGAUACACUAACCACGUUUACCUACGAAACGAAGCUUAGCAACUCGACUAGUUAUUAUAGUGAGAGUCAUAUUGUUGCCUUGCCACCGGCACUAACUGCGUAAGUCCAAGAUUUUUGGCGAUUGUUUUGGUUGUGAGUCGAGACUUCGUUAACCGGGGUGAGAUCAAGAUAUGCAAAAUACACACGGAUCUGAACAUUUCUGAUCCGUUGACAAAACCACUCCCGCAGGCUAAGCAUGAUGCGCAUGUAAGAGCUAUGGGUAUUAGGUACCUUCUAGAUUGACUCUAGUGCAAGUGGGACUCUGUUGGAGGUAUGCCCUAGAGGCAAUCAUAGAGAUGAUGAUAUUCCAUUUGUAUCCAUGAUUUGUAUACUGUGUUCAUUGAAUAUCCAUUAAAGGCUACUUGAAUUGAUUUGCAAUUAUGUGAAUUGUAUGUGAAACUCUUUACUUGUAUGGUUAUUCUAAAGUUGUCCCUAGUCGGAGUUCAUGUGAGGACACACAUGAAUAUUAGACUAGCACAUGUAUUAGUUGAUGACUAUGUUUCACAAGUCAUGGACAUGGAGAUGUUGAACUAAUAAUGUGGACACAUGUGGAGACAUGUGUUAGGACUGACCCAACACGAGAAGUAGUUCUCUCUUUAAACAACAUAUACGCUUUGUCCUUAGACCUGAGAUUGUCGCAUGUAUUCUAGAUGUGGAUUGACCUACUUAGGGGCUAUCAAACGCUACGCCGUAACAGGGUAGUUAUAAAGGUAGCUUUCGGGUUUGUCAAGAAGCAUGCUAUGAGACAUGGUCAAUCAAGAUGGGAUUUGCCCCUCUCUGAUUGAGAGUGAUAUCUCUGGGCCCCUCGAGUGAUCGGAUCAGAAAAUGCAUGGCCAUGCUACGUACGGUUAAGAGUUAACCUACAAAGGGAUUCCGAAUCAUAGGAUCGAGAAAGAGCGGUCGGCUUGAAGCUAGACCAAAUAUCGUGAGGCAAAGGGAAUAGCAUGUAUAUUAUGUUGUGAUGGUUCGUCUGAUAUGAUCUUCGUAUGCGUAUAGGAGUUGGCACGUCUUGCUAGAGGCCGCUACCGACUAUUGGGCCGAGUAGGAGUACUCGGGCCAUGUCUAUACGUAUCCGAACCCAUAGGGUCACACACUUAAGGGGCUGGAAGCCCAAUUCGGAUCUGAUCCGAGUUGGAUUAGGUUUAGGAGUACUAAUGGGCCUCGGAUCCAGAGGCCCAUCAGGAACCCCUAUAAAUAGAGGGGUGGGGGCGCCCUAGGGUGACACACCUUUUGGCUGAACACACUUGCCGCGCCUCCCACGCCCUCGCCUGUUGCAACUCGCGGAUCUAGCAAUCCGGCUUGCGACGCUUCCUCCCUGCACGUGUGGAUACCUUGGAGGUGUUGCGCCUGCAGCACUUGGACGAGCCGCCGACGAGCCGCCGACGAGCCGCGACGAGCCGACGACGAGCCACGGUACCAGAGGCGGUCUUGCUGUGCACGUAGACGAGCUGCUGAGGAGCUGCUGGACGUGAUCGACUACGUACGACUACGUUGAUCGACUACGUACGACUACGUGAUCGUCUUCACUGCAUCGACGCAAAUCUACAUCUUCCGCACCAGUAGUGCGUCGAGUGGUAAUCCCGUGAUCCUUAUACGGCAGUUCUUCCUGGUUAUACGCGGUAGAAAAUUUUGAUUUGCGCUAGUGUAGCCUACCUUGUAUCCCAACAAACUCUAGAAACUUUAUAUAAGAAAGUUGUGUUAAAAAUCCUAAAUAACUUUCUGUAAAAUUUUCAUGAAAAGCUACCACCUAGGUUGAAAGUUAGGAUCAGCUUUGAAACCCCCUGUUUGGCUGAUAAUACUGAGUGUACACCAGUUGGAGUGUUACUGUUUCGACCACUUUAACAACUUUUUAUUCUAGGAGUCCUUUAAUCAAAGUUUCUCAGAACUUAGUAAAGAACUUGGUGGUAAAGUUUCAGCUUCAUUAGGUCUCUAGUUUUGAAGUUAUGCUCAGCUUACUUCAGCUCGGUUUGAAAAAUUCCAGCAUAUACCCCCUAAUAAAAAUCUGAGCUUAUCACUCUGUUAGGUUCUGUUUUAGCUCUACCUUUGAAUACCAAACUUGUUGCACACUAUCUAAAGAACAUGUUAAUAAAAUUUGAGGAAUUUUGGAUAAAUGCUUGCUGACUUAUGAGUUUUUCUCUAACUAUCAAAAAUUUGUUUUGAUUUCCAAGUGUUGAUUCCGUUCCUCACUUGUCCUUUUGUUACAGAUGGCUCACCCUGUGUACGUUGCGGUUGGUGUGGAUGGCACCACCCACUCAACGUGCCUCCACUAUGAGGGUUUUCCGGCCAUACUGUGGGACACCUUGCGCUCGUUUGGGUACCCGUCACCGCCUGUUUACGCGGGAUGCGCGUACCAGGACCACAGGAUUUCUCGAAGCUGCGUGCAUGUGAAGGUGCCCCCACCCCCGGACCAGCCCUAGUGGCCACUUUUGGAGGUUGUGGAUGAGGGACACACGUUGCAGAACACGUGGGAGUUCGCGGCUUUACAGGCACUGACAAAGUUUUGCAGGGCGCACCCCCGGGAGAUUGUGUUAGAACCGAUUGGGUUGUUUCCUACCAGGGAUAGGAGAGAUCCGGAUUGGUUGGACCGCAUGGAGCACAUGGACUUGCUGGGAGUUAUGGACCCACAGCGUACGAUCUUUGUCUUAGCCUGUUGCAUGAAUGUGUUCUAUCGGAUGAUUGUGAUGCAGAGCAGGGCGAUGACCACUAUGAUUGGGAUGGCCGUGGCCAACUAGGUUUCCCUCACCACCGUGCAAAAUGGCAUGGUGAACUUGUCACUUGAGUUGGUACAGAAGGAUGUUCAGAUAGCAAAUAUGCAGGACUGGAUUUCUGGUUUAGAGGAGUAGAUAGUAGAAAUGGAGCAUGACAUGGAGAUGCUGGCUGACCAGUUCUAUGAUGUGAACAUGGAGCUCGUGAACACCAAUGAGCACCUACAGGAGCACCACGCUGAGCUUAAUGCUAUCCACGCCUUAGAGGUGCAGUUGGAUGAGCCUAUAGCUCAGGAGGAGGAGGAGCCCGAGGAGAUUGAGGGCUUUUCGAGUAUGGAUUUUGAGGAGGCCUCUCCGCAGCCCCGAGUUGGCGACGCACACUCUCCUGCUCUUAGCCUUGCCUCCGUAGGCAACCUGGACGACUUUUAGAUGUAUCAACUUGUUGGGAGUAGUUUCUUUUGUUGAACUCCUCGGCAACCUAUAUUUUGGUCAGUGAUGUAAUAGGUUAGCUUGAGUUGAGUAUUAGGGUGUUGAAAAACUGAUUUCAUGUAUGGUUUUGCCAUGGCUACCGACCAGUUGCAAUGUUUGAAAAUAUGUGGCAGAAUUUUAGUAGCUGUUUCUCCUCAGUUUUACCCCUGUCUCCACUCGUUUUUGAUCCAAGGUUUGAAUACCAAAGUUGUGUGGAAACAUGUGUUCUAACUGCUUAUAAAAUUUCAGCUCCUUUGGAUCUGUCAAACUUAUGUUAGAACCAAAACACCGCAGCUCAGCUUGCUGAAAAUCAGCCCAAAACAGCAGCGUGUUAAAUUGGCUAAACCACCCCCUUCCCUUCCUUUUCGGUCAACAAGCAUAACAUGAAGUGGAUAUGUACGAUGACUUCUAACUCUCAAAUAAGGAUGAGAACCUUGUAUACUUCAAAGGAGAGAUAUGCACCUACUCAAUAAAAGAUAUGAUUGUUGUGUUUGCACUAUCGGCAAGAUUAGCAUUUAAAGAUUCAGCACAUAAUUUUCCUUAUGAUUGGAAAGCUUUUGAGGAUUAUGUGACUAAUGGAAAGAUGAAUCUUGCAGAUGGCGCACCGCACCCAUUCCGGCUCUAUUCCUAGUGGCAGCGAGCAGAGGCAGGUGCCUCCACUGCCUCCGCCUCCGCCCACUCUAGAGGCGAUCUUGGCUGCUCAAACUGAGCUGCUGAGGCACAUCACCCAGGGGCAGCAGCAGCAACCCCAGGGAGUAAGAGCUCAUUAGCAACCUCAUGUUGCUCAUUAUGAGGACUUUCUGGGAACACAGCCUCCUCUGUUCCACAAGACGGAGGACCCGCUCAACGCCGACGUCUGGAUUCAUGCCAUCGAAUCCAAAUUCUCCCUCCUCACGGCCCAUUUCCCGGAUGAGAACAAGGCUCGGUUCACCGCGCAGCAACUGCGUGGUUCCGCCCUCCUAUGGUGGGAUCACUACCACGCCAUGCAUCCGGCCGACCACGUAGUCAGCUGUAAGGAGUUCAAGACAGCAUUCAGGGGCCAUCAUAUCCCUGAGGGUCUCCUGGAGCGUAAGCUCAAUGAAUUCCUGGCUCUCACCCAGGGAGGCCACGACGUCCUGCAGUAUGCGCAAGCUUUCAAUGACCUCUGUCGCUACGCAGGCUAUCAUGCGGACUCUAAUGAGAAGAAGAGGGACCGCUUCCACAGAGGUUUGAGUCUGGAGCUCAAGGAAAGGCUGAAUCCCAUCAAGGUGGAUUCCUUUAAUGAACUAGUGAACCUAGCAAUUUCCCAGGAAGAUUGCAUGAAGGCCCUCAAGGCCGAUAUGAAGCAGAAGGCUCCAAUGCUGGCACCCAGCCCACCUGCACAGAGAUACAGGAUGGUUCCCCCACAGGCGCCUCGUAGGCCCGCACAGCCUGGGAGAUGGGUUGCUCGACCCCCAUCGCAGGCAGCACCUCGUUUCCCUGGAUUCCAGCCACAAGGGCCCUCCCUGCUCUUCCAAUGCCACCACACCUUGCUACUGGAAACCACUGUUUCACCUGCGGGAAUACGGGGCACUUUGCCAAGAAUCAGCGGCCUGGCCAGAGCAAUGCACUGGGUAACAAGGGAAAGAAGCCUAGAGUGCAGGUCCGACAAGGCAGGUUGAACUUCACCACCCUUGCCGAGCUCCCGGAAGGUGCACCAGUGAUGGCGGGUACCUUCUCUGUCCAUAAUCAACCCGUCCUUAUUCUGUUUGAUUCGGGAGCAUCCUAUAGUUUCAUUGGGUCCCGAACCUAUGCGAAGUGUGGGUUAGGUUUCUGUCACACCAAAGGGGCAUAUAUAAUCUCUACCCCAGGUGGGAAAGUAGCCUCACACCAGUUGACACGCCAGGUACCUAUCAGUUUAGAAAGAACCCUUCUCAAGGAAGACCUACUUAUUCUUGGGUUAGAGGGGAUAGAUAUCAUCUUGGGCAUGGAUUGGAUGACUCGACACCGAGUAGCACUAGACAUCUCUGCCAGAGCAAUCCAUAUAAAAUCACCCAAAUAUGGUAGCUCAAUCGUACACUUACCCCUCCGCGAGUGCAAAACUUCUUGCGCCUAUCCUGUGACUGAAGCCCUUUUGGAAGACAUUCCAGUGGUGUGUGAGUAUCCCGAUGUGUUUCCAGAUGAUUUGCCGGGUAUGCCGCCUAAUAGAGAUAUCGAGUUUGCUAUUGAGUUGCAACCUAGCACUGCCCCAAUUUCGAAGAGACCGUACCGGAUGCCACCCGCCGAGCUGGCAGAAAUGAAAACUCAGUUGCAUGAGCUGUUGGAAAAAGGUUUUAUUCAUCCAAGUACAUCACCUUCGGGUUGUCUAGCCUUGUUUGUGAAAAAGAAGGAUGAGAGUCUCCGUAUGUGUGUGGACUACCGACCUCUCAAUGCGGUGAUGAUAAAGAACAAGUACCCAUUACCCCGCAUUGAUGUUCUGUUCGAUUAGUUAGCUGGAGCUAAAGUAUUUUCCAAGAUUGAUCUUCGUUCCGACUACCAUAAAAUCAAGAUCCGACCAUGCGAUAUUCCUAAGACUGCCUUCUCUACACGGUAUGGACUCUAUGAGUACUUAGUCAUGUCAUUUGGGCUUACUAAUGCGCCAGCUUAUUUCAUUUAUCUCAUUAAUUCGGUGUUCAUGCCCGAACUUGACAAAUUCGUCGUGGUAUUCAUCGACAAUAUCUUGGUGUACUCGAAGAAUGAGGAAGAACAUGCAGAGCACCUUCAUACUGUGCUUCAACGCUUAAGAGAUCACCAACUCUAUGCCAAGUUCUCCAAGUGUGACUUGUAGCUGGAUAGUGUUAAAUUCUUGGGGCACACUAUAUCCAGUGACGGCAUAGCAGUAGACCCAAGCAAAGUUCAAGAAGUAAUGGGCUGGAAGCCGCCCACUUCAGUUCAUCAAAUUCGAAGUUUUCUCAGUUUAGCAGGCUACUACUAUCGAUUCAUUCCUGACUUCUCAAAGAUAGCUAAGCCAAUGACGGAAUUGUUAAAGAAAGGAGUUAAGUUUGUGUGGAGCGAUAAAUGUGAAGAAGCUUUCCACACAUUGAAACAAGUACUGACCUCCGCACCGGUUUUAGCUCAGCCAGACACCACUAGGCCGUUCGAUGUUUAUUGUGAUGCCUCUGGCACUGGACUUGGGUGUGUUCUUAUGCAAGACAGCCGAGUCAUUGCCUAUGUCUCGCGAGCGCUACGGCCACAUGAGCUGAAUUAUCCUACCCAUGAUCUUGAGUUAGCAGCGGUUGUUCACGCUCUAAAAAUGUGGAGGCAUUAUCUCAUGGGGACUCGUUGCAAUAUCUAUACGGAUCACAAGAGUCUCAAAUAUAUCUUCACUCAAGCAGACCUCAACAUGCGUCAGAGAAGAUGAUUAGAAUUAAUCAAGGACUAUGACUUAGAAGUGCAUUAUCACCCAGGCAAAGCCAAUGUAGUCGCAGAUGCUCUCAGCCGCAAAAUCCAUUGUAACUGCUCGUCGGCAACCAACUAUGCUGAAACCUUAUGUCAUGAGAUGACCAAGCUUAAUUUGGAAAUUAUUCCCCAUGGCACCUUAAGUCAUAUUUCUCUUGAGCCUAUCUUGGAGGACCAGAUUAUUUUAGCGCAAUUGGAGGAUAAAGAGAUAAAACUUACCAAGAAAAAGCUUGCACACAAAGAUGAGGGAUAUAAACACUUCCAACAAGAUUGGAAGGGAGUUGUACACUAUGAAGAUCAACUAGUUGUUCCAAAUGAUCCUAAUCUUAAGAAAUGAAUUAUGGAUGAAGCACACCUUUCCAAGUUUUCGAUUCACCCUGGUAGUACCAAGAUGUACCAUGAUCUCUGACAAAAUUUCUGGUGGAGUGGGAUGAAACUAGAUAUUGCAUGAUAUGUUUCAGAAUGUGAUAUGUGUCAACGAGUUAAAGCAAGCCACUUGAAGGUAGCGGGCACCUUGCAACCAUUACCUAUUCCCUCAUGGAAGUGGGAGGACAUAAGCAUGGACUUUAUCGUCGGAUUGCCCAAUACCUCUCGCAAGCAUGAUUCCAUAUGGGUUAUAGUAGACCGACUUACCAAAAAGCGCAUUUCCUUCCAGUACACACUACCCACACUAUACAAAAAUAUGCAGAGCUGUAUCUUGACCGAAUUGUUUCCUUGCAUGGUGUGCCUAAAACGGUCAUCUCUGAUCGAGGUAGUCAGCUUGUAGCGCGCUUUUGGGAGCAGCUGUAGUCUUCACUUGGCACUAAGCUAAUUCGUAGCUCCACAUACCACCCUUAAACCGACGGACAAACUAAAAGAGUCAACCAGAUACUAGAAGAUAUGCUAUGCGCUUGUGCCAUUCAUUAUAACAAGAAUUGGGAUAAAUGUUUGCCAUUAGCAGAAUUCUCAUACAACAAUAGCUACCAAGCCAGUUUAAAAAUGGCACCUUUUGAAGCUUUGUAUGGAUGUAGAUGCCAAACCCCGCUAAAUUGGUCACAACCAGGAGAGCGGACGAUAUAUGGACCCAACUUGGUAAUGGAGGUCGAAGAAAAAGUGAGAGUUAUUUGAGAAAAUCUUAAGGCUGCCCAGUCCCGACAAAAGAGCUAUUUCGAUUAGAGGAGAAGAUCUAUCCAAUUUGAGGUUGGAGAUUUUGUAUACCUUCGAGUAUCGCCGACUAAGGGCGUACAACGAUUUGGAGUGAAAGGAAAGUUGGCUCCACGCUAUAUUCGUCCAUAUGAGAUUGUGGAAAUUUGUGGACCUGUAGUGUACCGAGUUAAACUCCCGGAGAAUAUUGCCGUGAUACACGAUGUUUUCCAUGUCUCGCAACUCAAUAAGUGUGUUCAAGUUCCGACCGAAAUUCUUGCAACAGAAGAAUUGGAGAUCUAACCCGAUUUAUCAUACAAGGAAUAUCCUGUCAAGAUCCUCGACCGGAAAGAAAGACAUACUCGUAGACAAAUGGUGAAAAUGUACAAAAUUCAGUGGAGUAACCAUACGGAAGAUGGAGCAACGUGGGAAACAGAAGAGUAUCUCAAUGCUAACUUCCACAGUUUUCUUUUCGACUAGGGAGGUACCUUGCACCAGCCACACUAGUUCCUUUCUGCACUUGAAUCUCGGGAUGAGAUUCUCUUAAGGGGGGUAGGCUGUAACAAAUCUGGCUUAAUUAGGUGUAAUUAAACAUAAACAAGUCUUUGGUCACUAAGCAAAAGAGGUGAAAUGUCCUUUUUGACCCUAAGAAGCUCGUUUUGGAGUUAAAUAUAAAACUUGAGUUUUUAUAUACAAACUUGAAAUUUUUCCCAAAUAAGAGUUGUAAAACUUUUAAUUUCAAACAACUUUUGUUAAAGACACUUUGUCUAAUUCAGAGUGGGAGAAGGUCAAAAACAAGAAUCAAAAUAGGAGUGUUAUAGAACCCUAGAAACAACCUAUGUUCUGGAAUUCAAGUUUUUCUUCGACUUUGCAACCUGUUAUCUCACAAGUUUACAUCUAACCUCGAGUCAGACCUUUAAUAAAAAUUGUAGUCCCUUGAGUGUGUUUCCAGCUUUGUUACACUGACCCAGAUCUAAAUCGUAACCAAACCUGCUCAAAGUCUUGGUCAAAGUCGGGUAAAACAGUAAACUCAGCCCUCGAGGCAUUCCAGCUCUCAGUCUGGAAACCAUCCAGAGCGCGCCUCUUGGUGAGUGUGUUCCUCCAAUUUUUUGAACUAAACUCGAGAAAAGUCCUAAGAUCGAAGAGCAACUCCUUCAAUAGCACCUUGGUCUUUUUCAAACCAGAAACUGCCCUUAAGUCGAGUCAAGGACAGCCAAACUCCUGAAAUUUUCACCAACUCGGCUGAAAAGCCUAAGUCCGAAAAUUAUGGUUUUUGGCAAACCUUGGCUCAAGUUUUCUCCAAAUCCUUUCAAAAUCUGAGCAAACGCUUUUAAUAAAGUUGAACUACGACCGCAGUACUACAAGUUUGUUUAAGGGUCCUUUGAACGUUUAGUUUGAAAAAUCUCGAGUAGAGGGCCCCCAAAGCCGGUCUUGUUUUUUGUCUAAAGUUGCCUCGACGCUAGCACGUCCAGGCAUGUUCGCCCGCGCGCCGCCCGCCGCGUGGCCGCCAUCCACCGGCGAGCUCACCGUCACCCUACCCGCGCCCACGACAAGAUGGGGCAAGCGCUGUGCUGGCCAAUUGCCGCCGAGGCUGUUCCCCUCCUCCUGCGUGUGAGCCGCUCUGCCCAUCCAGUGCCCGCGUCUUCCUUCCCCUCGCAUGCCACGCCACCGCCAGGUACCGGCCGCGCCGCCGCCCCCAAUCCGGCGCUUGACGCGACCAGACGCACGCCCGGCCUCACUAAUCCUUCCGCCCGCCAAAACCAUGCUUGCCAGAUGUUAUCUCCUUUGCCCAAUGCCCGGAGGAUCCUAUCCCCAGAACUCCGCUUCUCCGGCCAAUGGAGGCGCCAACUAAUCGCCACCACAACAGAGCACUUCCUUCUCUCUCGAUCUUAUCCUCUCACCCACUCAAGCUCGUUUCCUUCCUCCGAACACUUCCGCGCAUCUAUAAAAAGGUACCAAAGCCUCUUACCGGAGUUCCCUUCGCCAAAACUGCCUUUGCCGCUCUACCUGCUCUAUUUUUCUCCACCGCACUCACCGCUGCACUUGGAGCUGCCACUCCGGACAGCCCCGUGCAGCGACUCCUUCACCGUCAGCUUCGCCUUAGUCGCCUAGAGCUUAUCGACCUGCUCAAGGAGCCCCUGCUCAAGGAUCGUCGCCGCCAGUUUCCACAACAUCAACCCGAGCUGCCGCUGUUCCUCAUUUUGCCCCUUUUUGUUUCUUCCCGACCCCAAGACCUCAUCCGUAGGACCGGAGGUGAGCUGCCGACCCCUUUCCAACUCUUCCUGACCCUGAUUCAUCCGUGAAAGCGACCAGACCUUGUCCGUCUCGCCCGAGUGUUGUCCGCCUCGCUCGAGUGUUGUCCGCCUCGCCCAAGGGCUUGGUUGAGUCUUUUCUUUUGACCAAGGGUGUGGCGCAACCGCUCAGAUUAGCCUAGCUAAAGCACAAUAAGUCGCCUCACACGUGGUCUUAUGCUUUAACCAAGUUAACUCGGCAGUCCGUAAUUUCGCUUCAAUCAGUCUCGUAAUUUCGGCCUUUAUAUCAGGUAGAAUUUUAGGAUUGCAUCGUCGUGCGGGCUGUUGAUACGGUCGAUAUUCUGGUUUUAUGGGCAACCGGUGUUCAACAAUGGACUGGUCUAGGCCAGGCAUAUCUAGGUAUUCCCAAGCAAAACAAUCUUUAAAUUCCUUUAAUAAGUCUAUCAAUUUACACUUGUAUUCGGGAUCCAAGUUAGCACUAAUGUACGUCGGCCUUGGUUUGGUGCCAUCACCUAAAUCUAUCAUCUCUAAUGAAUCGGCCGACGUAAACUCGUGCCCCAGCUUUCCAUCUUCUUGGACAAACUGAUCCAUCUAAUCUGAAUCUUCAGAGCCGACUGCUCGGAUCGGUUGUAGGCCAAAAUCGGACACUUUCAAGAAAUCGGUGUCCCAAGUCCUCCCGGAUAUGCACUUGACGUGUUCGCAGCUCCACUGCUGCGUAUGGGCCGCAGCAACACCGUAGGCGGAAUCGGCGGUGACUAUCUUGAUGUUGUUGCCGACCCAUUGUACGAGGCAUUGGUGCAUUGUAGACGGGACGCAGCAAUUCGCAUGUAUCCAGUCGCGUCCGAGCAACAUGUUGUAGGACCCUUUGCCAUUAAUAAUAAAGAAAGUAGUGGGAAGGGUCUUACGGAUGGUGAGGUCGACACAGAAAGCCCCGCGCCCGGGAGACACGUUGCCCUCGAAGUCCUUGAGCAUCAUGUCCGUCUUGGUUAGAUCCUCGUCACUUUUACUCAGCUUUUAGAACAUGACGUACGGCAUGAUGUUGACUGCAGCACCUCCGUCUACUAGUAGCCUGGUGACAGGUUGACCAUUGACGUGUCCUUUGAGGAACAGUGCCUUGAGGUGUUGCCAUUUUUCAUCUUCGGAUUUCUCAAAAGUGGCUGUCAUUGGCUCCAAAGCCAAUUGUGCCAUCUGUUCCUCCAUAUCCGUUGUGUCGUACCGAUCGGCGGGAGCCAUGAACUCCAUCGGCAAGAUGAACACCAUGCUGAUGUCAGCUGCCGAUUCCAGGUUGCCAUCUUCUUCAUUGUUGUUUCUUUUGGGGUGCCAAACUCGAGACCUGUCAUCUUUCUUAUCCACCACCUGCCUCUGCUCUUCUUCCUAUUGUUCCCAUUGGCGCAGGCAUUGGAUCCUUCAUUUUUUCGAUUUGGUCAAUCCAUCAGGGCAAACCUAGGGUUCACCGGUUUGGCCAGUAGCCUGGCGCGCUCCCAGUCCGGUUCCCGUCCUAGGGGGUUUUCAUCUGACACCCUAGCAUCAGCCAUCUCCUCUAGCCGAUCGUGUGCACUGACUCUGCCCCCCGGUCGAUCGUGCUGUUCGCGUCCGUCCCUUGGCCGAUCAUAUCGGUCAACUCUGCCCCCCAGCCGAUCACUCACUAAAAGGCGCCGAUCCUCUUGCUCGCGCCAGUUUCUGCUGAUUGGCUCUGAUCCUCUGUCCCUAGAGCGAGGCAUCUUGAAUGGGCGAUUAUUGCGAUAUGGACCGCUGCACUCCGGGCAAUUAUCAGCCGAUGGCAACCUAAGGUUAUUUUCCCAGCAAUGGAUGAAGAAAGGACAUCGCCAAUGAUCUUCGUGUUGUCGCAUUAUUUCUUCGCGAUAUCUCGAACUUUCCUGUUGCCGCUGAUACUUGUUGAGCAAGAACUGGGAGGUAAUAGGUCUACGCGGUCUUUCCGAUCCUUCACCCUCAUCGUCAACCCGUCUCUUCCCCUUGACAUCUUCGAACGUAGCUUCAUUCCUGGGGUCCACAGCGCCACACUUUUUAGCCGAUUCCGACGUCAGCAUUUUGGUUUGAAGCGCAUUUCUUCCCGUAUCAACCAUGUUAGUGGGGAAAGGAUGCUGAUCAAUCUUCAUUGGCUUUGCUAGCCUUGUCGGGACCUCGAACUUGAGUCUGCCUUGCUCGAUGGCCGAUUGUAUCUGCUAGCGGAAGAUUUUGCACUCGUUCGUGUCAUAGGACAUGGCACUGUGCCAUUUGCAAUACUUCAUCUUUCUUAGCUGCUCGGCCAAUGGGAUCGUAUGAUAGGGUUAGAGUUUGAUCUGCCCCUCUUGGAGAAGUAGGUCGAAAAUUUUGUCGGCCUUUGACGUGUCAAAACUAAAUGCCUCUGGUUCCUUUUUCCCGAAAGGACACGAUAUCGGCUUUUUUCCUUUAACCCACUCUGCUAGGCUGAUUUCCACUUCCUCCUCAGAUUUAGAUCCCUCUAAGUAUGCCACCUUUUUCUAAAAAUUUCUUCGCUGAUCAAAGGAGCGUACUUCUUGACCGAACAAUCGGUGGACGAUCUGACUUAGGCUCUUGAACUCCUGGGAAGCGUAUUUCUCCUUGAUAUGUGGCAGGAGGCCUUGGAAGGCAAUGUCGGCCAGCUGCGCAUUGGUCAGGACAAGGGUGUAGCAUUUGUUUCUGACUUCCCUAAACCUUUGCACAUAAUUGGUCACGAGCUCGUCGCUCCUCUACCUGAGCCUGGUCAAAUCUGAUAGCUUCAUCUCAUGGACUCCUGCGUAGAACUAUUUGUGGAACUGCUUUGCGAGGUCAGCCUAGGUGAUGAUGGAAUUGGGUGGUAGCGUAGUGAACCACUGGAAAGCCGACCCGGACAGGGAUGAUGAGAACAGACGCACCCGCAGGGCAUCCUGUGUAGCUGCCUCCCCGCAUUGGAUGAUGAAUCUGUUUACGUGUUCCACAGUUGAGGUGUCAUCCAGCCCUGAAAACUUAGUGAAGUCGUGGACUUUGUACCGAUGGGAAAACAGCAGUAGAUCGUAGCCAGGCGGGUAAGGCGUUUUGUACGUGUAAGUUUGUACCUUUGGCUUCAAUCCAAAUUGAUCUUGGAUCACCUCCGCUAUCCUUGCCGUCCAGUCUACUUGCUGCUGAUGAAUUACUGGAUGGGGAAUCGGCACAUGUUGGUGGAUCGGCGGCGGGAUGACCGGGUGCUGAACCAAAGCGUACGGCGGAUUCUGCGGUAACGUGGCCGGCUGAGCAGUUGACAUUUGAUGGUGCAGUGAACCAGCCAUCUCAUCAUACAGUAUCAUCAGCGCCGCACCUCGGAGUGCUUCAGCAGCGUCUGCCCCCCUGCCGAUUUCUGACGUGGCUGGUUGAUACUGUGGAACCGUCGGCCGGGUGGCCGACUGGAAUGGUUCCUGAAUCGUAGAGCCUCCAUAGCCGGCCGAUUGAUCCAGAAUGGCCGCUGUUGACGGUGCCCCCCAAGGCACUGAGUUUGAUGGCGAUGAUUGCACGGAUGAAACUUGAGCAGGCUGCGCCGGUGCUUGUGAUUGAAAGCAUGGCGCACCGUUGUAUCCUGGAUGCAUUGAAGGCAGUGAAGUGUUGUAUCCUCCAUGCUAUGUCGGCAUCGGCUGAGGAGCCGAUUGAGAUGUGCCCGGUAAGCUCUUGACUGGGGCUGCGAUGGGUGCGUAUGCCGGCCCGUGAUAUCCUUGAGAUAUGCCAUUGGCCAGGGAGCUAAUGAUGGCAUUGUACACCGUGUUGGCCAUCACCGGGGAUUGAUCAAUGAAGGCCUGGUAGACGGACUGUUGGAUCAUGUCGGACAUCUUGGUCAAAUCCUCAGUGAUGGUGAUCUGAUGGGGAGUUGGAAAAGGAGCUUUUUCUUGACGGUCUCCCCGCUCCUGGUAUGACUGAAAGAUUGCAAGCACGUUUUCCUGUAUUGUUCCAUUUGCUUUGCCAACUCUUCUUUCUGGUUGUCCUUGAGAUCUGCUUCCGUCACUUCGAUGACGUUGUCUUUGGAGAUUUUGGCAGCUUUCGACAUGUUGGAGGUUGAAGUGGUCCCACUGGGCGUGCCAAAAGUGUGUUGGCGCUAAAAGUCAGUCGAUUGACCCUCAGCAUCGGACACACGACCCGGGAGAAUCUGCCUACCUCCUGUUUGGGUGAUUGCCCUAGUGCGGUUCGCGCGGUGUGCCAACCAAUCUAACCUGUUGAUUGGCAAGGAAGAAAACAUGUCAAUUUCUAGGGGUUCCGAUUGGCUAAAGGUUUUGAUCUCGAAAAGCGUAUCAGCGAAUCGGUCGAUUUGCUAUGUGAAGAUAAUCGGCUAUAAUACAGCCGACAAUCACGUAGCGAUUGCGAAGGAAACUACUAGAGUAAAUUGAACAAGGCUACGAAAGCAACACUUGAAACGGAUCUAAUCGACUAUAUGAUAAUGAUGAAUGAAAAUAACAAUAACAAAGCCGACAGUUCAAAUCCCAAGCUGGAUAGCUGGUGAUAAAACUAGAACACCAGAUAGAACCUAUAAUUCUAGUAAAUAUCGAUAACUUGUGAAUAAAUCUAAACGAAACAACAGCGAUGCGCCCGAAGUUAAAGCUUAGAUAUUACUCGAUAAACGGAGCUUACAAAAUUGGCUGGAGAUCGUGUCAAUGCAGCCCUGCCAACCCGUACGAACUCGUGAAAGAAGAAAAGUAUUGGCGAAGUCGCCGACUUGAAAGUAAAGUGCGAUGAAAAAGUAGAUUUGUUUGUAUUGAUUGAUGUGUUGUUUUAUAAAUCUCAAAAGAUGGCUAUUUAUAGCCUGUUACAACCAAUUUCCUAACCGACUAGGAUCUAUCUCUAAUUUUAAAUAGAAACGAAUAUUUACAAAAACAACUCAUAUCGGAGUUGGUUAUUGUACUCCCACGGGCCAAUCCUUCUUUAUCUUCUUCCUUUGACCCACUUUAAGCCCAUAUUGGCCCAAUCGCUCCAGCCUUCCAAUCGGCCGAUCUCCACCAACUCCGUUUGCCAAAACAUUAAAGCGCCAAUCAGCUGAUCCCCAACUGUAGCACCAAUCGACCGAUUCCCAAUCGUGACCUUUUAAUCUGCCGCAUCGGCCAGCCCUUUCCUUCCUUGACGCCGAUUCCAUACGUGUCAAAAUCUAGCAUCAACACAUGCCCCCCAAUUUUGGAGUAAAACAUAACUUCUACUUUGAAAUUCCUUUUUAACUUCUCCUCCGAAACAAACGCAUCAAAAAUCUCCUUCCGUUUCGCAGUCUUCUACCUGAUGAUUGCAAUCUUUUCGAAUCGGGCGCCUGAGACAACCACUCCCCCGAAAUUCGUGUAGACAGCGCGGUAAAAAUCCUACCUUUACCCCUUCUCGGACCGUCUUUAAAUACUGGCACGCCCCGCACUUCUUCUUCACAAGCCAGUAACUUUCUUUCUUGGCGCACUAGUUUCCAUCUUCUUCCAACGCCCUCUUAGCUUCCAACCACAUCUUCUAGCGACCCCCUUUUCAUCCGCAUUCCGCUUCAUCUUCCCAAUGGCGGCACCAUCAGCAACUCCACUAGUAAGGGAGACUCCGCCGACAGCUCCAACGGUGGCGGCAGUAGCUCCAUCAGCGACGGAGGCUCCACCGGCAGCUUCAUUAGUGGCGGCAGCUCCACCAGCAGCCCCGUCGAUGAUGAUGACUUUCAUCCCGGAGGUACUCAUCCGGAACUUUCUCUUUUUACUUUUACCGUCCACGCAUUUGUUUUAGAUCCAUUCUUAGUUCUUCCAUUUUACCUUUUUUAGGCGGUCAGACACCAAAUCCCCAUUCGCCUUUCCGAAGCCCCUAGCCUCAACUGUCUAGGUCCUAUGGGGAAUCCAGACCCAACCGAUCUGAUAAAUUUAGAGACUCACAGAAUUCCGUUUAAACAAUCCCCAAUGGAGUCAGACCAGUGGUCAGGCACCUUUAGAUCUUGGCCGAAUGAAACCCCCGGUUGGAAAGAGUGGUACCAAAGGAUAGCCAACUCUAAGAGAGUUCAAUGGGACGAACGAAAAAUCAGCUAGUGCAUCAAUCUUUCUCUGUCUUAGAUGGAGAGAAAUGAGCCCUUGGUAAUGGCAGCCUCCUACUUCUGGUCCGACGCCCUCAAUGCAUUCCUUUUCGGCCAUGGGCCUAUGACCCCCACUCUGGCCGAUGUUGUGAUGUUGACCGGCCUCGACAUUUCUUCCCCCGAUACCCCCAUCCAUUAUCUGGUCAAGCCGACCCAUCGGCUGGAGACAAAAGGAAUCGGCGGGUGGAAGGGGUACAUCAAGAACAACAUGAAGACCGGGACCAUUUCAGAGAGAGAAUACGCAGCCUUCCUAAUGAUGUGGUUGGAGAAACAUCUUUUCUGCGGCAGGGCAGUUGGUCCGUCUUCCAACACACAAGCUUUGGCCGAAGCAUUAUAGAGGAGCCUCCGUCCCCCUCGGGAAGCAUCUACUAGGAUCGGCCUAUCACAUGCUACACCAAAUCGGCGUCAAACUAUCCAAGGGAGAGCCGAUUGGAAACCCAGGUGGCCCCUAGUGGUUUAUCAAUCUCUGGCUUAAUUUGUAUAUGAGCAAGAUCUCAUAGCAUCGGGUGGAGCAUAUGACAUUCCCCAACAUUGAGUCAGAAGAAAACCCCACCAUACGGCGCUGAUGCACUUCUUUCGGCGAAGCAGCAUCACUCUUCCCUGGUUGCCAGCUCACUGCCACCAAAGUAGCCGAAUAUUUCAGAUGUUUCUAUAACGGCUUCAGUGAAGAAACUACCAGGUGGUACCCAUAUCAGAGGACAGAGCCACUUUUUGAGCUCCCCUUCUAUAACGAUUCGACGUCCAACACCUUUGAUAAUGAUAUCAUGGACACCUUGAUCAAACCAGGGAUCUUACCAGCAGACUUUUUCUCGGGGAAGGAUGCCCCUACUUACGAGUUUUACAAUCCAUCAGUUGCAGCACAGCAAUUCAGCCUAGGUCAGCUGCCGAUUCGAGUCUACUUCGCCGGUCGCGUAAAAUUCUGAGACAAGCUCAGCAAGGGUCUUGACUACAGUCGGCUGUGCAACCGAGUGCUCGAUUCCAGCACCAUCGAUUUGAACAACUGGAUAGUAGCUCCUUUCGCUGUCCAACCUUUAAAAUUAUGGUGGGCAGAAUGGAAGCAGCAUCUAUUUUGUGCGUCUCCCACGACAUAUUGCAAUGAUCUAGACCGUGAGAACAUCGACCCGAACGCAGCGGUACUACUUCUCUCUCAGCCGAUUUUGAUGUCAUCUGCCUUCUCAUACCACAAAUUUUAUCGCUAACUCUUACUUUCUUUUAUAGGUGAGAGUCAACUUCCUCCAACACGCAGCCGGAGUGGCAGGCCGAUAGAGAAUCGCUACCCAUACACCGAAUUCCCACUCAUCGGCCAUCAUGCCCCAUCCAUUGAUGACAUCACCACUGGCCGAUUGAAACCGACGCUGAAGAAAACCUUAAAGAAGACAAGCCGCCGAGUGCGCGCUCGCACGGAAUCGGCCGAUCAGUCGGUGGCAGCAUCGGCGGAAUCUUUGGCUGUGCUGAUUCUCCCAGUCAUCGAGGAAGUUGACCCUCAAGCUGCUGCAGAAGCUGGAGCGGCCGCUGCAUCGUUGCUAGCUGAAGCCUUUCAGGUAACCUUGUGUUUACAUCCUCCCGAGUAUUCUCUUGAUACUAACUUCUUUUUUAUAUCAGGCUGCACAAGUCGCUCCGGUGCCUCCGCAGCAAUCGGCCACACCCCAAGCAGAAAUCAGAGUGCCAGUAAUUCCUCCCACCGAGGUAAAGAAUCCCUUAACUCAAAUUUUCAUACUUAAUCAAAAGCUUGACCGAUUCUGAUGCAAGGUACCCUUGGUACGUCAAUUGUACCUUUUCAACAGCCAUCGGCUAGGGAACCCACGGAGGUACGGCAAACACCACGUGUCAUCAGAUCUAACCAUUUGUAUUAUACUCAUAAGAAUUUGCUUCUCGUAUCUUUCUAGGAGGCCGGUCCGAGCAGGGCAUCGAUAAUCGUCGAAUCCUCCUCCUUUGAUGAGCUGGUCAUACCAGUUCCCGAAUCAAGAGUAGCACUCCCGCCAACGCAAGCAGAAGAAAUCCGCUUCAAAGAGGUAAGAGACUUGUCACCUGAAUUGGCCGAUUUCCCUAUUACCGUCGGCUAACCGAUGCUUAUUAUUUUUUACUCUUUCACAGGAACAAGAUACUCCCAAUAAUAGCCUUUUCUCUUUCGCGGUCGCGCUUUCUGAUGACGAGGAGGUUGCUUCACGUCAAGUUACCCUGAGCUCAAUCCCUGAUGACGUCCGCGCCAAGCUCGAGAGCAUACGGACCCUCCUCCAAGAUGACAUCGGUCGAUGGGUGGAGGAUGCCUCGCUGAUUCAACAGCUCCUCAGCGAUAUCAGAGGCUGAGUCCCAAAAAAGGCAGAAGAAGCUCUAGCACCUGCCGCAUACAUUGAUUCAAUGCAGAUUCUGGUGUUCAGAGCUUUGCGACAUAUGGCCAACCGUGCUAAGCUGGCUAAAGCUCGUGAGGAGGAAAAUUCCUACAACCAUCGAGCCCAAGAGGUUCAUCAUCGAAUCAACUUCCUUGAAAGCUCCCGCCCAGGUAUCGUUGGUGCUAUAGACCGCCUCAAGCAUCGAAGGGCAAAGCUUGCCAAGGAGAUGGAGCAGGUAACCAAGGACAUAGCCAUUGAAGAGAAAAAAACUCCAAGAUCUCCCUUCUGUUAUCGCCGAGCUAAAGCAAGAGAGGCAUAACCUGGCCCACGAAGCAAUCAAGCUCCAUCGCCAUAUGCUAGAAGUCCCUAGAUCAGCCGACAACGACCAACAAACUUUAGACUCGGCCGAUUAGGUUAGGCAGCAAGCGAUUGCGGCUAUUAAUGCCCUCCUUGGAUGAACUGUAAAAGUACUAGCCGCUCUGUAAAAACAUUAAUGUCUUUUGACCAUUUGACGUGCGGAUCCAAUCUUGACCCGUCCUUCAUGGCAGCCUUUCAUUUAUUACCCCUUUUAGUCUGAUGGGACGCGUCUUACCAAAUUCUUGCCUCUUUUCUUUCUACAAGUACGAGACCCCGUAUUGUUUCCAAGGGCAUUCGUCUCGUUCGUCCUCUUCUCCUCUAGUAGUUCAUACCACCAGACUAUUCACCAAGAUGUCUUCUUCAUCUUCCUCCUUUUCCUCCUUCUCCGUCAACCAGGUACGAGAUCUUCCUUCGCCCUCCAUUCCCCAGUCUGACAUUUUAACCAGUCUGAUGUCGAGCGGUUAUCUGUUAAUUUUUUCAGCCGAGACGUCCUAGUCCCGAACUGGAACGGGAGAUUGAGAUCAUGCACUCCGAUGAACCAUUGUCGCAGGAGGACAAAGAUUUGAUCAGAGGCCAUAUUGAAGAACUCAGGGAUCAUGUCCCUGCUGAAGUCCAGAGGAUCUGGGAUCACAUCGACGCCAACUGCCCCAGGCAGCCGCCAAUCGAAAGGAGUCAUCCACUCCCCCGCCCAGUCGCCCUUGAAGACGCCACAGCGGGAACGUCUCAACCAUCGCUUGAUCGGAGCCACCCUCUUCCUCGCCAAGUUAAGGCUGAAGCCGCGAUGAAAUAUUUGGAGGAAAAGAGCAUCCGCCUCUUGAUAGAGUUAGGUCGGGUAGAGAGGGAGCUUAAGAAAAAGCGUGGUUAACAGAUGUGUUGGUACUUUUUGUUCUAAGGGUGACUUGUACCGUGUUGUCCAUGUACCCCAUCGUUCGUACCGAAUAAUAAAUCGGCCAACUUGGACGAAUGUUUUGUUCCCAAGGCAAUUUUAUCUUUGCAUCGGCUACAAGAUCUAAUAGGAGCUGGACGCGCCAUCUUGAUACACUCCAUAACUAGUUAUGCAUCGACCCAUAUACUAGGAUAAUAUAUCUGUUGGAGGUAUGCCCUAGAGGCAAUCAUAGAGAUGAUGAUAUUCCAUUUGUAUCCAUGAUUUGUAUACUGUGUUCAUUGAAUAUCCAUUAAAGGCUACUUGAAUUGAUUUGCAAUUAUGUGAAUUGUAUGUGAAACUCUUUACUUGUAUGGUUAUUCUAAAGUUGUCCCUAGUCGGAGUUCAUGUGAGGACACACAUGAAUAUUAGACUAGCACAUGUAUUAGUUGAUGACUAUGUUUCACAAGUCAUGGACAUGGAGAUGUUGAACUAAUAAUGUGGACACAUGUGGAGACAUGUGUUAGGACUGACCCAACACGAGAAGUAGUUCUCUCUUUAAACAACAUAUACGCUUUGUCCUUAGACCUGAGAUUGUCGCAUGUAUUCUAGAUGUGGACCGACCUACUUAGGGGCUAUCAAACGCUACGCCGUAACAGGGUAGUUAUAAAGGUAGCUUUCGGGUUUGUCAAGAAGCAUGCUAUGAGACAUGGUCAAUCAAGAUGGGAUUUGCCCCUCUCUGAUUGAGAGUGAUAUCUCUGGGCCCCUCGAGUGAUCGGAUCCGAAAAUGCAUGGCCAUGCUACGUACGGUUAAGAGUUAACCUACAAAGGGAUUCCGAAUCACAGGAUCGAGAAAGAGCGGUCAGCUUGAAGCUAGACCAAAUAUCGUGAGGCAAAGGGAAUAGCAUGUAUAUUAUGUUGUGAUGGUUCGUCUGAUAUGAUCUUCGUAUGCGUAUAGGAGUUGGCACGUCUUGCUAGAGGCCGCUACCGACUAUUGGGCCGAGUAGGAGUACUCGGGCCAUGUCUAUACGUAUCCGAACCCAUAGGGUCACACAUUUAAGGGGCUGGAAGCCCAAUUCGGAUCUGAUCCGAGUUGGAUUAGGUUUAGGAGUGCUAAUGGGCCUCGGAUCCAGAGGCCCAUCAGGAACCUCUAUAAAUAGAGGGGUGGGGGCGCCCUAGGGUUGACACCUUUUUGGCUGAACACACUUGCCGCGCCUCCCACGCCCUCGCCUGUUGCAACUCGCGGAUCUAGCAAUCCGGCUUGCGACGCUUCCUCCCUGCACGUGUGGAUACCUUGGAGGUGUUGCGCCUGCAGCACUUGGACGAGCCAUCGACGAGCCGCCGACGAGCCACGACGAGCCGACGACGAGCCGCGGCACCGGAGGCGAUCUUGCUGUGCACGUGGACGAGCUGCUGAGGAGCCGCUGGACGUGAUCGACUACGUACGACUACGUUGUUCGACUACGUACGACUACGUGAUCGUCUUCACUGCACCGACGCAUAUCUACAUCUUCCGCGCCAGUAGUGCGUCGAGUGGUAAUCCCGUGAUCCUUAUACGGCAGUUCUUCCUGGUUAUACGCGGUAGAAAUUUUGAUUUGCGCUAGCGUAGCCUACCUCGUAUCCCGACAGUGGUAUCAGAGCCGUAGCUGCUUAGUUUUGGAUUCGGGAUGUGUGCAUAUGGAGAUAUGCGAGUUCUCUGUUUGAUCUAUGUCCUGAUUUCGUGCCCUUCCUGCAAUGGUAGUGUAACGACAUACUCCUACCGGUCGGUUUCCGCCAUCGGAGUUAAGUGAUACACGUAAAUCCAGUUGCAGUGAGGGAAGAUCAAUAUGAUUGGUCAAAUCGAGAUCCAGGGUCAUACGCCAGGCGCAUUAGAUGUGCAAUAGUAGAUGUGAUCUACUGCCGGGGUCGGGAUUUUGCCGUAUGCGCAUGCUUCGGUAAAUCAGCCGUAACUUUUCGGUACGAUCUCGGAUCGGGGCGAUUUCUAUACGAAAAUUGAUCUACAGAAAAAGUUACACGUGAAUUUCAACCGCUUCGCCGUUUUCAGCGAAAUUAGAUUUGCCAAAUUCGGCUUGGAAGAUGGAGUUUCGGGCCUCCCAAGUUUGGAACGUUAGGACGCCUAACUCUCUUUUGCAGGAUGUAUGUAUAUAUCUUGUGAUCAGUAUGGCCCCCUUGUGUAUGUGAUGCAUGUGUGUAACUAAUUCGUGACCUGCGUGUCGCGCGUACGGCAACACGGCAGGAGCCAAAUGUGUUGUCACUUUAUUGUAAUUAAUGGUCUGCGUACCAAUCUGUGAUGAUCCAAGCAACUAUGUAAUCUUCAUUACUAGAUUCUUUACUAGCUAUUAGGCGUAAUAGCAUGCUCUAGUUCUUGGAGGACUCAUCACCAGGAGGAUGGCGCACAUGGAACAUGGAGAUGGAGAUCACCAUGGUGAACAGGUUCUAUGGAGAUGGAGAUCACCAUAAGAAAAACGGGCCAUACUGUGUCACACCUGUGUGAAUGCUAUUCUGUUUUAUGUUUUACUUUCUGCAUGCUGUGAUGUUAGAAGUAGAACGAUCCCUCACAAAGUUUAAGUUAGUAUGCCCUCCCAACUAAAACUUGCGCCGUCCCAUGUCUUGUACAAUUAGUGGUGGGUCUAUGAAAUUAGGGUGCCACUAGUUUUCCUUGACUAGACGGGUUUGUGUCGGACACUUACACGCAUAAGGGUUGGUUUACUUAACAAGGUUAUCUUAACGGUUAAGGACCUUGGGGCAUAAAGGUUGGGCGCCGAGACAUAGAGAUGUCACCCAACAACAGGAGUCAUAUGUGAUAUGAUUAGCAAAAGUUGCUUACCGACCUAACUCGUUUGCUAGCGGUGAUGCUAAAGCUCACUAGUAGACUUGUUAGUUGUGGAUCCUGAAUCACUAAGUUUCAAUAGAGGGAUAUUGAUUUUAGUGGGAGUAGAUUCUGUUAAAAUAGUUUAAUGUAAUUUGCUCUAUCAUGGAUACGUUUGUCUUAGUGUAUUUUGCAUUACUUUUGUUGUAGAUUAAAUGGCACCUAGCAACACCACCACAUCUUUUGCUUUGCGUUCGGUCCUUGAGAAGGACAAGUUGAAUGGAACAAACUACUCGGAUUGGAUCCGCAACCUGAGAAUUGUUCUCAGGGCUGAGAAAAAGGAAGAUGUUCUAGACAACCCACUACCAGAAGAACCUGCUGAGGAUGCACCCGCCGCUGCUAAGAAUGCUUACAAGAAAGCAUGUGAUGCUAACCUCGAAGUAAGCUGCCUUAUGCUUGCUUGCAUGGAACCCGAGCUGCAGAUGCAGUUCGAAACAAACCAUGAGGCGCACGAUAUGAUCGUGGCGCUUAGAGACAUGUUCCAAACACAGGCCAGGACUGAAAGGUUCAAUGUGUCUAAGGCCUUUGUUGAGAGCAAGCUAGCAGAAGGCGCAGCAGUAGGACCACACGUAAUCAAGAUGGUUGGUUACACUCAACGGUUGGAGAAGCUAGGCUUCCCACUGGGCCAAGAGUUGGCCACUGAUUUCAUUCUUUCGUCUCUUCCUCCUAGCUAUGGGAACUUCAUCUCGAACUACCAUAUGCAUGGGACGGAGAAGGGUCUGAAUGAGCUGUGUGGCAUGCUUAAAACAGCAGAGGCUGACAUAAAGAAAAGCGCUAGUACCAGCCAUGUGAUGGCGAUACAGAACAAGCCCAGCUUUAAGAAGAAGGGCAAUUCUUGGAAGAAGAAGGGCAAGGCUGGAACGUCCAAGCCAAACCCACCGCCCAAGGUUAAAGCUGGACCUGGACCUGCUCCAGAUAAAGAGUGCUUUUACUGUCAUGAACUUGGUCACUGGAAGAGAAACUGCAAGCAGUACCUAGCUUCGUUGAAGAACGGCGGAAGUAAGAGUACUUCUACCUCAGGUACGCUUGUUGUUUAUGUUAUAGACAACAUAUUUCUCGCUGAUACAGUUAUUAAUUCUUGGGUAUUUGAUACCGGAUCGGUUGCUCAUAUUUGCAAUUCGAUGCAGGGAAUGAUAAGAAGUAGAAGCGUGGAAAGAGGAGAAGUUGAUUUCCGCGUGGGCAAUAAUGCAAGAGUUGCUGCUUUGACCGUCGGGACGAUGCAACUCCACCUCCCGUCAGGAUUUAUUAUGGAGUUGAAUAAUUGUUAUUUUGUUCCUAGUUUAAGUCGAAACAUUUUAUCUCCUUCAUGUUUGAUGAAGGAUGGUUAUUCAUUUGCGAGUGAAAACAAUGGUUGUGUGAUCUCUAAGAAUAAUAUGUUUAUGGCUUUUGCACCCAUUGUGAAUGGAUUGUUUGUUUUAAAUCUUGAUGGUUCACCUGUCUGUAAUGUAAGUGCUAAAAGGCCUCGGCCUAAUGAUUUGAGUCCUACCUACUUGUGGCAUUGUCGUUUGGGUCACAUAAGUGAUAAGCGCAUGAAGAAGCUCCAUUCUGAUGGACUUCUAACUUCGUUUGAUUUUGAAUCAUACGAGACAUGUGAGGCUUGCUUGCUAGGCAAGAUGACCAAGACGCCUUUCACAGGAUUUCCUGAGAGAGCAGUAGACUUGUUGGAACUCGUACAUAGUGAUGUAUGUGGACCAAUGAGCACGACGGCUAGAGGAGGAUUCCAAUACUUCAUAACUUUCACUGAUGAUUUUAGUAGAUAUGGCUAUGUCUACUUGAUGAGGCACAAGUCUGAAACCUUUGAAAAGUUCAAGGAAUUUCAGAAUGAAGUUGAAAAUCAGCGUGGCAAGAAAAUUAAGGCCUUACGAUCUGAUCGUGGAGGCGAGUAUUUGAGCCACGAGUUUAGCAAUCAUCUAAAGAGUUGCGGAAUUGUUCCACAACUUACGCCGCCUGGAACACCUCAGAGAAACGGUGUGUCCGAGCGACGUAAUCGAACUUUGUUAGACAUGGUUCGAUCAAUGAUGAGCCAGUCGGACCUACCGUUGUCAUUUUGGGGAUAUGCUCUAGAAACAGCAGCUUUCACACUUAAUAGGGUACCAUCUAAAUCCGUAGUUAAGACACCAUAUGAGAUGUGGACUGGAAAGGUUCCGAGUUUGUCUUUUCUAAAGAUUUGGGGAUGUGAAGUGUUUGUCAAGCGACUUCAGUCGGACAAGAUCACACCCAAGUCGGAUAAGUGCAUUUUCGUGGGAUAUCCAAAGGAAACUUUGGGAUAUUAUUUCUACAACCGAUCAGAAGGCAAAGUGUUUGUCGCUCGGAACGGGGUUUUCCUAGAGAAAGAGUUUCUCAAAGGAGAAAAGAGUGGAAAGACAGUGCAUCUUGAAGAAGUUCAAGAUGAGCCAAACGGGCAAGAAUCAAUGAGUGAUGCUAACGUAGCAGAACAAGUUGAGAUACCCAUGGCAAGAGAAGCACCGCCACAACCACGAAGGUCGGCAAGGCUCCGCGAAAUGCGGGAAAUAUUAUUGUUGGACAAUGAUGAGCCUGCGACAUAUGCAGAAGCAAUGAUGGACCCAGACUCCGAAAAAUGGCAGAGUGCCAUGCAAUCCGAAAUAGAGUCCAUGGGAGACAAUCAAGUUUGGAACUUGGUUGACCCGCCUGAUGGUGUUAAAGCCAUAGAGUGCAAGUGGAUCUAUAAGAAGAAAAAGGACAUGGAUGGAAAUGUUCACAUCUAUAAAGCACGACUUGUCGCGAAAGGUUUUCGACAAGUUCAAGGAGUUGACUAUGACGAGACCUUCUCGCCCGUAGUGAUGCUUAAGUCCAUUCGGAUUAUUCUAGCUAUAGCUGCAUAUUUCGAUUAUGAGAUAUGGCAGAUGGAUGUCAAGACAGCUUUCCUGAAUGGAAACCUAGCUGAGGACGUGUAUAUGAUACAGCCCGAGGGUUUUGUCGAUCCGAAAAAUGCUGGAAAGGUAUGCAAGCUUCAGAGAUCCAUUUAUGGAUUGAAGCAAGCAUCUAGGAGUUGGAACAUUCGUUUUGAUGAAGUGGUCAAAGGGUUUGACUUCACCAAGAACGAAGAAGAGUCUUGUGUUUACAAGAAGGUUAGUGGGAGCUCUGUAGUAUUUCUAAUCUUAUAUGUGGAUGACAUAUUACUGAUUGGAAAUAACAUUCCUAUGCUUGAGUCCGUAAAGACUUCACUGAAAAAUAGUUUUUCGAUGAAGGACUUAGGGGAAGCGGCAUAUAUUCUGGGCAUUAAGAUCUAUAGAGAUAGAUCGAGAAGGCUUAUAGGUUUGAGCCAAGAUACUUAUAUUGACAAAGUGUUGAAGCGGUUCAGCAUGGAAGAGGCAAAGAAAGGGUUCUUGCCUAUGUCACAUGGCAUACAUCUCAGCAAGACUCAGUGUCCUUCGACUGCUGAUGAGCGGGAUCGCAUGAGUAGAGUGCCAUAUGCCUCGGCUAUUGGAUCUAUCAUGUAUGCAAUGAUAAGUACUCGCCCAGAUGUUUCAUAUGCGCUAAGUAUGACAAGCAGACACCAAUCUGAUCCAGGUGAGAGUCACUGGACAGCGGUGAAAAACAUUCUUAAGUACUUGAGAAGGACUAAAGAUAUGUUCCUCGUCUAUGGAGGUCAGGAGGAGCUCGUUGUAACAGGUUACACCGAUGCUAGUUUCCAAACCGACAGAGAUGAUUCAAAGUCACAAUCAGGAUUUGUGUUCACGCUAAAUGGUGGUGCUGUUAGUUGGAAGAGUUCCAAGCAGGAGACGGUGGCCGAUUCUACGACAGAAGCCGAGUACAUCGCGGCUUCGGAAGCCGCGAAGGAAGGUGUUUGGAUAAGGAAUUUCCUCAUUGAGCUUGGUGUGUUCCCGAAUGCGUCCAGCCCAUUGAAUCUCUACUGUGAUAAUAAUGGGGCAAUUGCGCAAGCAAAGGAGCCAAGGAACCACCAGAAGAACAAACACGUAAUGCGGCGAUUUCAUCUCAUUCGAGACUUCGUUAACCGGGGUGAGAUCAAGAUAUGCAAAAUACACACGGAUCUGAACAUUUCUGAUCCGUUGACAAAACCACUCCCGCAGGCUAAGCAUGAUGCGCAUGUAAGAGCUAUGGGUAUUAGGUACCUUCUAGAUUGACUCUAGUGCAAGUGGGAGACUGUUGGAGGUAUGCCCUAGAGGCAAUCAUAGAGAUGAUGAUAUUCCAUUUGUAUCCAUGAUUUGUAUACUGUGUUCAUUGAAUAUCCAUUAAAGGCUACUUGAAUUGAUUUGCAAUUAUGUGAAUUGUAUGUGAAACUCUUUACUUGUAUGGUUAUUCUAAAGUUGUCCCUAGUCGGAGUUCAUGUGAGGACACACAUGAAUAUUAGACUAGCACAUGUAUUAGUUGAUGACUAUGUUUCACAAGUCAUGGACAUGGAGAUGUUGAACUAAUAAUGUGGACACAUGUGGAGACAUGUGUUAGGACUGACCCAACACGAGAAGUAGUUCUCUCUUUAAACAACAUAUACGCUUUGUCCUUAGACCUGAGAUUGUCGCAUGUAUUCUAGAUGUGGACCGACCUACUUAGGGGCUAUCAAACGCUACGCCGUAACAGGGUAGUUAUAAAGGUAGCUUUCGGGUUUGUCAAGAAGCAUGCUAUGAGACAUGGUCAAUCAAGAUGGGAUUUGCCCCUCUCUGAUUGAGAGUGAUAUCUCUGGGCCCCUCGAGUGAUCGGAUCAGAAAAUGCAUGGCCAUGCUACGUACGGUUAAGAGUUAAUCUACAAAGGGAUUCCGAAUCACAGGAUCGAGAAAGAGCGGUCAGCUUGAAGCUAGACCAAAUAUCGUGAGGCAAAGGGAAUAGCAUGUAUAUUAUGUUGUGAUGGUUCGUCUGAUAUGAUCUUCGUAUGCGUAUAGGAGUUGGCACGUCUUGCUAGAGGCCGCUACCGACUAUUGGGCCGAGUAGGAGUACUCGGGCCAUGUCUAUACGUAUCCGAACCCAUAGGGUCACACAUUUAAGGGGCUGGAAGCCCAAUUCGGAUCUGAUCCGAGUUGGAUUAGGUUUAGGAGUGCUAAUGGGCCUCGGAUCCAGAGGCCCAUCAGGAACCUCUAUAAAUAGAGGGGUGGGGGCGCCCUAGGGUUGACACCUUUUUGGCUGAACACACUUGCCGCGCCUCCCACGCCCUCGCCUGUUGCAACUCGCGGAUCUAGCAAUCCGGCUUGCGACGCUUCCUCCCUGCACGUGUGGAUACCUUGGAGGUGUUGCGCCUGCAGCACUUGGACGAGCCAUCGACGAGCCGCCGACGAGCCACGACGAGCUGACGACGAGCCGCGGCACCGGAGGCGAUCUUGCUGUGCGCGUGGACGAGCUGCUGAGGAGCCGCUGGACGUGAUCGACUACGUACGACUACGUUGUUCGACUACGUACGACUACGUGAUCGUCUUCACUGCACCGACGCAUAUCUACAUCUUCCGCACCAGUAGUGCGUCGAGUGGUAAUCCCGUGAUCCUUAUACGGCAGUUCUUCCUGGUUAUACGCGGUAGAAAUUUUGAUUUGCGCUAGCGUAGCCUACCUCGUAUCCCAACAAUAUCUUCAGGUACCUCCCGUUCAAGGCCCUUGUGAAUUCCUCUCCUUCAAUCAUCUCCAGUAUGUAUGCAUUUCCCGGAGCGCAUCGGCUGAUUUUAUACGGCCCUUCCCAAGUGGGCGACCAUUUACCAAACUUGGGAUCUUUAGACCCUAUCGGCAGCACCAACUUCCAUACCAAAUCUCCUUGGGAGAAUUGCUUGACUUUGACCUUCUUGUCGUACCACCUGGCCACUCUCUUUUUAUUCUCCUCAAUGUUGAUCAGGGCCCUCAAUUGUUGACUUGCCAAAUCGUCGAGUUCUCCUUUCAUGAGUAAGGAAUAGUCAUUGGCCAUCAACUGAUCUUGAAGCGAUGUGCGUCUUGACCCCAAGGCAACACUGCCUCGUGACCAUACACCAAUUGAUAAGGAGAUAUUUUAGUAGCCCCGUGGCAGGCCAUCCUGUAAGCCCAUAAAGCCUCGGUCAAACAAAAGUGCCACUUUUUAGGUUGUUCCUCAAUCUUCCUUUUGAUCAACUUAAUUAUCCCCUUAUUGGAUGAUUCAGCCUGGCUGUUAGCUUGAGCAUAAUAUGGAGAAGAAUUCAGCAACUUAAUUCCCAUAUCAGCAGUGAACUCUUCGAACUCACCUGAAGUGAACAUCGUCUCUUGGUCAGUUGUGAUGCUUUGAGGGAUACCGAAAUGAUAAACAAUGUGGUCUCUUACGAAAUCGACCAUGGCAGCCAAUGUCACAGCCUUUAAUGGGAUCGCCUCCACCCAUUUGGUAAAGUAAUCAAUGGCUACUAAUAUGAACUUGUGUCCCUUGCUUGAUGGAGGAUAAAUCUGUCCAAUGAGGUCUAUUCCCUAACCCAUGAAUGGCCAUGGCUUGAUUAUCGGAUUCAUAGCCGAUGCUGGCGCACGUUGUACGUUGCCAAACUUCUAACAGUCCUGACACCCUUUAUAAUAUUUGAAGCAGUCUUCAAGUAUCGUCGACCAAUAAUAUCCAUUAUUCCUAAUCAUCCACUUCAUUUUAUGAGCCGAUUGGUGAGCUCCGCACAUGCCUCUUCCGUCCCUAGGCAUUUGAGCAGAACCCCGUCAAUCGUUCGUUAAAACAAGUCAUCUUCGAGUAAUACAUAUUUUAUCACUUGAAAACGCACUCGCCGAUCCACCUUUUUGGACGGAUCCUUUAGGUAGUCGACGAUCUCUUUUCGCCAAUCAUCGGCCGUGAGUUCCAGAGUCAUGGUGCCUUGAAUCGACCGAUACCCAGACGCUUGUUGGGCAAGCCUAUUGGCCUCUUCAUUAUAACUUAUGGGAAUAUGCUCAACAACCGCGGACUUGAAUUCCUUUAAGAGUUGGAGGCAAUCUUCAUAGUAGAUCCUCAGGACAUCGUUUUUACAUUCAGAUCUUCCCGUUAACUGGUCUACGAUGAGCAUGGAAUCCCCGAAAAUCUCCACAGCAUCGGCUUUUAUCUCCCUCAAUAAUUGAAUGCCUUUUAGGACGGCUCGGUAUUCCACCUGAUUAUUGGUCGCAGAUGCUUCUAUCAGAAAAGAGAAAUCAUAACUUGCCCCCCGAGGCGAUAUGAGAACGAUGCUGAUUCCUGAUCAGGCCCCACAUGACAAACCAUCAAAGUAUAGAGUCCAUGGAACCGGCUCAACGACGGCAAUUUCCGGUCCGCAGUGCUGGGCCACGAAAUCGGCCAUGACUUGACCCUUGACGGUUUUGGCCGAUUCGUACCUUAGGUCAAACUCUGACAGAGCCAGGAUCCACUUUCCAAUUUGUCCUUCCAAAAUCGGCAAUGAUAGCAUGUACUUUACCACGUCAUCCUUGCAUACGACUAUGCAUUCUGCCGACAAUAGGUAGUGCCUGAGCUUCGUGCAUGAGAAAUAAAGACAUAGGCAUAACCGUUCUACCGGGGAAUAUCUUGUCUCGGCGUCCAGAAGUCUUGUACUAACAUAAUAUAUUACCCGUUCCUUUCCCUCGAAUUCCUGUACCAGCGCCGAUCCGAUAGCCCGUUCAUCGGCUGAUAAGUAUAGUCUGAACGGCUUGUCAGCUUGUGGUGGGACCAAUACAGGUGGCGAGAUCAGAUAUUGCUUGAUGUCUUCUAGUGCUUUUCUCUGUUCCUCUUCCCACACAAAUUCCUGGUCGGGUUUUAACUUUAAUAACGGCGUGAAGGCUUGGAUACGCCUGGAAAAGUUGGAUAUGAACCUUCUGAUAAAAUUAACUUUGCCAAUUAGGGAUUGCAACUCAGUUUUGUUUUGUGGGGCCACAACCUUAUUGAUGGCCACUAUGAUUUUUUGGUUGACUUCUAUCCCGCGUUCGUGAACCAUGAAUCCCAGAAAUUGCCCGAACGAUACACCAAAUGCACACUUGUUCGGGUUCAUUUUCAACCCAUGCUUCCUUGUGCACUCCAAUACUUCUCGCAGAUCGGCCAGAUGCUCUUGAUGCCCUUUUGAUUUGACUACAACAUCGUCGAUGUAGAUUAUCCACCAGGACGCCAAUGAGCCUGUGGAAGAUGUAAUUCAUAGCCCGUUGAUAUGUAGCGCCGGCGUUUUUUAAUCCAAAGAUCAUUACUACCCACUCGAAUAAACCGAGGUGACCCGGGCACCUGAAAGCCAUUUUCGAAAUAUCUUCUUCGGCCAUUAAUAUUUGGUUGUACCCAGCAUUACCGUCCAUAAAACUGAUGACUUUAUGUCCCGCGAUGGUGUCUAUCAAAACAUCACCUGUCGGCAUGGAUACCCAUCCAUCGGUGUAGCUUGAUUAAGGUUCCUAAAGUUGAUGCACACGCGCAGCUUUCCGUUUUUGUUGUAUACAGGUACAAUAUUGGAGAUCCACUCAGCAUAACGGCACUGCCGAAUAAAUUUCGCUUCAAUCAGUCUCGUAAUUUUGGCCUUUAUAUCAGGUAGAAUUUUAGGAUUGCAUCAUCGUGCGGGCUGCUGAUAUGGCUGAUAUCCUGGUUUUAUGGGCAACCGGUGUUCAACAAUGGACCGGUCUAGGCCAAGCAUCUCAUGGUAUUCCCAAGCAAAACAAUCUUUAAAUUCCUUUAAUAAGUCUGUCAAUUUACACUUGUAUUCGGGAUCCAAGUUAGCACUAAUGUACGUCGGCCUUGGUUUGGUGCCAUCACCUAAAUCUAUCAUCUCUAAUGAAUUGGCUGACGUAAACCUGUGCCCCAGCUUUUCAUCUUCUUGGACAAACUGAUCCAUCUAAUCUGAAUCUUCAGAGCCGACUGCUCAGAUCGGCUGUAGGCAAAAAUCGGACACUUUCAGGAAAUCGGUGUCCCAAGUCCUCCCAGAUAUGCACUUGACGUGUUUGCAGCUCCAUUGUUGCGUAUCGGCCGCAGCAACACUAUAGGUGGAAUCGGCGGUGACUAUCUCGAUGUUGUCGCUGACCCAUUAUACGAGACAUUGGUGCAUUGUAGACGGGACGUAGCAAUUCGGGUGUAUCCAGUCGCGUCCGAGCAACAUGUUGUAGGACCCUUUGCCAUUAAUAAUAAAGAAAGUAGUGGGAAGGGUCUUACUGCCGAUGGUGAGGUCGACGCAGAGCGCCCCGCACGCAGGAGACACGUUGCCCUCGAAGUCCUUGAGCAUCAUGUCCAUCUUGGUUAGAUCCUCGUCGCUUUUACCCAGCUUCCAGAACAUGGCGUACGGCAUGAUGUUGACUGCAGCACCUCCGUCUACUAGUAGCCUGGUGAUAGGUCGACCAUUGAUGUGUCCUUUCAGGAACAGUGCCUUGAGGUGUUGCCAUUUUUCAUCUUCGGAUUUCUCAAAAGUGGCUGUCAAUGGCUCCAAAGCCAAUUGUGCCAUCUGUUCCUCCAUCUCCGUCGUGUCGUACCGAUCGGCGGGAGCCAUGAACUCCAUCGGCAAGAUGAACACCAUGCUGAUGUCAGCUAUCGAUUCCUGGUUGCCAUCUUCUUCAUUGUUGUUUCUUUUGGGGCGCCAGACUCGAGACCUGUCGUCUUUCUUAUCCACCACCUGCCUCUGCUCUUCUUCCUGUUGUUCCUAUUGGCGCAGGCAUUGGAUCCUUCGUUUUUGGGAUUUGGUCAAUCCAUCAGGGCACCACCUGGGGUUCACUGGUUUGGCCGGUGGCCUGGCACGCUCCCAGUCCGGUUCCCAUCCUAGGGGGUUUUCAUCUGACACCCUAGGAUCGGCCAUCUCCUCUAGCCAAUCGUGUGUGCUGACUCUGCCCCCGGUCGGUCGUGCUAUUCCCGUCUGUCCCUUGGCUGAUCAUAUCGGUCAACUCUACCCCCCAGCCGAUCACGCACUGAAAGGCGCCGAUCCUCUUGCUCGCGCCAGUUUCUGCUGAUUGGCUCUGAUCCUCUGUCCCUAGAGCGAGACCUCUUGAACAGGCGAUUGUUGCGAUAUGGACUGCUGCACUCCGGGAAAUUAUCAGCCGAUGGCAACCUGAGGUUAUUUUCCCAGCAAUGGAUGAAGAAAGGACAUCGCCAAUGAUCUUCGUGUCGUCGCAUUAUUUCUUCGCGAUAUCUCGAACUUUCCUAUUGCCGCUGAAACUUGUUGAGCAAGAACUUGGAGGUAAUAGGUCUACGCAGUCUUUCCGAUCCUUCACCCUCAUUGUCAACCCAUCUCUUCCCCUUGACGUCUUCGACCGUAGCUUGAUUCCUGGGGUCCACAGCGCCGCUCUUUUUAGCCAAUUCCGAUGUCAGCAUUUUGGUUUGAAGCGCAUUUCUUACUGUAUCAACCAUGUUAGUGCAGAAAGGAUGCCGAUCAAUCUUCAUUAGCUUUGCUGGCCUUGUCGGGACCUCGAACUUUAUCCUGCCUUGCUCGAUGGCCGAUUUUGCACUCGUUCGUGUCGUGGGACGUGGCACUAUGCCAUUUGCAACACUUCAUCUUUUUUAGCUGCUCGGCCCAUGGGAUCAUAUGAUAGGGUGAGAGUUUGAUCUACGCCUCUUGGAGAAGUAGGUCAAAAUUUUUGUCGGCCUUUGACGUGUCAAAACCGGACGCCUCUGGUUCCUUUUUCCCGAAAGGACACGAUAUCAGCUUUUUUCCUUUAACCCACCCUACUAGGCUGAUUUCCACUUCCUCCUCAGAUUCAGAUCCCUCUAAGUAUGCCACCUUUUUCUAAAAAUUUCUUCGCUGAUCAAACGGGCAUACUUCUUGACCGGACAAUCGGUGGAUGAUCUGACUUAGGCUCUCGAACUCCUGGGAAGCGUAUUUCUCCUUGAUAUGUGGCAGGAGGCCUUGGAAGGCAAUGUCGGCCAGCUGCGCAUCGGUCAGGACCAGGGUGUAGCAUUUGUUUCUGACUUCCCUGAACCUUUGCACAUAAUUGGUCACGGGCUCGUCGCUCCUCUGCCUGAGGCUGGUCAAAUCUGAUAGCUUCAUCUCAUGGACUCCCGCAUAGAAGUAUUUGUGGAACUGUUUUUCCAGGUCGGCCUAGGUGACGAUGGAAUUGGGUGGUAGCGUAGUGAACCACUGGAAAGCCGACCCGGACAGGGAUGAUGAGAACAGAUGCACCCACAGGGCAUCCUGUGUAGCUGCCUCCCCACAUUGGAUGAAUCUGUUUACGUGUUCCACAGUUGAGGUGUCAUCCAGCCCUGAAAACCUAGUGAAGUCGGGGACUUUCUACCGAUGGGGAAAUGGCAGUAGAUCGUAGGCAGGCGGGUAUGGCAUUUUGUACAUGUAAGUUUGUACCUUUGGCUUCAAUCUAAAUUGAUCUUGGAUCACCUCUGCUAUCCUUGCCGUCCAGUCUACUUGCUGCUGAUGAAUUACUGGAUGGGGAAUCGGCACAUGUUGCUAGAUCGGCGGCGGGAUGACCGGGUGCUAAACCAAAGCGUACGGCGGAUUCUGCGGUAACGUGGCCGGCUGAGCGGUUGACAUUUGAUGGUGCAGUGAACCGGCCAUCUCAUCGUACAGUAUCAUCAGCGCCGCACCUUGGAGUGCUUCAGCAGCGUCUGCCCCCCUGCCGAUUUCUGACGUGGCCGGUUGAUACUGUGGAACCGUCGGCCGGGUGGCCGACUAGAAUGGUGCUUGGAUCGGAGAGCCUCCAUAGCCAGCUGAUUGAUCCAGAAUGGCCGCUGUCAACGGUGCCCCCCAAGGCACUGAGUUUGAUGGCGAUGAUUGCACAGAUGAAACUUGAGCAGGCUGCGGCAGUGCUUGUGAUUGAAAGCAUGGCGCACCGUUGUAUCCUGGAUGCAUUGAAGGCAGUGAAGUGUUGUAUCCUCCAUGCUGUGUUGGCAUCGGCUGAGGAGCCGAUUGAGAUGUGCCCGGUAAGCUCCUGACUGGGGCUGCGAUGGGUGGGGCGUAUGCCGGCCCGUGAUAUCCUUGAGAUAUGCCAUUGGCCAGGGAGCUAAUGACGGCAUUGUACACUGUGUUGGCCAUCACCGGGGAUUGAUCAAUGAAGGCCUGGUAGACGGACUGUUGGAUCAUGUCGGACAUCUUGGCCGAAUCCUCAGUGAUGGUGAUCUGGCGGGGAGUUGGAAAAGGAGCUUUCUUGACGGUCUCCCCGCUCCUGGUAUGCCUGAAAGAUUGCAAGCACGUUUUCCUGAAUUGUUCCAUUUGCUUUGCCAACUCUUCUUUCUGGUCAUCCUUGAGAUCUGCUUCCGUCACUUCGAUGACGUUUUUUUCGGAGAUUUCGGCAGCUUUCGACAUGUUGGAGGUUGAAGUGGUCCCACCGGGCAUGCCAAAAGUGUGUUGGCGCUAAAAGUCAGCCGAUUGACCCUCAGUGUCGGACACAUGACCCGGGUGAUUGCCCUGGUGCGGUUCGCGCAGCGUGCCAGCCAAUCUGACCUGUUGAUUGGCACGGAAGAAAAUGUGUCAAAUUCCAGGGGUUCCGAUCGGCUAAAGGUUCCGAUCUCGAAAAGUGUAUCAGCGAAUCGGUUGAUUUGCUAUGUGAGGAUAAUCGGCUAUAAUACAGCCGACAAUCACAUAGCGAUUGCGAAGGAAACUACUAGAGUAAACUGAGCAAGGCUACAAAAGCAACACUUGAAACGGAUCUAAUCGGUUAUAUGAUAAUGAUGAAUGAAAAUAACAAUAACAAAGCCAACAGUUCAAAUCCCAAGCUGGAUAACUGGUGAUAAAACUAGAACAACAGAUAGAACCUAUAAUUCUAGUAAAUAUCGAUAACUUGUGAAUAAAUCUAAACGAAACAAUAGCGAUGCGCCCGAAGUUAAAGCUUAGAUAUUACUCGAUAAAUGGAACUUACAGAAUCGGCUGGAGAUCGUGUCGAUGCAGCCCUGCCAACCCGUACGAACUCGUAAAAGAAGAAAAGUAUUGGCGAAGUCGCCGACUUGAAAGUAAAGUGCGAUGAAAAAGUAGAUUUGUUUGUAUUGAUUGAUGUGUUGUUUUACAAAUCCCCAAAGAUGGCUAUUUAUAGCCUGUUACAGCCAAUUUCCUAACUGACUAGGAUCUAUCUCUAAUUUUAAACAGAAACAGAUAUUUACAAACACAACUCGUAUCGGAGUUGGUUAUUGUACUCCCACAGGCCAAUCCUUCUUUAUCUUCUUCCUCUGACCCACUUUAAGCCCAUAUUGGCCCAAUCGCUCCAGCCUUCCAAUCGGCCGAUCUCCACCAACUCUGUCCGCCAAAACAUUAAAGCGCUAAUCAGCUGAUCCCCAACUGUAGCACUAAUCGGCCGAUUCCCAAUCGUGACCUUUUAAUCUGCCGCAUCGGCCAGCCCUUUCCUUCCUUGACACCGAUUCCAUACAUGUUAAAAUCUAGCAUCAACAGAUCCCACCAUAGGAGGGCAGAACCACGCAGUUGCUGCGCGGCGAAUCGAGCCUUGUUCUCCUCCGGGUAAUGGGCGGUGAGGAGGGAGAACUUGGACUCGAUGGCACGAAUCCAGGCGUCGGCGUCGAGCGGGUCUUGUGUCUUUUGGAACAGAGGGGGCUGCGUUCCCUAGAAGUCCUCAUAGCGAGCAACAUGAGGUUGCUGGUGAGCCCUUCCUCCAUGGGGCUGCUGCUGUUGCCCUUGGGCAAUGUGUCUCAGCAGCUCAGUUUGAGCAGCCAAGAUCGCCUCUAGCGGAGGCGGGGGAGGAUCUUGCCUCUGCUCACUGCCACUGGAAACAGAGCCGGAAUGGGUGCGGUGCGCCAUCUGCAAGAGUCAGUGUUCCAUUAGUCACAUAAUCCCAAAAGCUUUCCCACCAAGAGGGAACUUAUAUGCUGAAUCCUUAAAUGCUACUCUUGCCUAUAGUGCAACACAACAAUCACAUCUUUUAUUACGGAGGUGCACAUCUCUCUUUGCCAUCUUAGUUAGCAACUAGCUAGCUUCUGCACCCAGCUACUGUCGUUUUACUCUUGCUAGCCAAAUGGAAAGGUAUUAUGAUCCACGCUCAGUAGGGCCCACAAGAUCCAUGUGCUCAUUGGCUGGUCCGCACACAUCCUCAGGCGAGUCGAAACUUUAUCCCGUGGGUCCUGCUAUGUCCGACCCUUAGUGCCCCGGGUCGGGCGAGGCGGAGCCCUGCCGCGAGGGGUCGGGCACAUCCGACCUCGUGACCCUGGGUCGGGCCAUGUUUUGGAUAGACCCAAAAGAGCGGAAACUUUGCGUGCGGUCACAGCACAAAUUCUCAGACAUCUUUGACAUUCAAGGCAUGUCCCAAAGGGUCAGAAGUGGAUUCAAGAGCGAGGUGGAAAAUAGGAACUGAUUUCACCAAAAUCAUUUCAUUACUGGUCUCUUAACACAGGAGGAGUACUCAACUCAAGGCUAACCUAUUACAUCACUAUCCAAAAGUAUAGGUUGCCGAGGAGUACAACAGAAGACCAACUCACUAUAGCCUCAACCUAAAAGUCAUCCAGGCUGCGUAUGAAGGAAACACUAUGCAUCGGAGAAGGGGCGCCGCCAUCUUCAAUGUCCAUGCUUGAGACUCCCUCUACCUCCUUGGGGUCUUCCUCCUCCUCCUCCUGAACCAUUGGCUCAUCCAGUUGCAUCUCCAAGGCAUGGAUAGCAUCAAGCUCAGCAUGGUGCUUGGCCAAAUGCGCAUUAGCAACUGUGAGCUCCAUCUCAACCUCCAAUUUCUCUUCAGCAAGCUGCAUUAUAUCUUGCUCCAUGUCAGUCGCCCUUUCCUCUAGCUCGGUAAUCCUGGCCUGCAUAUCGGAGACCUGUAUGCCCCUUUGGAUAAGCUGAUACGACUGUUCCACCAAGUCUCUCUUGGCAGUGUUGAAAUGCUCUUGGGUGUCUACAACUAUCCGUGCCAGGACAGCCAUAGCCCUUCCCUAAAGCUCAACCAGUCGGUACAAGGCGAACAUGCACCGUGUCGCGGUAGAAACGAUGACCAGCGAGUGUGAGGCUGCCAACACCUCCAUGUUAUUUACUCGGUCAAGCCAAGCUGGGUCCAUCCGAUCCCUAGCGGGGAACAAGCCAAUCGGGUCCAAAAGGACCUCAAACGGGUGUAGCCGGCAAAACUGAGUGAGAGCCUGCAAGGCAGCUGAUUCCCAAGUGUCCUCAAGGGUGUGACCAUAGGUCAAACCCUUGAGCUGGGGCCACUCGGGCUGCAGUGGGGCUGGAGGUACCACCACUUGCACGUUGCACCGCUGCACCCCGUGCUCUUGGUGCUCACGUCCCGCAUAAAGAGGCGGCAACUGGUACCCAAACCACCUCAAGAUGUCCCACAAAAUAGUAGGAAAACCCUCAAAGUGUAGGCAUGUGGAGUGGGAGGUGCCAUCAGCGCCACGAAACACAUGCCCAGGAGCAGCCAUUUGGAACCAAGAACCGAAACAAGCGUGAGAUAGAAACCCCCAAGGAGAAACAGAUCGGACAGGGUGAAACACUCGGAUUUCUGACCAGAGCGCAAGCUGAGAAGGUAACUAGAAAUCCUUAAAGCGAAGAAGAGCUUAAAACCAGGGCAAGGUUGUUUUAAGGGUCUGGAUUUACAGAUUUUAGUUCAUGAUGCAUGCACGACCUACCUCGUCCUCUCAACCAAAAAUAACUACCAAAAGCCUUGGUCUUACAUAGUUAGUGCCGGUGGCAACGCAACAAUUUCGUCACUCCCUAUAGUAUCUAGUCGGUUUCUAAUAUCGUUCUCUUAUGCGAACACGGUUAGUGUACCUGCAGAAAAACACAACCACAUGAACCUUUCGUGCCAGCACUCAUGAAAGCAUCCCCCAAUCAUUACCGUUCACUAUAGAAAUGGCACCCAUGCGUUUAAUGCUGCAUGGAUAGCACAACAACUGUGGAAAUAGGUCCCCUUGGAAUAGGUCCAUAUAACCCUUCGCAUACUCGUGAUGCGGAAUCAUGCGCACGUGUCAUAGAUGUGGGCAAUCAACCGUGAUGAUAGGCCCAUUGGAAUCGAACCAUACCAUCCUUCGUAUGAGUUAACAUACAGUACCUGCGCACGUAUAAUAAACGUGGGUGAAAACAACCGUGAUGAUAGGGUCCUUUGAAUAGAACUCCCUAUCAACCCUCGCAUACUCGUGACGCAGAACUCAGCACACGUCUGAUACACAUGGCGAAGUGCUGGAAGUUAGCAAAAGAACAAAUAGAUAGUAGCCACCUGAAAUAACCCCAAAAUUCCCCUAAGGCCUCUCGCACUAAGGUCAUCCUGUACGAUCGUACGAGAUUUUUCAAAUACGUUUCUUGCAAGUUUUACUUUUACAAAAGGUGUUUAGAACCUAUUGUCUUCUCUGUCCUGCUAACCUUCUCUGGUACCAGCUGUGGCGGAACUGCUCGGAUUAGCCUAGCUAAAGAACAAUAAGUCGUCUGACACGCGGCCUUAUGCUUUAACCAAGUUAACUCGGCAGUCCGUCGGAUUCAUCCGAUAGAACCACUUUACAGGACCGGAUUAGCAGAGUUCACACGAAGGUGAGUGGUUUCAGAGAAUACAACAGAUCAUACAACUUAAACAAUUACAUAAAUUUUUCAACUCAGUUUCGAAAUUUCUCAAGGUUUUACAGAGCUCAAACGCAGUGGAAAAGAUAAAACAAUGGGAACUAGCGUCGGGGUCGGAUGUCACUGAUGAGGCCGAUCAGGACAUCACUGGUCCCUCUCCUUGCUGUCCGAGGAGGGAUCCCACUCGACUGUCCACCCAGGAGGAAGCUGGGGAGGCCAAGUGCCAACAGCAGCCGACUCGAGAGCUUCAACAUCACCUGAAAGUUUUGCCACGAGCAAGGCUGAGCUACUAAGCUCAACAAGACUUAACCGACCGAUGAGAAACUACUCCACCAACUUCUAGAUAUGCAAGGCUCUUUGGCUGAGGGGUUUAUUUUGCCAAAAGCGACUAUAGUAGGUCCUUAUUUUCAAUAUUUUAGCUCCGAUUCUAAGUUCAUUAACCAGUCUAUAUUGGCAACUUAUGCUAAACAAACAUAGCUUCCAAACGAUGUAUAGAACAAGCAUCAAUGUUCAUAUCAUCAUCAUAUUCCAUCUUUACUCAGUGUAGCAUAGCGAUCAAGCAGUCUCAAACUGUGAGAGGCAGAUGAAUCGAUUCGAAUUUCUUAAUCAUGCAUGGAGAACCUAAUCUCAUGACAUCCGCGCACCCCAGAGUGUCGCUUCCUGUGUCGGCCGUCCCCAUCAAUUCUCAAGUGCGUGUCAGGUCCAAACUUCCCUUGGCAUGCAAUGUUUCACAGUCCCGACCUCUUGCCAUACUGUGACCACACUUGCACCCACAUGAUGCACCAUGGGAACCUUGUUCCAAGGACAGUAGGGGUAUAAGCCACGCCCUAGUUCAAUCAAGUACUAGGCUUUCCCAUCCCAUACUAGGUAUGAGAUUAGUACUUUCAAACACUUGAUCACGAACACCAACACUUUCCGACCUUAAUCAGAUUCAUGUAGACAGACAGGGCGAUCCACAGACCACAAAAAUAGUUCACAGAGCCCUGCCCCGUCCACCGUCCUUAUAGUUGUAACCCGAAGGAGAGAAGGCAACUCCUAGAACUCGCGAGUGAUAGGGAAUCACUCGACUUUUACUGAAUCCUGUUAAGCACAGCAACUACUCAGAUUUAUCAUACUAGUGUUCAGAUCAAGGGAACUGAGUCAUGCAUCUAUGGUUUCAAACAACUCCUAUAACGUAAAUGCAUAUACAUACAAAUGAAGGCAUGCGCAAGUUUAGAAAGAUUGGGUUAUGCUCCGGGGCUUGCCUUCGAGCGGGGUGGAAGCGAAUUGAUCUUUGGCACUCUCGGGUUCAGCUCCUGUAGGCGGCAGCUCGGCUACAGCUCCGUCUUCUGGCACCGGGUGCAGCUCGUACGUGCCGUCGGCGAGGUUUAGCUCUACACGGAAUGCAAAUGCAGGGGUUAAAACACUUAGACGGUUAUUUCAACAACACUUGCAAGAUGUAGCCCCAAAACUGUAGCAAAACUAUAGGAAAGGUGUGAAAUCCCAUUUUAUUGGAUUCUACUCAGAAAGAGGAUUCUAACCCAAGUGAUUUCACACUUUUCGGAUUUUUCCUCGAUUUAAGAUGAAUUUCUCAAGCUCUGGCUGGUUGAGAACAAGAACACAGAGUCGGAUCAGGAAAAACUUGCAAUCUGACCCUUAGACCUAAAGAAUAACUGUAACGGGGUCCUCAGACUUAACAUAGAGGAGUCCCCAAAAUUUUACACAGAUACCCUUGGUCAAAAGAAAAGUCACAGACGAGCCCUCGGGCGAGGCGGAUAAGGGUCAGGCGAAACAGAUAGGGGUCGGGCGAAACGGACAAGGAUCGGCAGCUUACUUUUGGGCCUACUGGUGAAGUCUUGGGGUCGGUAAGGAGCAAGCUCGGGUGGAACGACUAAAGGCGCUAAGUUUCUGGUGGUGGCGAGGUCCGACGAUGCUUCUUGUGUACAACAAGUAAGCUCUAGCACAGCGCGGAGGAAGGCGAAACGGCUGGCGGGGUGUUGGGCAGAAAGGGGAGCUCCAGAGAAAGCUUAUGCGGUAACGCUUGAGCACGAAAUAGAGGAAGGUGCGGCAAAGCAACGAUGGCGAAGGGAACUUCGGUAGAGGCUCUGGUACCCCUUUUAUAGCUGAGCGGAAGAGGAAGAGUUCGAGCAGCGUGAGGAUAAGAUCAAAGAGGAUGGAGUGCUCUGUCGUGGCGGCGAUUGGUCGAUGUCUCCAUUCACCGGCAAAGCGGAGCUUCGGGGACAGGAUUCUUCGGUCAUUGGGCACUGAAGGCAGAGCUAUGCAGGCACGGUUUUGCCGGACGGAAGGAUUGGUGAGGUCAAAUGCGGGGUUUGGUCGCGUCAAGCGCCGGAUUGGGUGCGGCGACUCGGCCAGUGUGCAGCAGGAAGGAGGGAAGGGCACUACAAGUGAGGUGACAGGGCGAACGGCGACGCUAUCAAGCGCAGAACCAGUGGCUUUGCCGUCGCACGCUACUGGCGAUUCGGGGGAAAUGAGUUGUCACUGUCGUCGCCGUGGUUGGUGAAGGAGGUAUCGUCGCGAUGCGUGCGCGUGGGCAGCACAACUGAGGCACGACGGAAAAGCCAGAAGGCGUUGGGGCGCGGCUGGGGAUCUUGGUGAGGAGAUGCGCGCAGGACGCGAGGCGGACUAGCGCGGCAACGGCCAAUCUUCAGUCGCAGCGGCGGCAGGGCGCCUGGCACGGCUAGCAAGGUUUCGGGUGAGACGAGAUGAGGCGCAGAGACUACAGGGCGCUUCUGUUGGAGGUAUGCCCUAGAGGCAAUCAUAUAGAUGAUGAUAUUCCAUUUGUAUCCAUGAUUUAUAUUGUGUUCCUUCAAUAUCCAUUAGAGGCUACAUGAAUUGAUUUGCAAUUAUGUGAAUUGUAUGUGAAACUCUUUACUUGUAUGGUUAUUCUAAAGUUGUCCCUAGUCGGAGUUCAUGUGAGGACACACAUGAAUAUUAGACUAGCACAUGUAUUGGUUGAUGACUAUGUUUCACGAGUCAUGGACAUGGAGAUGUUGAACUAAUAAUGUGGGCACAUGUGGAGACAUGUGCUAGGACUGACCCAACACGAGAAGUAGUUCUCUCUUUACACAACAUAUACGCUUCAUCCCUAGACUUGAGAUUGUCGCAUGUACUCAAGAUGUGGAUCGACUUACUUAGGGGCUAUCAAACGCUACGCCGUAACAAGGUAGUUAUAAAGGUAGCUUUCGGGUUUGUCAAGAAGCAUGCUAUGAGACAUGGUCAAUCAAGAUGGGAUUUGCCCCUCUCUGAUUGAGAGUGAUAUCUCUGAGCCCCUCGAGUGAUCGGAUCCGAAAAUGCAUGACCAUGCUACGUACGGUUAAGAGUUAACCUACAAAGAGAUUCCGAAUCAUAGGAUCGAGAAAGAGUGGUCGGCUUGAAGCUAGACCAAAUAUCGUGAGGCAAAGGGAAUAGCAUGUAUAUAAUGUUGUGAUGGUUCGUCUAAUAUGAUCUUCGAGUGCAUAUAGGAGUUGGCACAUCUUGCUAGAUGCCGCUACCGACUAUUGGGCCGAGUAGGAGUACUCGGGCCAUGUCUAUACGUAUCCAAACCCAUAGGGUCACACACUUAAGGGGCUGGAAGCCCAAUUUCAAUGUGAUCUGAGUUGGAUUAGGUUUAGAAGUACUAAUGGGCCUCGAACCCAGAGGCCCGUUAGGAACCUCUAUAAAUAGAGGCGUGGGGGCGCCCUAGGGGUUACACCUUUUUGGCGAAACACAUCUGCUGCGCCUCCCAUGCCCUCACCUGUUGCAACUCGCGGACCUAGCAGUCCGGCUUGCAACGCUUUCUCCCUGCACGUGUGGAUACCUUGGAGGAGUUGCGCCUGCAGCACUACGACGAGUCGCCGGCGAGCAACGACGAGCCGCCGACGAGCCACGACAAGCCGACAACGAGCUAUGGCACGAGAGCGAUCUUGCUGCACGUGGACGAGCUGCUGAGGAGCUGGUGGACAUCAACGUGAUCGACUACGUAUGACUACGCUGAUCGACUUCGCUGCAUUGACGCGAAUCUACAUUUUCCGCAUCAGUGCAUCGAGUGGUAAUCCCGUGAUCCUUAUACGGCAGUUUUCCUGGUUUACGUGGUAGAAAAUUUUGAUUUGCGCCAGUGUAGCCUACCUUGUAUCCCUACAGUGGUAUCAGAGCCGUAGCUAUUUAGUUUUGGAUUCGGGAUGUGUGUAUAUGGAGAUAUGUGAGUUUUCAGUUUGAUCUAUGUCCUGGUUUCGUGUUCUUACUGCAAUGGUUGUGUAACGACAUACUCCUACCAGUCGGAUUUCCGCCAUUGAAGUUAAGUGAUACACGUAAUGCCAGUUGCAGUGAGCGAACAUCACUGUGAUUUGUCAAAUCGAAAUCUAGGUUCAUACACAAGGCGCAUGAGAUGUGCAAUAGUAGAUUGGAUCUACUACCAGGUCAGGUUUUUACCGUGUGCGUGUGCUUCGGUAAAUCAGUCGUAACUUUUCGGUAUGACCUCGGAUCGGGGCAAAUUUUAUAUGAAAAUUGAUCUACAGAAAAAGUUACACAUGAAAUUCAAUGGUUUUACCAUUUUUGACGAAAUUAGAUUUCCCAAAUUCGGCUUGAAAGAUGGAGUUUCGAGCCUCCGAAGUUUGGAACGUUAGAACGUCUAACUCUGUUUUGCAGGAUAUAUGUAUCUUGUGAUUAGUAUGGCCCCUUUGUGUAUGUGAUGCAUGUGUGUAACUCAUUCGUGACCUGCGUGUCGCGCGUACGGCAACACGGCUGGAGCCAUAUGUGUUGUCACUUUAAUGUAUUUAAUGGUCUGUGUACCAAUCUGUGAUGAUCCAAGCAACUAUGUAAUCUUUAUUACUAGCUUCUUUACUAGCUAUUAGGCGUAAUAGCACGUUCUAGUUCUUGGAGGACUCAUCACCAGGAGGAUGGCGCACAUGGAAUAUGGAGAUGGAGAUCACCAUGGUGAACAUGUUCUGUGGAGAUGGAGAUCACCAUAAGAAAACGGGCCAUACUGUGUCACAACUAUGUGAAUACUAUUUUGUUUAUGUUUUACUUUCUGCAUGCUGUGAUGUUAGAAGUAGAACGAUCCCUCACAAAGUUUAAGUUAGUAUGCCCUCCCAACUAAAACUUGCACCGUCCCAUGUCUUGUACAAUUAGUGGUGGGUCUAUGAAAUUAGGGUGCCACUAGUUUUCCUUGACUAGACGGGUUUGUGUCGGACACUUACACGCAUAAGGGUUGGUUUGCUUAACAAGGUUAUCUUAACGGUUAAGGACCUUGGGGCAUAAAGGUUGGGCGCCGAGACAUGGAGAUGUCACCCAACAACAGGAGUCAUAUGUGAUAUGAUUAGCAAGAAGUUGCUUACCGAUCUACCUUGUUUGCUAGCGAUGAUGCUAAAGCUCACUAGUAGACUUGUUAGUUGUGGAUCCUGAAUUACUAAGUAUCAAUAGAGGGAUAUUGAUUUUAGUGGGAGUAGAUUCUGUUAAAAUAGUUUAAUGUGAUUUGCUCUAUCAUGGAUACGUUUGUCUUAGUGUAUUUUUGCAUUACUUUUGUUGUAGAUUAAAUGGCACCUAGCAGCACUACACCGCUUGCUUUGCGUUCGGUCCUUGAGAAGGACAAGUUGAAUGGAAAAAACUAAUCGGAUUGGAUCCGUAACCUGAGAAUUGUUCUCAGGGCUGAGAAAAAGGAAGAUGUUCUAGACAACCCACUACUAGAAGAACCUGCUGAUGAUGCACCUGCUGUUGCUAAGAAUGCUUACAAGAAAGCAUGUGAUGCUAACCUCGAAGUAAGCUGCCUUAUGCUUGCUUGCAUGGAACCCGAGCUGCAGAUGCAGUUCGAAACAAACCAUGAGGCGCACGAUAUGAUCAUGGCACUUAGAGACAUGUUCCAAACACAGGCCAGGACUGAAAGGUUCAAUGUUUCUAAGGCCUUUGUGGAGAGCAAGCUAGCAGAAGGCGCAGCAGUAGGACCACACGUAAUCAAGAUGGUUGGUUACACUCAACGGUUGGAGAAGCUGGGCUUCCCACUGGGCCAAGAGUUGGCCACUGAUUUCAUUCUUUCGUCUCUUCCACCUAGCUAUGGGAACUUCAUCUCGAACUACCAUAUGCAUGGGACGGAGAAGGGUCUGAAUGAGCUGUGUGGCAUGCUUAAAACAGCAGAGGCUGAUAUCAAGAAAAGCGCUAGUAGCAGCCAUGUGAUGGCUAUACAGAACAAGCCUAGCUUUAAGAAGAAGGGCAAUUCUUGGAAGAAGAAGGGCAAGGCUGGACCGUCCAAGCCAAACCUAGCGCCCAAGGUUAAAGCUGGACUUGGACCUGCUCCAGACAAAGAGUGCUUUUACUAUCAUGAACUUGGUCACUGGAAGAGAAAUUGCAAACAGUACCUAGCUUCGUUGAAGAAUGGUGGAAGUAAGAGUAGUUCCACCUCGGUACGCUUGUUAUUAAUGUUAUGGAAAACAUAUUUCUCGCUGAUACAAUUAUUAAUUCUUGGGUAUUUGAUACCGGAUCGGUUGCUCAUAUUUGCAAUUCGAUGCAAGGAAUGAUAAAAAGUAGAAGCGUGGAAAGAGGAGAAUGCAAGAGUUGCUGUGUUGACCGUCGGGACGAUGCAACUCCACCUCCCGUUAGGAUUUAUUAUGGAGUUGAAUAGUUGUUAUUUCGUUCCUAGUUUAAGUCGAAACAUUUUGUCUCCUUCAUGCUUGAUGAAGGAUGGUUAUUCAUUUACGAGUGAAAACAAUGGUUGUGUGAUCUCUAAGAAUGAUAUGUUUAUGGCUUUUGCACCCAUUGUGAAUGGAUUGUUUGUUUUAAAUCUUGAUGGUUCACAUGUCUGUAAUGUAAGUGCUAAAAGGCCUCGGCCUAAUGAUUUGAGUCCUACCUACUUGUGGCAUUGUCGUUUGGGUCAUAUAAGUGAAAAAUGCAUGAAGAAGCUCCAUUCUGAUGGACUUCUAACUUCGUUUGAUUUUGAAUCAUACGAGACAUGUGAGGCUUGCUUGCUAGGCAAGAUGACUAAGACGUCUUUCACAGGUUUUCCUGAGAGAGCAGUAGACUUGUUGGAACUCGUACAUAGCGAUAUAUGCGGACCAAUGAGCAUGACGGCUAGAGGAGGAUUCCAAUACUUCAUAACUUUCACUGAUGAUUUUAGUAGAUAUGGCUAUGUCUACUUGAUGAGGCACAAGUCUCAAACCUUUGAAAAGUUAAAGGAAUUUCAGAAUGAAGUUGAAAAUCAGCGUGGCAAGAAAAUUAAGGCCUUACGAUCUGAUCGUGGAGGCGAGUAUUUGAGCCACGAGUUUAGCAAUCAUCUAAAGAGUUGCGGAAUUGUUCCACAACUUAUGCCACCUGGAACACCUCAAAGAAACGGUGUAUUCGAGCGACGUAAUCGAACUUUGUUAGACAUGGUUUGAUCAAUGAUGAGCCAGUCGGACCUACCGUUGUCAUUUUGGGGAUACCCUCUAGAAACAGCAGCUUUCACACUUAAUAGGGUACCAUCUAAAUCCAUAGUUAAGACACCAUAUGAGAUGUGGACUGGAAAAGUUCCCAGUUUAUCUUUUCUAAAGAUUUGGGGAUGUGAAGUGUUUGUUAAGCGACUUCAGUCGGACAAGAUCACACCCAAGUUGGAUAAAUGCAUUUUCGUGGGAUAUCCAAAGGAAACUUUGGGAUAUUGUUGGCGCUAGAAAUCGAUCAACCGAAUCCCAACAGCCGACACACGACCCGGGAGAAUCUGCUUAGCUCCUGUUCGGGUGAAUGCCCUGGUGCGGUUCGCGCGGCGUGCCAGCCAAUCUGACCUGUUGAUUGGCAAGGAAGAACACGUGUCAGGUUCAGAAAUUACGAUCGGCUAAGUUUCCGAUCGAGAGAGUUUAUCGGCGAAUCGGCCGAUUUACUAUGAUAAUGAAAUCGGCUAUAAGACAGCCUGAUCUCUAUAGCCUUGUAGACAGGAAAUUGCUAAAGUAAUCGGUACAAAACUAUGAUAACAACACUAGGAACAGAUCCAAUCAGCAAUAGAUGAAUUUAUCAAUAGAAAACAGAAAGAGCCGACACUACCGAUUCCUAGCUGGAUAACUGGUGAUAAAGACUAGAAAAACAGGUAAAAACCUAUGAAUCUAGCAAAUAUCGAUAACUAGUGAAUAAAUCUAAACGAAACAACAGCGAUACGCCAGAAGUUAAAGCUUAGAUAUUACUCGAUAAACGGAACUUACAGAAUCGGCCGGAGAUCAGGAUGAUGCAGCCCUGCCAACCCGCACGAACUCGUGAGAAGAGAAAAGUAAUGGCGAAGUCGCCUGCUUGAAAGUAAGUACGAAGAAAAAGUAGCUUGUUGUAUUGAUUGGUUGAUGAUUACAGUUUUACAAAGGUAGCUAUUUAUAGCCCCGUACAGAUAAUUCCUUAACCGACUAGAAUCCUAUCUCUAAUUCAAACAGAAAACGAAUAUCUACAAGCACAAUUCGUGCUAGGUUAGUUACUCCACGCUUCGUGGGCUGACCUCCACCUUAUCCUUCCAUCUCUUUCCAAGCCCAUACAGGCCCAAUUAGUCCACCCUCCUAAUCGGCCGAUUCCUUAUCGGCAAAAGACUACCGAUUGGGACUCUGGUGCAUUCGUCUUAAAGCGAGACAAAAGUCACCGACCGAUUCCGCACUAUAGCACCAUUUGGCCGAUUCCCGACUGUGCUUCACCGAAUUUCUCUCUACUUGGCGCCGAUUUUACUAAUGACGAAAUCUGGCGUCAACAGAUAUUAUUUCUACAACCAGUCAGAGGGUAAAGUGUUUGUCGUUCGGAAUGGGGUUUUCCUAGAGAAAGAGUUUCUCAAAGAAGAAAAGAGUGGAAAGACAGUGCAUCUUGAAGAAGUUCAAGAUGCGCCGAUCGGGCAAGAAUCAAUGAGUGAUGCUAACGUAGCAGAACAAGUUGAGAUACCCAUGGCACCGCCACAACCACGAAGGUCGGCAAGGCUCUGCGAAAUGCGGGAAAUAUUAUUGUUUGACAAUAAUGAGCCUACGACAUAUGCAAAAGCAAUGAUAGACCCAGACUCCGAAAAAUGGCAGAGUGCCAUGCAAUCCGAAAUAGAGUCCAUGGGAGACAAUCAAGUUUGGAACUUGGUUGACCCGCCUAAUGGUGUUAAAGCACGACUUGUCGCAAAAGGUUUUCGACAAGUCCAAGGAGUUGACUAUGACGAGACCUUCUCGCUCGUAGUGAUGCUUAAGUCCAUUCGGAUUAUUCUAGCUAUAGCUGCAUAUUUCGAUUAUGAGAUAUGGCAAGUGGAUGUCAAGACAGCUUUCUUGAAUAGAAACCUAGCUGAGGACGUGUAUAUGAUACAGCCCGAGGGUUUUGUCGAUUCGAAAAAUGCUGGAAAGGUAUGCAAGCUUCAGAGAUCGAUUUAUGGAUUGAAGCAAGCAUCUAGGAGUUGGAACAUUCGUUUUGAUGAAGUGGUCAAAGGGUUUGACUUCACCAACAAUGAAGAAGAGUCUUGUGUUUACAAGAAGGUUAGUGGGAGCUCUGUAGUAUUUCUAAUCUUAUAUGUGGAUGACAUAUUGCUGAUUGGAAAUAACAUUCCUAUGCUUGAGUCCGUAAAGACUUCACUGAAAAAUAGUUUUCCGAUGAAGGACUUAGGGGAAGCGGCAUAUAUUCUGGGCAUUAUGAUCUAUAGAGAUAGAUCGAGAAGGCUUAUAGGAUUAAGCCAAGAUACUUACAUUGACAAAGUGUUGAAGCGGUUCAGCAUGGAAGAGGCAAAGAAAGGGUUCUUGCCUAUGUCACAUGGCAUACAUCUCAGCAAGACUCAGUGUCCUUCGACUGCUGAUGAGCGGGAUCGCAUAAGUAGAGUGCCAUAUCCCUCGGCUAUUGGAUCUAUCAUGUAUGCAAUGAUACUUACUCACCCAGAUGUUUCAUAUGCCUAAGUAUGACAAGCAGACACCAGUCUGAUCCAGGUGAGACUCACUAGACAGUGGUGAAAAACAUUCUUAAGUACUUGAGAAGGACUAAAGAUAUGUUCCUCGUCUAUGGAGGUGAGGAGGAGCUCGUUGUAACAGGUUACAUCGAUGCUAGUUUCCAAACCGACAGAGAUGAUUCAAAGUCACAGUCAGGAUUUGUGUUCACAAUAAAUGUUGGUGUUGUUAGUUGGAAGAGUUCCAAGCAGGAGAUAGUGGCCGAUUCUACGAUAGAAGCCGAGUACAUCGCGGCUUCGGAAGCUGUGAAGGAGGGUGUUUGGAUGAGGAAUUUCCUCAUUGAGUUUGGUGUAUUCCCGAAUGCGUCCAGCCCAUUGAGGCAAUCAUAGAGAUGAUGAUAUUCCAUUUGUAUCCAUGAUUUAUAUUGUGUUCCUUGAAUACCCAUUAAAGGCUACAUGAAUUGAUUUGCAAUUAUGUGAAUUGUAUGUGAAACUCUUUACUUGUAUGGUUAUUCUAAAGUUGUCCCUAGUCGGAGUUCUUGUGAGGACACUCAUUAAUAUUAGACUAGCACAUGUAUUAGUUGAUGACUAUGUUUCACGAGUCAUGGACAUGGAGAUGUUGAACUAAUAAUGUGGGCACAUGUGGAGACAAGUGCUAGGACACGAAAAGUAGUUCUCUCUUUACACAACAUAUACGCUUCAUCCUUAGACCUGAGAUUGUCGCAUGUACUCAAGAUGUGGAUUGACUUACUUAGGGGCUAUCAAACGCUACGCCGUAACAAGGUAGUUAUAAAGGUAGCUUUCGGGUUUGUCAAGAAGUAUGCUAUGAGACAUGGUCAAUCAAGAUGGGAUUUGCCCCUCUCUGAUUGAGAGUGAUAUCUCUGGGCCCCUCGAGUGAUCGGAUCCGAAAAUGCAUGGCCAUGCUACGUACAGUUAACAGUUAACCUACAAAGGAAUUCCGAAUCAUAGGAUCGAGAAAGAGCGGUCGGCUUGAAGCUAGACCAAAUAUCGUGAGGCAAAGGGAAAAGCAUGUAUAUAAUAUUGUGAUGGUUCGUCUAAUAUGAUCUUCGUGUGCGUAUAGGAGUUGGCACGUCUUGCUAGAGGCCGCUACCGACUAUUGGGCCGAGUAGGAGUACUCGGGCCAUGUCUAUACGUAUCCGAACCUAUAGGGUCACACACUUAAGGGGCUGGAAGCCCAAUUCGUAUGUGAUCCGAGUUGGAUUAGGUUUAGAAGUACUAAUGGGCCUCGGACCCAAAAGCCCGUUAGGAACCUCUAUAAAUAGAGGGGUGGGGGCGCCCUAGGGUUUACACCUUUUUGGCGAAACACAUCUGUUGCGCCUCCCACGCCCUCGCCUAUUGCAACUCGUGGACCUAGCAGUCCGGCUUGCGAUCCUUCCUCCUUGCAUGUGUGGAUACCUUGGACGUGUUGCGCCUGCAGCACUACGAUGAGCCGCCGACGAGCCACGACGAGCCGCCGACGAGCCGACGACGAGCCGCGACACGAGGGCGAUCUUGCUGCACAUGGACGAGCUGCUGAGGAGCUGCUGGACGUCGACAUGAUCGACUAUGUACGACUACGCUGAUCGACUUUGUUGCAUCGACGCGAAUCUACAUCGUCCGCAUCAGUGCGUCGAGUGGUAAUCCCGUGAUCCUUAUACGGCAGUUUUUCUGGUUUAUGCGGUAGAAAAUUUUGAUUUGUGCUAGUGUAGCCUACCUCGUAUCCCUACAGCUUCUGCGUGCGAUUGGAAAGGAGGCACGCUGAUCCAUCUUGUCGCGACCGAUGACUGCACGAGGCGGCGCUCGCCGGUGAGGCUAUGCCACACAACGGCGGGGCUCUGAGACAGCGCGCACGCUCGCUCUGGCACACUUGGCCUGAGAGAUCCGUGGGAUCCUUUUCUGGGUCCAUCUUCCAGUCUCUUGCCUUCCCAAUUUCCGAACUGCACCACUUCUACUGCCUUAACAAGAGUUGUAGAACUCAGGCCAAGGCCCAACUCUUGAAAUUGGACCGAGUCCAAAAAUGCAGUGGAUUUGGGGGAUCCAAAGCUCCAAAGUUUGGAGGAACACCGUUUUCAGGAUUUAGAGCAAAACGGCGGUUUGCUAGGCUUCAGGGAUCGGGGCUGAUUUGAACUGCAGAUUUGGGAACCUUUGGAGAUAAAUUGGAUUAAGGUCCAACUAACAAAGUUGUAGUAGGGACUUCGUUCUCCAACUUCCAUAAAGGAAUUUCUGGACGUUCAGCUCAACUUGCCAAAGAUGAGUCCGCCCUAAGGCGUGAGAUCAGACUGAUCUUCCAGACUUAGCCAUAAUGGCUAAAGGAGUUUGAGUUGACCAGAGCAGGGAACUUGUCUUAAGAUUAAACUCGGCUGAUUUAAAUCUAAGUCGUUACAGAGGGUAUCUAUGUUAAAUUCCGAGGACUUCUCUGUGUUAAAUCUGAGGAUUUUGAUACAGUUUUUCCUUAAGUCUAAGGGUCAGAUCGUAAGUUUUCCCCUAUCCGACUCUUUUAACUCGUUUUAAAUCGACAAGAACUUGGAAGUUACAUCUUAAAUCGAGAAAAAAUCAGAAAAAUACCAAAUCACUUUUGUUGAAAUCCUUGUUCUGUCUAGUUUCUUACAAAAAUAAGUUUGCUCAUGUUACUAUUGUAAAUAAUAUCUUAUGGUUUUAUUCCUUGUUUAGGCCUUUUAAGUCAUUGUAAAUAGAAGAAAAAUGCUAAAUCGGUAAUCCAACUCUGUGGUGAAUGUUUCUGUGAGUUGAAGCUUAGAGAAAUGUUUAGGACCCUGGGGAAGAACUUAAAGUUACUAUUUUAGCUUUACAUUUGAAAUCUAGAGUUAAAAAUCUUACUUUUUGCAUAAGUAUUAAUCCAGAGCUGAGAAAAAUAAGAAAUUUUGGGGAAGAGGUACGUAAAAACUUUUAGAAUUAAAUAACUCUCCUAAUGCACUUGAACCACCCCAAACACAACCUCUCUCUCUUUGUGCAUACUCUAAGUUGCAAGAAUCUAAAUGUGUACACAAUCACCAUCAAAGUCAACCGCAAGUUUAAACCCGACCUCACCUUCCUUUGCGAAGUUAAGAGAAGUUAAAACCUUAUUUAGGUGAAUGUGGCCUUUAGGCAACUUUCUUUCUACCGUAAUCCAUGUCGUGCAUUGUUCGUGUUCGCGCCUGGUUGAAAUUAAACUCCUGCAUGUGCAUGUCGUGUAGAAGCAAAUCUCGCCGUUGGAACCUACGAACUUCACCCUGCACCACAGGAAGAACCCGCCGCAGAGCUUCAUCACUUGGAAGGAGAGCCCCAGCUAGAUCAAGACCUCGAAGAACCGCUGACCCUUCCUGAAGGUAAAGCCCGUUGCAUGUUUCCCUGUUUUAAAUUAUGCAAUAUGUUGAUGCUUAUGAUUGCGCAUUUACGUUUAUAGGAGUUGAAUGACACCUUAGAUGCAUGAACUUAGUACCCUUCUAAUCUGAACACUAGCAUGAUAAGUCGCGUGGAUGCAAUGCUAGAUAGGUCUCGGUAAAAGUUGAGUUAUAGGAGUUGUUUGUUUACUCUUGUAACAACUAUAAGGACGAUGGAUGGGGCUGGGCUUAUGUUCAGUUCUUGGUGGUUUGCCCCGUCUGUCUACACGAAAAUGGACUAAGGUCAAAACGUGUCGGCAUUCGUGAUCAAGUUUUUGAAAGUACUAAUCUCAUACCUAGUAUGGGAUAGGGAAGCCUAGUACCUGAUUGAAUUGGGGCGUGGCAUACCCUCUAGCUGUCCUUGGAACAUCAUUCCCAUGGUGCAUCAUGUGGGUGCAAGUGCGGUCAUAGUACGGCAGAGGCCAGGAUUAUAGAGAAUUGCAUGCCAGAGGAAGUUGGCUCUGACACGUGCCUAAGGGAUCGACGGGGACGGCUGCAAGUGAAGCAACCCUUCGUGGUGCGCAGAUGUCAUGAGAUUAGGUUCGCCAUGCAUGGUUAAUAAAUUCGAAUCGAUUCGUCUACCUCUCACAGUUUGGGACUGCUUGAUCGCUAUUCUACACUGAGUAAAGAUAGAACAUGAUGAUGAUAUUAAUCUUGAUGCUUGUUCCUUAAUUGUUUGGAAAACUAUGCUUGCUUAGCGUAAGUUGUUAAUCUAGACUGGUUAAUGAACAUAGAACCUGAGCUAAAACAUUGAAAGUAAGGACUGACUAUAGGUGCUUUUGGCAAAACAAACCCAAAGCCAAAAAGGCCUUGCAUGUAGAAGUUGGUGACAGUAUUUAUCACCGGACGGGUCAGUCUUGCUGAGUAUUAGUUGCUCAGCCUUGUUGUGGCUUAACUUUUCAGGUGAUGUCAAUAGUAUGGUUGCUGGCACCACUUGGCCAACCCAGCUCCCUCCAGGCUGGACAGUCGAGUGGGAUCCCUCCUCAGACGGCGAGGGCAGGGAUUAUUGAUGUCAUGAUUGGCUUCAUCAUGAUAUCGUGUAUCGACGUUUAGCUUCCGCUUGUUUACUUCGUCUGGUUGAACCUUGCAAACUUGUUUGAAUUUUGGAAACUCUGAUGUAAUAAAUGUUGAACUAUGUUAAUGUGAUAGGAAUGUUGUAACCUCUGUGCUACUCACCUUCGUGUGAGCAAUGUUUCUCAAUCCUAUGAGUGGUUUAUCAGAGGAAAUCCGAUGGUCGACCAAGUUGACUUGCUUAAAGUGCAUGAUCGCGUGUCAGGCGACUUAAGUGCAUUUUUGUCAAGUUAAUUUGGGCGGUUCCGCCACAGUUCUGAUGGUCGCAAAUCUAUUAGUGUCGGACAAAUUCUGAGGGACAGGCUUGGAAGACAAAGAACAUCCAAUAGCAUCGGAUGAUCCGAUGGUACACGCAAGAGGAGCGUCGGAUAAAGCAUAUUUUCUUUGAUCCCUGAUAGAAGGUUUUUGGCCAGAAUGCCUUCAACACCGGAUGAUCCAACGGCACCAUUGGAGGAAGCGUCGAAGCAGUGACAUCAGAGGAUUCAAUGGCUAUGUGACGUGGCCAGUGGCAACUGGAUGAUCCGAUGGGGGCAUCGGAUAAAGCGUCGGAUGAAUUUCUGAAGAAUUGGGGCGCGGGGAGUCCAAUGGCUAAUUGCACCGGAUGUUCCAAUACAGGCAAAAAUAGACCAUCGGAACAUCCGAUGGUAUACUUUUUAACUAGCCGUUGUAGUAACGGCUCUUUGAGCCUUUGGGGCUAUUUAUACCCCCACUACUCGCCCAUUUGGAGUUGCUGGAGUGUCAAGGGAUGCAUUGAAGACCAAGACUCAUCAAGAACACAUCCAAGCCACCUAAAGUGCUAAUUGAUUCAUCUAAGGCUUAGCACAAGUUUAGGAGAGUGAUUACUGCUAGGAUAGGCCUAGGAAGCAGUGAAUGCAAGGUGUGCUGACCUUGUGAUCUGUACAAGAGGUGUGCCCACACCUUGAAGCCUUGGUGGCUUGCCAGCAAGUCUUCAACCCUUCGACUUGGUGUGGAGCAACGUCGAUGACCUUGUGCGGGGGACGUGGAGACCCCCUUCCUUCGUCAAGAAGCUUCUUAGUGGAAACAGCAUCAAGGUGACCGAUGAACUUGGAGUGUGCCUUUGUGGUCGACCCUUUGUGGCAAAUCAAGGAGUGCCUUGGGAUAGACUUGGUGGCCAGGAAGCAAUACUCUUCUAUGAGUGCUUCAACAACAUGGACUAGUGGUGGCUUAGUGCCUACCGAUACCACGGGAAAAAAUCCUUGUGUCAAGAGUUUGCUUCCUCUCAUCCCCUCCUUACGUUUCCGCAUUUCAUACUUGCAACUUGUGUGCCUUUACUUUCCUAGAGUAGUAUCUUGAGUGAGCUAUUUGCUCGCUAGCCAGUCAUGGCAUGCAUCCAGACAAGGGAGAUCAGUAACCAAGCUGCGAGCCACAAGGAUGAGAUCGUGAUAGUGAUUGUGGCUUCGGCCCUAAAGACGGCGCGCCCGGGUUGAGUGAGCUGGGCCAGUACCAGUUCAUGAAAAGAGUUUGGUUAGGCUCAUACCAGCCAGCCCUACCAGGCUUUUGUUAAAAAAGAACAUUACAAGCCCAUCAAAGUCCAAUAGCAAUACAAAUCCAGCCCAUCUUGGCCUUCCGCAUACCAUCCUCACUCCUCAGUGGCAGACCGCCAAUGCCGCUGCUCUUCCAGUUUCCCGCGGUUUCCCCACGAACGCACCCCAAAUUCCCGCCAUAAACCUAGCCCUGCUCCAGCAGAGAAGAGGCAACGUUCAACGGCAACGCCUCCCACCGCCACCAAGUAGUCAUCUCGCUCCCCACCCGAGCUAGUAGUGAGAGGGACAAGAGGGGAAAAUGUCUUCCUAGUACGACGACGAGUCCACGGCGGCGUUCGCGGCCGAGGUAGCGACCACGGAUGUGGAGCUGCUCAAGCAAGCCAAGCGCAACGAGAAGGCCACACCUGAGAACCUCCGCUUCGACUCCCCACUCGUCUCCUGCGUCCACGAGCAUAUCAAGCUCCUCGUACGCCGUUUGCUUCUUCUUCUCGCCGUCCCUCCUCCCCUCCCUUUGUUACUUUUUUGGGUCUAAUGCGGAUUCACUACCGCGAUGCCACCAGGAGACGCUGGACAAUUUCGCCGACAGCGGUGUCGACGAUUUGGUGGUCUCGCUCUACCAGAUGGACCUCGACCGCAUGCUCUUCCUCCUGAGCUCCUACCUCCGCCUCCGUCUACAGAAGGUCGGUCGCAUCAAAUCCCAAUCUGUUUGCUAAAACUGACCAAUUGUAAUUGUAAUUACCAAAUUGUUGCCAGUCUAAUUACUUGCUGGCUAUAGAUGCAGAAGCACACGAUGCAUAUCUCCAGGUCUGAUGACCUCCUCAGCCGGCUGUCACUGCAGGAGCGCCGGUUCGCUAAGAGGUAUCUUCUAACUGUGCGAUUGGCAUUUGCCCCAGUUAUUUUGCAUUGGCUUGUGAAACUAGAUGGUUCUGAUGGGAACCAAUUUCUUGUGUUUGAUCUGUCACUAAUUGCGCUGAGAUCAUGGAGAAGCAUCUCGAACAGUCAGUGCUGUCGAAGCUGUCGUAUGGCUAUGACUCGGUUACCGGAUAGUCCUUAUCGAGCACUGAGGAUGACAUGGAUAUAUACCCUUCACUUGAUCUGCUAAAUUUUGGAGUUCCUUGUCCUGUUGUCGUAUUGCUUCUGUCGUUUGCAGCUUCAGUCAUUACAUAUUUUGCAUAGGCUGCUGGAUGUGAAUAGUUGGUAAUAUAAGUUUCACCAUUUCUUUUGAGGUGGGCGGCCUGAUAGUUGGUACAAAGUAUCUUUGGGAAAUCUGGUCAUUAGUUGUACUCAAAAGUAGCGUUCCUACAUAACAAAAUUAGUUGUCAAGUUAAUAGGAGCUCAGUUAUAAUAAUGCCUCUUGCCCACAUGUGGUGGUUCUGAUUACCUACCGCAUCUUGGGACUUCCAUCCCCAAAUUAUCAAUAUGCUCCCACCAAGUUGCCAUUCUGAAUUUUAGACUGCCUUGUCCUUAUCAGGUUGAAAUUUGCUGUUGAAAUUUGCUGUUCUGGCAGUGUUCUUAUUAUCCUAAUGACCUCAUCCAUUGAUGCAUAACUAGGGACACGUUUCUAUCAGAUUUAUCACAUUUGGAUGCAUCAUAAUCUUAAUUUCAGUAGUCUAAUGGAAAGAAACGAACUGAAAGUUCGUGAUGCGGUCACAAAAUGAUAAUCUGCAAUUGUAUAAAGUUACACUGCAGAGAGUGAUCAAGGAGAGACUCGACCAGGCACAAAUGUCACGGUGCUUCUUUCUAGCAUAAUAAUUAGGUUCUCAUGUCUUCUCAUAGGUGAUACGUUGGCUUGUGUUUCUAUGGCCGAUAGUUCCACCAUAUGUGUGCAUGAUAAUGUCAAGUGCUUGUCUGGUGUCGAUCUUUCGCAAUCAUCUGAUUGCGAGUACAUUAGUUGCACAAAGGUUGAUUUUGUUGCUACUGUAUUAAAGCCGGUUGAGGAUCGGCUAACUUACCACAUAUGAUGUAAUGGAUGUAAAUCUAGAGUGGUUGCAGCAAAGGCUAGAACACUAUCGGGCGCAGAAGAACGAUAUGUGUGAGGCCAUUGAGGAUCUUGAUGAUAUGAGUAAAUUAGGAUAAGGGUUCAUGUCGGUUGAUCCUUUAGAGGAGGUGGAUAUUGGUGAUGGUACUGUACCAAGGCCGACGUUUGUAAACAAAAAUCUAAAGCCUAUUUUCAAGUCUGAUUUAAUAAAGUUCUCAAAAGAGUAUGUCAACUGUUUUGCAUGGAAUUACACUGAAAUAUCUGGUUUAAGCCGCGAGCUGGUCAAGCAUCGGCUGCCCAUUAAGCCUAGUUUUAGGCCUCAUAAACAACCUACUAGCCAUUUUAACCCUAUUAUUUAUGACCAAGAGAAAGAAGAAAUUGUUGGAGGUAUGCCCUAGAGGCAAUCAUAGAGAUGAUGAUAUUCCAUUUGUAUCCAUGAUUUGUAUGUUGUGUUCAUUGAAUAUCCAUUGAAGGCUACUUGAAUUGAUUUGCAAUUAUGUGAAUUGUAUGUGAAACUCUUUACUUGUAUGGUUAUUCUAAAGUUGUCCCUAGUCGGAGUUCAUGUGAGAACACACAUGAAUAUUAGACUAGCACAUGUAUUAGUUGAUGACUAUGUUUCACAAGUCAUGGACAUGGAGAUGUUGAACUAAUAAUGUGGACACAUGUGGAGACAUGUGCUAGGACUGACCCAACACGAGAAGUAGUUCUCUCUUUAAACAACAUAUACGCUUUGUCCUUAGACCUGAGACUGUCGCAUGUAUUCUAAAUGUGGAUCGACCUACUUAGGGGCUAUCAAACGCUACGCCGUAACAGGGUAGUUAUAAAGGUAGCUUUCGGGUUUGUCAAGAAGCAUGCUAUGAGACAUGGUCAGUCAAGAUGGGAUUUGCCCCUCUCUGAUUGAGAGUGAUAUCUCUGGGCCCCUCGAGUGAUCGGAUCCAAAAAUGCAUGGCCAUGCUACGUACGGUUAAGAGUUAACCUACAAAGGGAUUCAAAUCACAGGAUCGAGAAAGAGCGGUCGGCUUGAAGCUAGACCAAAUAUCGUGAGGCAAAGGGAAUAGCAUGUAUAUUAUGUUGUGAUGGUUCGUCUGAUAUGAUCUUCAUAUGCGUAUAGGAGUUGGCACGUCUUGCUAGAGGCCGCUACCGACUAUUGGGCCGAGUAGGAGUACUCGGGCCAUGUCUAUACGUAUCCGAACCCAUAGGGUCACACACUUAAGGGGCUGGAAGCCCAAUUCGGAUCUGAUCCGAGUUGGAUUAGGUUUAGGAGUACUAAUGGGCCUCGGAUCCAGAGGCCCAUCAGGAACCUCUAUAAAUAGAGGGGUGGGGGUGCCCUAGGGUUUACACCUUUGGCAAAACACACCUGCCGCGCCUUCCCACGCCCUUGCCUGUUGCAACUCGCGGAUCUAGCAGUCUGGCUUGCGACGCUUCCUCCCUGCACGUGUGGAUACCUUGGAGGUGUUGCGCCUGCAGCACUUGGACGAGCCAUCGACGAGCCGCCGACGAGCCACGACGAGUCGACGACGAGCCGCGGCACCGGAGGCGAUCUUGCUGCACGUGGGAGCUGCUGGACGUGACGUGAUCGACUACGUACAACUACGUUGAUCGACUACGUACGACUACGUGAUCGUCUUCACUGCAUCGACGCAUAUCUACAUCUUCCGCACCAGUAGUGCGUCGAGUGGUAAUCCCGUGAUCCUUAUACGGCAGUUCUUCCUGGUUAUACGCGGUAGAAAUUUUUGAUUUGCGCUAGUGUAGCCUACCUCGUAUCCCAACAGAAAUCUAAUCAGUUGCUUGAUGCUAAGUUUAUUAGACCUUGUCGAUAUGCUGAUUGGGUUUCUAAUAUUGUGCCUGCAGAGAAGAAGGGCACGGGUAAGCUCCGAGUAUGCAUUGAUUUUAGAGAUCUUAAUAGAGCUUCACCAAAAGAUGAAUAUCCUAUGCCUAUAGUUGAUGUACUUAUUAAUGUUGCAUCUAGACAUAGAAUGAUUAGCUUUCUUGAUGGUAACGCUGGGUAUAAUCAGAUCUUUAUGGCAGAAGAGGAUAUAUCCAAAAUGGCCUUUGUGUGUCCAGGAUUUGUUGGUUUGUUUUAGUGGAUCGUUAUGACUUUUGGUUUGAAGAAUGCUGGCGCUACUUAUCAAAGGACUAUGAAUUUGAUUUUUCAUGAUUUGCUUGAGUAGUGUUGGAAGUGUAUAUCAAUGACAUUGUGGUAAAAUCGGCCGGGCCAGGAUCCCAUUUGGCUGAUUUGAGGCUUGCAUUUGAGAAGAUAAGUUAGUAUGGUUUGAAGAUGAAUCCGCUCAAAUGUGCUUUUGGUGCAUCAGCUGGGAAGUUCUUGGGCUUUGUAGUGCAUGAGAAAGUUGUUGAGAUUGAUCCUAAAAAGAUUGAAUCUAUUAGAAAACUACAAGCUCCUGCUUGCAAAAGUUUUUGGGCAAGGUGAAUUAUUUAUGAAGAUUUAUUUGCAACAUGUUUGGGAAGGUGAAUGCAUUUACUCUUUUACUUCCGUUGAAGAAUGAAGUUGAUUUUACUUUGGGGGCAAAACAUUAAGAAACAUUUGAGGAAAUCAAGAAUUACUUGUCUUCACUGCCCCUUCUUCAGGCACCAAAGCAUGGUGUUUCUUUUAAAUUAUAUGAGGCAGCCGAAGAGGGUGUUAUUGGGGAUGUUUUGACUCAAGAAACCGAAGGGAAGGAGCAUAUUGUUACUUAUGUGAGUAGAAGAUUGUUGGAUGUUGAAACAAGGUACAUUUUUAUUGAGAAUUUGUGCUUGUCAUUAUAUCAUGCUUGUACCAAGUUGAGGCAUUAUUUAUUAUCAAAUACUUGCAUAGUGGCUUGUCAAACCACAUAAUUAAAUAUAUGUUGCAAAAACCUAUUUUGAGUGGUACAAUCAGCAAAUGGGCGAUGCUCUCAUUGAAUAUGAUCUGGUUUGUGAACCGCAAUGAAAUGUCAAAUUGUAGCCGAUUUUAUCGUUGAGCAUAGAAUUGAUGAGAAACUUGAUUUAAGUACCGGUUAUAUUACUGUUACCCCUUGGAAACUGCACUUUGAUGGAUCGGUAUGCAAAAUUGAUUGCGGUGUUGGUGUGUUCCUUAUUUCACCAAAUGAGCCUAUUUUUGAAUUUCUUAGCCGAUUGGAUCACAAGUGAUGUAGCACUGGCCCGAUCUUCCGAUAGAUAUAGAUAGACUCGAUUUGAUGGAGACCCAACGUUGAUGAUCCGGCUUCAAAUCAAACACAAUUCGAACCCUGCAACCGCUACACCACUGCUCUGUUGGUUAUCAACCAAGCACAACUUGAUUGACCUCACCGAAAAGGUUUUCCCUGCAAGCGAAUCGAAGAACACAAGCAAGCAAAUGGUAAACACGCAAUCUGAAAUUGCAAAUAUGGAUGAAGCAAAGAUCAAUAUGGGGUUCAACCUCUCGAUUCAAAUGGACUAAUCGUCACAGGCGAGGAGAACAAGAACAGGGGCCUUGGAUCACUGUAAACGGAUUUGUCACCACAGUUACAAUGAGUCAAUCUCAAUUUCUCGAUGGAAAACUAGAACUAAAUGAAACCUGAGUUCUAAAGGCCACAGCUACUAAGUUUUAUACCGAAAGGGGCGUCCUAGGGUUGGGGGCGACCAGGCGGGAGGCGCCCACAACAUGGGCUUAAGGCCCAACACAGUACAAGGCCAAGUUAGCCCAAACAGGUGAUGCAACACCUUGUCAUGGUCACACAGAAUGAUCCAAGAACCUUUUGGAGCUAGGACCAGAACCAAAAGAACGGCAUCGUCAUCCCCUUUACAACGCAUCAAAGAACGCCUCAUUUCGAUGUCGUAUAAGGGAGAUAUGAUCAAAACCGUGCAGGGGUGUCAGUUGAAUCCGAACCGAACACGAUGACCGAGUUGGUGAUGACUUGUGACUUGGGGAAGACCAUGACUCGUGUGUGUCAAGCAGGGCGAUGUCCUCAUCAACAAGUGUACUAAUAAUCAAACCGAGUAUGAAGCUUUGUUAUUUGGUUUGGAGAUUUUGAGAUGGGGCUAAAGCAUGUUGAAGCUUAUGGAGAUUCUCUACUGGUGGUACAGCAAGUAUCCAAGGUAUGCCAAUGUUUGGAUGGAUUCUUGAAUGCUUAUCUUGACAAAUGUCUAGACAUCAUAUCUUGCAUGGAUGAGUUUACUAUUUAUCAUGUACCAAGGAAAGGGAAUCCAAGGGCUAAUUCUCUGGCACAACAAGCGUCUGGCUAUAACAUUCAGAAAAGUAACUUUCAUGAAAGAAAGCCGAUGCUUUACAAGGCCGAGUGCUAUGUCCAAGAGGAACCGGUCCAACUGACCUCCGAAACCGGUCUGACCGGUCCAACCGGUCUGACCGCCCGGCCAGUCGGUCUGACCGCCCGGCCAGCCGGUCUGACCAGUCUAUCUGGUGAAGAUCCUACUUCAGUCAUGGAUCAUCCUAAACUUGCUAAGGAUGAAGUGGAUGACUUGAGAACGUCUCUAAUUAAUUAUUUGCAGAAUCUCAAGCACUCAGUUGAUAGAAAAGUCCAACAGUGGGCACUCAAGUUCAUUUUGGUGGAUGGUGAGUUAUAUCGUCGGACGAUUGAUGGAUUGCUUUUAAAAUGCUUGGAUUCUGAUCAAGUGAAAAUAGCUAUGGCAAAGGUGCAUGAAGGAGUUUGUGGUACGCAUCAUUCGACUCGUGUGAUGAAAUGGCUUCUUAAACGAGCUUGCUUUUAUUAGCCUAAUAUGAUAGCUGAUUGUUUUUGUUACUACAAAGGUUGUGAAGAGUGUCAGAAGUUCGGGGAUGUUCAGUUGGUACCUGCUUCAUCGAUGCAUUUAAUUAUAAAGCCAUGCUAGAGGAUAGGGAUUGGAUUUUGUUAGCAAGAUUCAUCCUUCUUCAUCAAAGGGAUAUUAUUUUGUGAUUGUGGCUACUGAUUAUUUCACCAAGUGGACUAAAGCGGUUCCCCUUAAGAAGGUGAUUAGGUUUAUUAAGGAGCACAUCAUACACAGGUUUGGUAUUCCGCAGACUUUGACCACAGAUCAACGAACCCCAUUCAUAUCUAAAGAAGUGCGGGAGUUUGUGGAAUCUUAUGGUAUUAAACUUCUCGAUUCAUCUCCUUAUUAUGCUCAAGCUAAUGGUCAAGUCGAGUUUAGCAACAAGAUUUUAAUUAAGCUCAUCAAGAAAAAGAUAGAGAACAAUCCUAAAAGAUGGCAUGAGGUUUUAUCUGAAGCUUUAUGGGCUCAUCAUAUUUCUAGACGUGGCACCACUAAAGUUACUCCUUUUGAGCUUGUCUAUGGUUAAGAAUAGCACUGGAUGAUCCGACGGUACGCGCAAGAGGAGCAUCGGAUAAAUCAUAUUUUCUUUGAUCACUGACAGAAGUUUUUUUGCCAGAAUGCCUUCAGCACUAGAUGAUCCGAUGGCAACAUCGGAGGAAGCGUCGGAGCAAUGCCGUCAGGGGAUUCAACAGCUAUGUGACGUGGCCAGUGGUACCGGAUGAUCCAAUAGGGGCUCGGAUAAAACGUUGGAUGAAUUUCUGAAGAAUUUGGGUGCGGUGUGUCGGAUGAAUUACCGAAUUGUUGUCAGUCUGAUUACUUGCUGGCUAUAGAUCGAGAAGUACACGAUGCAUAUCUCCAGGUCUGAUGACCUCCUCAGCCAGUUGUCGCUGCAGGAGCGUUGGUUUGCUAAGAGGUAUCUUCUUACUGUGCGACUGGCAUUUGCCCCAAUUAUUUUGCAUUGGCUUGUGAAACUAGAUGAUUCUGAUGGGAACCAAUUUCUUAUGUUUGAUCUGUCACUAGUUGCGCUGAGAUCAUGGAGAAGCAUCUCGAACAGUUGGUGCUGUCGAAGCUGCCGUAUGGCUAUGACCCCGAAUCCCUGAUAUGGGCUGAGGUUCACGACAUGUUUCAUCUGCUUGUCCAAUUUGUUUUCUCUAUAUAUUCCCAUUACCUGACUUUCAUGCAGACAAAAAUAUUUAAGAGAUUCAUUGCUGAUCAAAUACUUACUCAUGUUUUAGCACAGUUUUGCUUUAGUAGACAUAAUAUAAAUUUGAGGCAAAGAAUGAACUGUUUUAAAUUUCUUUGUCAAGAAUUAAGCGGCUUCAUUUCUGAAUGUAACAUCCGUCUGUAAACCUUUGUACUUUUUCAUUACUGUACAGCUUUCAUAUUCAAGUAGGCGGGAGAAGAUUUUGGCUUUCGACGCAUCAUCCGUCUUGACCAUUCAGAAGUGUACGUCUGAAAUCUUCUGUGACAAGGUCUGCAUCGUUUGUCUCUGGGUGUCAAAUAAUCUCGCUAGUUGUCCUUUUUUUCUUAAUCACAGCUACCACCUGUUUCUCGACUUCCAAUACUACCCCCAGCCAUUAGUAUGAUCCCGCUACUUUAGGUUUUUCUGGUGAAAUUAAAGGAAGCACAUUUCUGAUUUCUCCCAAAGAGCAAAAAAAAGGAAGGAUCGAUGUCAGCUGCAGUGACUAGACAAAGCCUUGAGGUUUCCUCAUGUCUCUUAUGUGCAUGGAUUAUAUUUAUGCGCAGGGAUGAAUCUUGCGUGGUAGGUGAGACUGAUUCAGAAUCUCUCUCUCCAUGUCCACCUAGCUCGAUCUCCAAUGGUGAGUGCUCAUGUCUCCCAUGCUUAUUGGUGUGAGUAGGUGAGUGCUUAGUAGGUGCUCCCUGUGACGUGAGACCGCAUCAAGUCACCAUCUUCUUGAGUUCUCUCUUGCUGUGAAAUCAAUCAAUCUUUGGCCUGUUUACAACUUUACACACAGAGCUUUGUAUGAACUACAUGCAUGUUGUUGGUGCCGAUGAAAAGGGCCUGUGGUUAUAGAUGUCCAUUCGGGCUGCCCGAUCCGGUCCGGCACAGGCCGGGCAAGGCCUGUUAAUUUUUGUGUCGGGCCUAGCCCGUCACGAAGGCUUCAUCGUGCCAUACCGUGCCAGCCCACGGGCCUCACCGGCGGCCCAAGCACGGGCCCGCAAGGCCUUUUUUUGCCAGGCUGGCCCGUAAAGCACGGCCGGCUUCGGACCCAGCGAGGCACAGCAGGCUCCCACGCCGCCGCCGCUGCUGGCCUCCCACGCCACCGCCGUUGCUCCCCGCAGUCGGGCCCCUCACCGCCGCCGUUGCCUCUCCCCGCAGCCGGACCCCCACGCCACCGCCGCCGCUGCCUCCGCCUCCCCACGCCACCACCGUGCUGCUCCCCGCGGCCAGCCCCACGCCGGAGUGGAGGAGAAGGGCAUGGCGGCGUGUGGCGAGGGUAGAGGAUGACAAGGCCGUAGGGAGGGGAGGCAGCCGUCGGAGGCUAGAGGGCCAGAAGUCAGAGGGGAGGCAGAGGUCAGAGAUGAAGGGGAGGAGGUGGCAGCGAAGGGAAGGAGGUGGCGGCGGUGGAGGAGGGGAGGUGGAGCAGCGGCGGCGCCGGAGGGGAGGAGUGGCGGAGCGGCACCGACGGCAGAGAGAAGAGGGAGGGGGCGGCGGUGGAGGGGAGGAGAGGCGCGGAGGGUAGGCAACAGGCAGGUGGCGGGGGCAGCCGGGCGUACUGAGAGAGGCAAUAGGGUGGUGUGGGGAGGGAGAGAGGGAAUAGGGAGGUGAGGGGAGGGAGGAGGGGUAGUGGUGGUUAGGGUUUAGAUUUAGUCUUAUAUGGGGUGAAGGGUAACGGGCCAAUACGGGCCAUCACCCUAAAAUCGUGCUGGGCCAGGCUGCCCAUCGUGCUGGGGUGGCGGCCCACGCCUGGCACGAGCCAUCGGGCCAGGCCAGCUCAAGCCCGAAGAGUUUCGGGCUGGGCCGAGCUUGGGACGGGCUAAAAAAUCAGGCUUCGUGCCGGGUUGUCGGGCUGCGGGCUGCAUGGACAUCUAUACCUGUGGUGGGCUUGGUAGGUGAAGACGAAUUGAAGGUGCUGUUGGUCGUCUGGGUAGUAGUACUAACCACUGUUUGGUCUGCCUAAAAUGUCUCUCCUGCUACCUAACAUUCAUGGACCCAUGGUACCCACAUCGACCAGCUUGGCCAUCGCAUGGAGCGCGAGAGAGAUAUAUUCUAGUGUUGAGUUAUUCAUAGAAAUAAAUGCGUGAUGACUCCUAUGCUGUCACCUGCAAAUGUUCCGCGAGGCAGGCGAUCGAAAGAGUCAUCAAAGUGCAGAGACCUGUUAGAUUAACAACCUCAAUCAGUGAGCUCCAUGGGCUGUAAAGCUCAACCAGUAUACGCGCACACAACUUGCAACAAAGUCCAGGCAACAAGUCCGUUGAGACUUUGGCAACUUUCACCAGCAAUUGGCUAGCUUACGCUUGAUUGAUUUUGUCUUUAGGCAUAUUGUUAUCGUGGAAAGCAUGAUGAGCAGUGAGCGAGAACCUGACGGGCGGAAUGGAGCCGUUUGCAGCGCUGACGGAACUCCAAGUCAGCGGUCACUGGUCAGUAGUCUCGAUAGUACAACGGGAUGUUUGGGAACACCGUGCUAAACUUUAGCACUUGUCACAUCGGAUGUUUGCAUACUAGAAGUAUUAAACAUAGUCUAAUUACAAAACUAAUUGCACAGAUGGAGUCUAAUUCACAAGACGAAUUUAUUAAGUCUAAUUAGUCCAUGAUUUGACAAUCUGGUGCUACAAUAACCAUUUGCUAAUGAUGAAUUAAUUAGGCUUAAUAGAUUCGUCUCACGAAUUAGACUCCAUCUAUGCAAUUAGUUUUGUAAUUAGCUAAUGUUUAGUCCUUCUAAUUAGCAUCCGAAUAUCCGAUAUGACCCUGCUAAAGUUUAGCACCUCGUAUCCAAACAUCCCGAAAGUUACAGAUAGCGAUGAAGACAAAUCUGCAAAUGAUCAAAGUCGUGAAGUGAGCUGAGCCACAAAAUCAUGUAGUCACUUUCGUGCUCUAUAUAUUCAACGUCAAGGUGGAUAGAUAUAGACUGACGCAAAUGGAACUCAAGCAGCUGAACAACGACUAUUAUAUUGUUGUCAACUCCACCGUCCCAAAUUAUUAUUCGUUUUAGUUUUUCUAGGUGCAUAAUUUUUGCUACGUAUCUAAACAUGGCAUAUAUUUAGAUGCAUAGCACAGUCUAUAUACCUAGAAAAGUCAAAACGAGUAGCUUUUCUAGGUGCGUGGGAUUGAAACCCGCAACCUCUUGCCUCACGCGUAGCUUCUUUACCGUCUCAGCUACACAAUAUAUCCAACUGAGUAGGGAACGCUAUCCUUUUGUAUUCACUCGUGGGGACCCUUUAGUCUCGGUUACCAACCAGGACUAAAGAGUCCCCCACAUAAUACGAAAUUUAAACUCGGGACUAGCUUUAGUAUCAGAUCCAAAAAUAACCGAGACUUUUGUUUGAGGAUGAACUCGCUCUCUCUUUUCUAUCUGUUCCACCACUAUAUGUCCAUCACUCUUUUUACCCUCUCACUAUCUCGUAGCGUGACCUGACAUAUAGAUCCGAGAUGGUAACAUGGCGUCGUGGUGCUAACAAGUGGCAGUUCUAGAAAAACAAGUUUUGGUUGCGGAUGGAGUUGAACAAGAAGAAGAAGAAAAAAAAUUUGAGAAGAAGAAGAGGAAGACAGGGGUGGAGCCCUGUAUCUGGCAGCUCUCCGCCACAGUCGCUAACAUGUGGAUCAUAUAUGUGAUAGGUUUUGUCGACCUAAAAGUCUGCCGGCUCAGUCUUCAACUGUUUCUCAUAGGAAGUAGGGUGCGAUAUAUGGUGAGCAUGCGUACGUGUAAUUAAGCGAGGAUCGUGUUUGUACCGUAUUUCGUAUGGAAAAAACAUCAUAAAAAGGUACAUUAAACAAUUUGGGUAGGUCAGGAGCAGGAGGUAGAAUACCUGAUUUGCUCGGCGAUGGAGUACGUAGACGAACCACAACAGUCCGAGGUUGAAGAUGACCCAAAGAUUGAAUCGUGUUUGACGACCUGACCAGCAAGCAGCUUUUAGCCUGUCACUGCGCCAGCAAAUUGAAGUUAGCCGCGUUUCAACAAAAACACUGAUAACAUAAGCCUAGCUAGGCCAGCCUUGACGCUCGAUCGAUCAUCUUUCACGAGUCAACGGCACCCAUCGUCAUGAGUAAAAAGAAGCAAGGAAAAAAAAGAAAAAAAAUCCGAGAGCAGUCAGAUUUUUAUUUUCUUUCCUUUUUUUUUGAAUGAGUAGUAGAGACAGAUUGACCAUGACUAUAGCUGGCCAGACGGGCCACCUGGCAUGGCACUAGUACGGGUACUAUCUGGCAUGACACUACGUGGCACGGCACUAUGCGGCAUGAUAGGUUAGCCGUGCCGUGCUGUGUAGUGCCACCGUGCCUAAGUGCCGGCACAGGCACGGCACUAACAGCCCGUUAGCGUGCCGUGCCAUAGGGCACACCAGCACUGCAGUGCUCAUGCCGGUCCUGGCACUAUAAGUGUGCCUACCCCUCUUUUUACUCAGAAUUAUAAGCACAAUUAAAAAAUAAUGAGAUUCAUAGGCAAAUCAGAAUUUUAUCUUGAUAUAUUCAUUGAAUUCAGAUCAUAAAGUAACACAAAGUCACAAAUACAGGCAGAGAUAACAAAAUAACAUUUUAUUAGGAGCUUUAGUGCAAUGGCUGCCUCAUUAAAAACCUAUCUAGGUAAAACUCAGCCUUGUGAGAAACCCUAGACAGGAAAAAAGAGUGCAGCCUAGCUCCAAUUAUAAAGUUCAUCAAAGUCCAAUGCAUAAUAUUACAGUCCCAUUAUAUAAAUGAGAACUAAUCAAGAUAAAGUUCUUCAAAAGCUUCUUCAAGCUCCUUGUCCUCCACCAUGUGUUGCAGCCUCGCUUCUACAGCCUCCCAGUCUUUAAUGCCGGUGAGCAUCUCCACCAUUUCAGGCUUUAGCUCCUCCGCCGCUCGUCAAUGAUCCUGCCAGUCAUACUAAAAGUGGAUUUUGAAGAUAUGGUUGAAACAGGAACAGUUAAAAUAUCUUUGGCCAUGGUUGACAGCACUGGAUAUGUGAGUUUGUGCUGAUGCCACCAGUUCAAAAUGUUAAAAUCAUCUUCUAAAUGGUUCACAGUGUCACAGUCCAAGUAACAAACAAGUUUAAAAACAUUACCACAUGAAGAACUUGCAGCCUGCAGUAGGGCAGUUGGUAUUUCUAGCCAUGCUUAGAGUAGCAGCUAGAGUAUGCAUACCAUCAGCAGAACCACCAACAUCAUCAUUAUCAUAAAUUUUAUCCCAAGCAGACCUUUUCUUACCAGAUAGGUUAGGAGGUACUGUAACAACCUUGGUUAAUCAGCCGAGUUAAUCUUAACCCGAGUCCCUAAUUCCGCUGACUCAGCCUUUCCUGAGCAUGAGCGCUCAAGGUCUGGUUUUUGGCCCCGAUCCCUGAAAACCCAACCAAAACCGCUAGUUCUUUAUAAGUCCCAAGGGUAGUGUUCCUUCCAAUAUUGGAGCUGUGGAGAACCAGAGACUGAUUGGUGGACCCGCAAUCUUUUCCCUUGUUCUCUCGAGACCAACGCGCCUGAGCAGCAUGCGCCCGCUUCAGAGCUCCCCCGCCGCGUGGCUUGAUCUCUCCGACGCCCGCCGCGUCGCCCAGUCGCCGGCCGUGACAGGAUGGAUCAGCGCGCCCUCCUCCCCAAUCGCAGCGGAAGCCCCUGCAACCCUUUCUGCCUCGCCUCGUCUCGCUCGGGCCCUCGCCGGCUGCGCCAAGGUGCCCCAUCGCCGCCGUGGCAGAGUUUUUGCUGCUACUGCUUCAGACCGCCUCGCGACCCGCACCCAUCAUCUCGCCCGGAUCCCUGGCUGCGAGCUCCGAUGCCUUCCGGUUUUUCCGGCACUCCAUAGUUGCGCCGCCCACGAGCUCGCUCCACGACGAUUCCACCCUCGCCAACCCCGACUCCGGCAGAGACAACUCCUUUUUCCGCCUCGCCAGUAAUGUGCCCCGGCAAGCCGCUGUUUGCGCUCGCUCGCGCCGCCGCUCGCCCUGUUACCUCGCCUGCUGCACCCUCGCUGGCAGCGCCUUCCUCCCUGUCACACGCCAGUCACAUCCGCCGCCCACACUCCAUCGCUUGACGCGACCAGACCACGCUCGUCUCCGCCAAAUCUAAAUCCCGGCAAAGCCGCGCCUGCGCCGGCCUUGUCUCCAGUGCCCAAUAGCUGAAGACCCUGUCUCCAAGGAUCUGUUCCGUCACCCAUCGCCGCUCAAUUGCCGCCAGGGCAGCGCAGUCCAUCCUUUUCUUCUCGGUCUUCGUGCUGCUCCAACUCUCUCUCUCUUUCGCGUAGUUAUAAAAAGGAGUACCAGAGCCCCACCGGAGUUUCCUUCGCCAUCGCUGUUUCGCCGCACCUUCUCUGAGCGUACUUGAGCACUACCGCUGAGCUCUUGAGAAGUUCCCCUCUCCGCUCAAACCCGCUUCUCCCCAAUCCACCAAGCCGCCUGUUCCUCCGCGCUGUGCUAGAGCCUUCUUGUUGCCCACAAGAAGCUCCGCCGCCGCCGGAGCACAGUCAAACCUCGCCGCCACCCAAGCCUUAGUGCUUUAGUCUUUCCGCCCAAGUCUGCUCCUUCCCGACCCCAAGCUUUACCUAUAAACCUGAAGGUAAGCUGCCGACCCUUCCUAGUUCGCCCGACCCCUUUUUCCGCCUUGCCCUACCCUGUCUGUUUCGCCGACCCUUAUCCGCCUCGCCCGAGGACUCGGCUGUAUCCUUUUUCCUUGACCCGAGGGUAUCUGUGCAAAAUAUUGGGGACUCCCCGGUGUUAAGUCUGAGGACCCCGGCACAGUUAUUCCCUAACCUUAAGGGUCAGAUCCUAAGUUUAUCCCUAUCCGACCCUUUUAUCCUGUUCUUCCCCAACUAAAGUGAAGUCCCCCACCUUUUCUGUAGCUUUGCUACGAGUGUCUGAGCUUAAACUUGCAAGUGUUGUUGAAAUAACCGUCUAAACACUAACUCCUGCAUUUGCAUUCAUGUAGAGUUACAUCUCGCUGACGGCGUCUACGAGCUACACCCGGCGCCCGAAGACGGAGCUGUAGCUGAGCUGCCAAUCCCAGAAGCCGAAGCAGCACCAGCUGAGGACUAGUUCACCUCCUCUUCGCUUGAAGGCAAGCCCCGGAGCAUGAACCCAUCUUUCCAAACUUGCGCAUGCCUUCCUGCUCAUGAUUGUGCAUUUACGUAUAGGAGUUGUUUGCAACCAUAGAUGCAUGCCAUAGUUCCUUUGAAAUGUACACUAGUCUGUUGGGUCGAGUAAUUGCAAUGCUUAAAUAGGAAUCGGUAAAAGCCGAGUGAUUGCCUGUCACUCGUGAGUUAUAGGGUUUGGUUGUUUUCUUCUGUCACAAACUAUAAGGACAAUGGACGGGGUAGGGUUAUGGUUAACUCUUUUUGUGGUCGGCUGAUCGCCCCGUCUGUUUAUUAAAUCUGUUAAGGCCCGAUAGUGGUGGUAUUCGUGAUCAAGUGUUUGAAAGUACUAAUCUCAUACCCAAUAUGGGAUGGGGAAGCCUAGUACCUGAUUGAACCUAAAUGUGAGCGGUCGCUCCACUGUCCUUGGAACGAAGUUCCCCUGCGACCGCACGUGGUGGCAAGUAUGGUCACAGAACAGCAGAGGCCAGGUCUGUGGAACCUUGCACCAAAGGAAGUGGACCCAACACGGGUUAGGGAAUUGAUGGGGAAGGCCGACACAGGAAGCAACCCUCAGUGGUGCGCGGAUGUCGUGAGGUUAGGUUCACCAUGCAUGGUUAAAGAACUCGAAUCGAUUCGUCUGCCUCUCACAGUUUGAGACUGCUUGAUCGCAAUACUACACUGAGUAAUGAAGGAGUCUGAUGAUGACAUGGUUUUGAUGAUGAGCUUAUAAACAUAAAGUUGGAUCUAUGCUUGCUUAGUGUAAGUUGCCAACAUAGACUGGUUAAUGAACUUAGAAUCUAAGCUAAAACUUGAAAAUAAGGACCUAACAUAGUGCUUUUGGCAAAACAAACCCCUCAGCCAAAGAGCCGUGCAUGUCUAGAAGUGGUGGAAUAGCUUUUUCCCACCGGUCGGUUAAGUCUUGUUGAGCUUAGCAGCUCAGCCUUGUUUGUGGCUUCUCUUUUCAGGUGAAGUUGCAACUUCUGAGCUUGCUGCUGGCACUUGGCCGUCCCAGCUCCCUCCGGGUUGGACGGUCGAGUGGGAUCCUUCCUCGGAUGGCGGGUAAUAGGAUCAUUGAUGUCCUGGCUGGUCUCACAAGGGACAUCCGACCCCGACGAGUAGCUUCCGCUUUGUGUUUACCUUCUGUUGUUUUCUUCAGAAUUUGUAAAACUCUGAUUUUAACUAGUGUGUAACAACUUGUUAAUCAAAUUGUGGACCUGUUGUAUUCUCUGGAACCACUCACCUUCGUGUGACCUAUGCUAACUUGAUCCUGUUAAGUGGUUAAAUCGGAUGAAAUCCGACGGCACAUCGAGUUAACUUGAUUAAGGCAUGGGUGUCACAUGUCAACCGACUUAACCGAGCUUUAGUCAAGAUAAUCCGAGGUGUUCCGCCAUAGCUGGUAGCAGAGCUGGUUUAGCAGGACAGAGAACACGAUGGGUCCUAAAACACGAUCUUUUUGAAUAAAAAUUUGCAAGAAAAAUGUUGAAAAAAAAAUCUCGUAUGAUCGUUAAGUAUGACUUUAGCACGAGAGGCCCUAGGGGCUUUGGGGUUAUUUUAGGUGGCUAUUACUUAUUGGUUAUCUUGCUAACCCCCAGCACUUCACCACGUGUAUCAUCAAGUGACGAGUUCUGCAUCACGAGUAUGCGAGGGUUGAUAGGGAGUUCUAUUCAAAGGACCCUAUCAUCGCGGUUGUUUCGCCCACGUCUAUCAUACGUGCGUAGGUUCCGUGUGUUGAUUCAUAUGAGGGGUGGUAUGAUUCGAUUCCAACGAGCCUAUAAUCACGGUUGUUCGCCCACGUCUAUUAUACGUGCGCAGAUUCCGCAUCUGAGUAUGCGAAGGGUUGUACGGUUCCAUUCAAAGGGGACCUAUUUCCACGGUUGUUGUACUGUCCAUGCAGCCUUAAACGCAUGGGUGCCGUUUCUAUAGUGAACAGUAAUGCUUGGGGACGCUUUCGUGGGUGCUGGCACGAAAGGUUCAGGUGGCUGUAUUUUCUGUAGGUACACUAAUCGUGUUUGCUUAGGAGACGCUACUAGAACCCGACUAGCUACUAUAGGGAGAGGCGUACUGGUUGCCUUCCCACCGGUACAGACUACGUAAGACCAAAGUUUUGGCAGUUGUUUUGGUUAAGAGGAUGAAGUAGAUCGUGCAUGCGUCAUAAACUAAAAUCUGUGAAACCACCUCCCUAGAACAACCUUGCCUUGGUCAAAGCUCUUCUUCGGUUUAAGGAUUUCUAGCUUCCUUUCCAGCUUACGCUUUGUUUUGAAUUCCGAGUGUUUUUCUUGCCCGAUCUGUUCUUCUUCUUAGAGUCUCUAUCUCAUGUUGUUUCGGUUCUUGGUUCUAGAUGGCUGCCCCCGGGCACGUGUUUUACGGCGCUGACGGCGUUUCCCACUCUACGUGCCUACACUUUGAGGGUUUUCCUGCUAUUCUGUGGGAUACCUUAAGGUGGUUUAGGUACCAGUCCCCGCCUCUGUACGUGGGACGGGAGUACCAAGAGCACGGAGUGCAGAGAUGCAAUGUGCAGGUGAUUGUACCUCCACCUCCUGUGCAGCCCGAGUGGCCCCCGCUCGAGGUCUUGACCUAUGGUCAUGCCUUGGAGGACACCUGGGAGUCGGCUGCCCUGCAGACCGUCACCCAGUUCUACCGGCUACACCCGCUUGAGGUCACCUUGGACCCAAUCAGCUUGUUUCCCACCAGGGAUCGGCUGGACCCAACCUAGCUUGACCGCGUCAACAACAUGGAGGUGUUGGCAACCUCCCAUUCGCUGGUCACCAUCUCUACCACCACCCGGUGCAUGUCAGCACUAUACCGGCUGAUUGAGCUUCAAGGCCGAGCUAUGGCUGUCUUGGCUCGGAUAGCCGCAGACACUCAAGGGUUUUUCAACGCCGCCAAGAGAGGCUUGGUGGAAUGGUCAUAUCAACUCAUCCAGAGAGGCAAACAGAUCCAUGACAUGCAAGCUAGGAUCUCCGAGCUCGAGGAAGAAGUGACAGACAUGGAGGAUGGCAUGAUCCAGCUUGCCGAAGAGAAGAUGGAAGUUGACAUGGAGCUCGCAGUUGCUAAUGCUCAUUUGGACGAGCACCACACCGAGCUCGAUGCUAUCCAUGCCCUGAAGAUGCAGUUGGACGAACAAGAGGAUCCUGAGGAGGUCGUAGGAGCAUCCAGUAUGGACAUUGAAGAUGGCGACGCCCCUUCUCUGACUCAUAGUGUUCCCUCAUAGGUUGAGAACUGUAAGAAGCUGAUCUUUUGUUGUACUCCUUGGUGACCUAAUUUUUGGAUCGUCAUGUAAUAGGUUAGCCUUGAGUUGAGUGUUCCUCCUAUGUUUGGAAGAACCGCAAUGAAAUGAUCUUAGUGGAAGCAGUUCUUGUUCUUGACCCUUUGCGACACGCCUUGGAUGCCACGUUGUGCGAGUUUUGUGUUGUAACCGCACGGGAAAGUUCUAUGGGUCUGUCCCAAAGUUGGCUGACCCCGAGUCGCAAGGUCGGAUGCGGUCGACCCCUCGAAACAGGUUUCCGCAUCGCCCGACCCCUUGGCCUAAGGUCGGAUGUAUGAAACCCAUGGGAUACGGUUUUGGUUCGCCCGAGGUUGUGUGCAGAACUAAGAUAGUUGCUAACUGAGAUGGCAAGAAGAAGUGUGUAUCCCCUUAAUGAGAAAUGCUGUUGUGUUGCACUAUCAGCAAGAGUCGUAAUUUGGGGAUUUAAAGUAUAUGUUCCUGCCUGAUUGGUAUACUUCUGAGGUUAUGGAAUUAAUGGAGCGUUGGCUCUUGCAAAUGGCGCACCGCACCCGAUCUGGCUCUGUGCCCAGCGGCAGCGAGCAGAGGCAGGAUCUUCCUCCACCUUCGCCCCCACCUUCGCUGGAAGCCAUCCUAGCGUCUCAAACUGAGCUGCUAAGGCACAUUGUACAAGGGCAGCAACAGCAGCCCCAUGGAGGGAGAGAUCAUCAACAACCUCAAGUUGCUCGUUAUGAGGACUUCUUGAGCACGCAGCCCCCAACCUUCCACAAGACUGAAGAGCCGCUCGAUGCAGAUGCAUGGGUUCGUACGAUCGAAUCCAAGUUCGAACUCCUCACCGCCCCAUGCCCUAACCAGAACAAAGCCCGGUUCGCGGCUCAACAGCUGCGUGGUUCCGCCCGGCUUUGGUGGGAUCACUACCAUGCCAUGCUGCUGGCUGACCAUGCUGUCAGCUGGAACGAAUUCAAGACCGCUUUCCGAGGGCAUCACAUUCUAGAAGGUCUCCUGGAAUGCAAACUCAAUGAGUUCUUGGCCCUUACCCAAGGAAGCCAUGACAUCCUACACUAUGCACAAGCCUUCAACGACCUGUGCCGCUACGCCGGCUAUCACGCCGAUACCAACGAGAAGAAAAGGGAUAGCUUCCGCAGAGGCUUAAGCCUGGAGCUAAAAGAAAGGUUGAAUCCCAUCAAGGUGGAUACCUAUAACGAGUUGGUGAAUCUAGCCAUCUCUCAGGAAGAUUGCAUGCAGGCUCUCAAGGCCAACCAGAAGCGGAAGGCCUUAGUGGCGUUACCGAGCCCGCCCGCUCGGAGAUUCAGGAUGGUUCCCCCUCGGUGCCCCACCGGCCACCACAGUCGGGAUGAUGGAUUGCUCGCCCUCCACCUCCCACGGCACUUCGUUUCCCCAGUUUCCAACCGCAGGCGCCCUGGCCGACCUUACUGCCGCCGCGCCCUGUGAAUAGCAACCGCUGUUUCACCUGCCGAAAUGAAGGGCAUUUUGCCAAGGACUGCCCCAGGAACAAGCAUCAGCAGACUGGCCAAAACACCACGGCCAACAGAGGAAGAAGGCCCAAGGUGCAAGUUCGCCAAGGACGGCUCAACUACACCAGCCUGACCGAGCUCCCCGAAUGUGCGCUAGUAAUGACGGGUACCUUCCUUGUCCAUAAUCAAACUGUUGUUGUUUUGUUUGAUUCAGGAGCCUCCCAUAGCUUCAUCGGGAGUAAGACUAGUGAGAGAUGUGAGCUGAGUAUUGGUCACACUAAAGGAUCAUAUGUGAUCUCCACUCCGGGAAGGAAGAUAGCCUCAGACAAGAUAGUUACCCUUGUACCUAUCCAGCUAGGCCAAACUCUUUUUAGGGAGAAUCUCAUCAUCCUUGACCUGGAAGGAAUAGAUAUCAUCCUUGGGAUGGAUUGGAUGACCCGACACCAAGUGGUCCUAGAUGCAGCUGCCCGAGCUCUCCACAUCAACUCACCCUUUCAUGGCAACUCUACCCUAUCCAUGACCCGCCCUGAGUACACAACUCCUUGUGCGUACCGUGUAUCAGAAGCCCGGAUAGAAAACCUUCCUAUUGUCCGCGAGUACCCGGAUGUGUUUCCAGAUGACUUGCCCGGCAUGCCGCCAAACAGAGAUAUCGAGUUCGCCAUCGAACUGCAGCUUGGCACCGCUCCGAUAUCUAAGAGACAUUAUCGGAUGCCACCCGCCGAGCUGGCCGAGUUAAAAACCCAACUGCAUGAUCCGUUGGAGAAAGGCUUUAUCCGACCCAGUACUUCACCCUGGGGUUGCCCAGCCUUGUUUGUGAAGAAGAAGGAUGAAAGUCUACGUAUGUGUGUGGACUACCGACCUUUCAAUGCGAUGACUAUCAAGAACAAGUAUCCACUUCCCCGCAUCGAUGUCUUGUUCGAUCAAUUGGCUGGAGCCAGAGUGUUCUCCAAGAUUGAUCUUCAUUCCGGUUAUCACUAAAUCAAGAUCAGACCCUAUGACAUUCCCAAAACUGCCUUCUCCACAAGAUAUGGACUCUACGAGUACCUGGUUAUGUCUUUUGGACUUACCAAUGCACCCGCCUAUUUCAUGUAUCUCAUGAAUUCGGUGUUCAUGCCCGAACUGGACAAGUUCAUGGUGGUGUUCAUUGAUGAUAUUCUGGUGUACUCUAAGAGUGAAGCAGAACAUGCCGAACAUCUUCGUGUGGUUCUCCAACGGUUGAGAGAUCAUCAGCUCUAUGCCAAAUUCUCCAAGUGUGAAUUCUGGUUAGAGAGUGUCAAGUUCUUGGGACACACCAUCUCUCGAGAGGGCAUAGCAAUUGACCCCAGCAAAGUAUAGGAGGUCACGGACUGGAAGCUGCCUACUUCAGUUCACCAGAUCCGAAGUUUUCUUGGACUAGCAGGCUACUAUCGGCGCUUCAUUCCGGCUUUCUCCAAGAUAGCUAAGCCGAUGACUGAACUGCUGAAGAAGGAGGUCAAAUUUGUGUGGGGCAACAAGUGUGAAGAAGCUUUCCACACCUUGAAACACUUGCUGACCUCAGCCCCAGUUUUAGCUCAACCUGACCCCUCCAGGCCGUUCGACGUAUACCGCGACCCCUCUGGCACUGGACUUGGGUGUGUUCUUAUGCAAGACCACCGAGUCAAUGCCUAUGCCUCGCGGGCGUUGCGACCUCAUGAGCUGAGCUAUUCGACCCAUGAUCUUGAGUUGGCAGUAGUGAUUCAUGCCUUAAAGAUAUGGAGACACUAUCUGAUGGGCACCCACUGCAACAUCUACACCGAUCACACGAGCCUGAAGUACAUCUUUACUCAAGCCGACCUUACUAUGCGCCAGAGAAGAUGGUUGGAGUUGAUAAAGGAUUAUGAUUUGGAAGUGCAUUAUCACCCCGGCAAGGACAACGUGGUGGCCGAUGCUCUUAGCCACAAGAUUCAUUGCAAUUGCCUGAUGGCAACCGACUUCACAGAUACCCUGUGCCAGGAGAUGGGAAAACUCAGUUUGGAAAUUGUUUCCCAUGGAACCCUCGGUCAUAUAUCCCUUGAGUCUGUUCUAGAGGACCAAAUUGGGUCAGCACAAUUAGAGGAUGAGGAAGUAAGGCGAAUCAAAAGGAAGAUUUCAUGGAAGGAUGAAGGGUACAAGCAAUUCCGAUAGGAUGAGAAUGGGAAAGUGUAUUAUGGAAAUUGACUUGUUGUACCAUCCGACCCCAAUCUAAGAAAGCAAAUCUUAGAUGAAGCUCAUCUCUCCAAGUUCUCGAUCCAUCCUGGCAGCAAUAAGAUGUAUCAUGAUCUCCGUCAAACUUUCUGGUGGAAUGGAAUGAAGCCAGAGAUUGCACGCUAUGUUUCGGAAUGUGACACUUGCCAACGUGUCAAAGCCAGCCAUUUAAAGGUAGCAGGUACCCUGCAGCUACUACCUGUUCCCUCUUGGAAAUGGGAAGACAUCAGCAUGGACUUCAUUGUUGGACUGCCCCUUACAUCGCAGCGACAUGACUCCAUCUGGGUUAUUGUGGAUCGUCUUACCAAAUCUGCCCACUUUCUUCCUGUUCACACCACCUACCUGACCAAGAAAUAUGCGGAGUUGUACCUUGACCGCAUUGUCUCCCUGCACGGUGUGCCUAGGACUAUCAUAUCUGAUCGAGGAGCUCAGUUUGUAGCACAUUUUUGGGAACAGCUACAAGCAUCACUUGGCACCAAGCUCAUUCGUAGCUCUACUUAUCACCCUCAAACCGAUGGUCAGACCAAAAGAGUAAAUCCGAUCCUUGAAGAUAUGUUGAGAGCUUGUGUCAUCCAUUAUGGCAAGAAUUGGGAUCAGUGCUUACCCUUAGCAGAGUUUUCCUAUAACAACAGCUACCAGACUAGCUUGAAGAUGGCACCGUUUGAAGCCCUAUAUGGUCGGAAAUGUCGGACGCCGUUGAAUUGGUCACAAGUUGGUGAAAGACAGACCUAUGGCCCUGAUUUAGUAGUGGAAGCAGAAGAGCAAGUGAAGGUAAUCCAAGCAAACCUCAAGGCCACUCAAUCUCGACAGAAGAGUUACUCCGACAGGAGAAGAAGACCCCUGCAGUUUGACAUUGGUGAUCACAUAUACCUUCGAGUCUCCCCGACCAAAGGAGUGCAACGGUUCGGAAUAAAGGGAAAAUUGGCUCCUCGUUACAUUGGUCCUUAUGAGAUUGUGGAAAUCUGUGGACCCGUUGCUUACCGGAUCCAACUCCCAGAACAGCUUUCGGCCAUACAUAAUGUUUUCCAUGUAUCCCAACUAAAGAAAUGUGUCCAAGUUCCAACUGAGGUCUUGGAACAGGAGCAACUUCAAAUCGAGUCCGACCUGACUUACACCGAAUAUCUGGCCAAGGUCCUCGACCGAAAAGAGAGACAUACCCUACGACAGACUGUGAAAAUGUACAAGAUACUAUGGAACAACCACACAGAAAAAGAAGCAACCUAGGAAACAAAGGAGUAUCUGAACAAACACUUCCGAGGUUUUCUUUCCAACCAAGAAGGUAAGAACUGCACACCCCCACUGGAUACCCUUACACCCGAAUCUCGUGACGAGAUUCUUUUAAGGGGGGUAGGCUGUAACGACCAUUGUUAAAUCAGCCGAGUUAAUCUUAAUCUGAGUCCCUAAUCCCUCUGUCUCAGCUCCCUUGAGCUUAAGCGCUCCAAAACCGGUUCUUAGUCCCAACCCCGGAGAGCCCAACCAAAACUGCCGGUUCUUUCUAAGUCCAGAGGCAGUGUUCCUUUCAAUCUUGAAGCUAUGGAACAACCGAGACUGACUGGUGGACCCACAAUCUUUCUCACCGGAUCUCCCGAGGCAGACGCGUCGAGCAGCAUGCGCCCGCUUUAGAGCUUCCCCGCCGCGUGGCUUGAUCUCUCCGACGCCCGCCGCUUUGCCCAGUCACCGGCCGUGACAGGAUGGAUCCACGCGCCCUCCUCCCCAAUCACAGCGGAAGCCCCUCUGCAAGCCUUUCUGCCUCGCCUCGUCUCGCUCGCGCCCUCGCCGGCCGCGCCAAGGUGCCCCGUCGCCGCCGUGGCAGAGUUUUGCCGCUGCUGCGUCAGACCACCUCGCGACUCACGCCCAUCAUCUCGCUGGAUCCCCGGCUGCAAGGCCCGAAUCCUUUCGGUUUUUCCGCCGCCUCUCCACAGUCGCGCCGCCCACGAGCUCACUCCACGACGAUACCACCCUCGCCAACCCCGACUCCGGCCGUGAUAGCUCGUUUUCUUGCCCCACCAGUGACGUGCUCCGGCAAUGCUGCUGUUUCGCGCUCACCUGCGCCGCCGGUCGCCCUAUCACUUCGCCUGUAGCAACCUCGCUUGUAGCGCCUUUCUCCCUGUCACACCAGUCAAAUCCACCGCUUGACGCAACCAGGCUACGCUUGCCUCCGCCAAAUCUAAACCCCGGCAAAACCAUGCCUGCGCCGCCUUGUCUCCAGUACCCAAUGGCCGAAGACUCUAUCUCCAAGAUCCUGUUCCGCCGCCCAUCGCCGCUCAAUCAAUGCCAUGGCAGCGCACUCCAUCCUUUUUCUUCCCGGUCUUCGUGCUGCUCGAAAUCUCUCUCUUCCGCGCCGCUAUAAAAGGGAAUGCCAAAGUCCCACUGGAGUUCCUUCGCCAUUGCUAUUUCACCGCCCCUACUCUGAGCGCACUUGAGCAAUCCCGCUGAAACUCCUAAGAAGUUCCCCUCUCCGCUCAAGUCCGCUUCUCCCUAAUCCACCCAGCCGUCUGCUCCUCCGUGCUGUGCUAGAGCUUCCUUGUUGCCCACAAAAAGCUCCGCCGCCACAGGAGCACCCUCCAACCUCGCCGCCGCCCAAGCCUUAGUGCUUAAGUCCUUCCGCCCAAGUGUGCUCCUUCCCGACCCUAAGUUUCACCUAUAAACCUGAAGGUAAGCUGUCGACCCCUUUCCGGUUCGCCCGACCCCUUUUUCCGCCUCGCCCGACCCUACAUGUUUCGCCGACCCUUAUCCGCCUCGCCCGAGGACUCGGCUGUAUCCUUUUUCCUUGACUCGAGGGUAUCUGUGCAAAAUAUCAGGGACUCCCCGGUGUUAAGUCUGAGGAUCCUGGCAAGUUAUUCCCUAACAUUAAGGGUCAGAUCCUAAGUUUAUCCCCAUUCGACCCUUUUAUCCUGUUCUUCCCCAACUAAAGUGAAGUCCCCCACCUUUUUUGUAGCUUUGCUACGAGUGUCUGAGCUUAAACUUGCAAGUGUUGUUGAAAUAACCGUCUAAACACUAACUCCUGCAUUUGCAUUCGUGUAGAGUUACAUCUCGCUGACAGUGUCUACAAGCUACACCCGACGCCCGAAGAUGGAGCUGUAGCUGAGCUGCCAAUCCCAGAAGCCGAAGCAGCACCAGCUGAGGACCAGUUCACCUCCUCUCCGCUUGAAGGCAAGCCCCAGAGCAUGAAUCCAUCUUUCCAAAGUUGUGCAUGCCUUCCUGCUCAUGAUUGUGCAUUUACGUAUAGGAGUUGUUUGCAACCAUAGAUGCAUGCCAUAGUUCCUUUGAAAUGUACACUAGUCUGUUGGGUCGAGUAGUUGCAAUGCUUAAAUAGGAAUCGGUAAAAGCCGAGUGAUUGCCUGUCACUCGCGAGUUAUAGGAGUUGGUUGUUUUCUUCUGUCACAAACUAUAAGGACAAUGGAUGGGUAAGGUUAUGGUUAACUCUUUUGAUGGUCAGCUGAUCGCCCCGUCUGUUUAUUAAAUCUGUUAAGGCCCGACAGUGGUGCUAUUCGUGAUCAAGUGUUUGAAAGUACUAAUCUCAUACCCAGUAUGGGAUGGGGAAGCCUAGUACCUGAUUGAACCUAAAUGUGAGCGGUCGCUCCACUGUCCUUGGAACGAAGUUCCCCUGCGGCCGCACGUGGUGGCAAGUAUGGUCACAGAACAGCAGAGGCCAGGUCUGUGGAACCUUGCACCAAAGGAAGUGGACCCAACACGGGUUAGGGAAUUGAUGGGGAAGGCCGACACAGGAAGCGACCCUCGGUGGUGCACGGAUAUCGUGAGGUUAUGUUCACCAUGCAUGGUUAAAGAACUCGAAUUGAUUCGUCUGCCUCUCAUAGUUUGAGACUGCUUGAUCCGAAUACUACACUGAGUAAUGAAGGAGUCUGAUGAUGACAUGGUUUUGAUGAUGAGCUUAUAAGCAUAAAGUUGGAUCUAUGCUUGCUUAGUGUAAGUUGCCAACAUAGACUGGUUAAUGAACUUAGAAUCUAAGCUAAAACUUGAAAAUAAGGACCUAACAUAGUGCUUUUGGCAAAACAAACCAUCAGGUAAAGAGCCGUGCAUGUCUAGAAGUGGUGGAAUAGCUUUUUCCCACCGGUCGGUUAAGUCUUGUUGAGCUUAGCAGCUCUGCCUUGUUUGUGGCUUCUCUUUUCAGGUGAAGUUGCAACUUCUGAGCUUGCUGCUGGCACUUGGCCGUCCCAGCUCCCUCCGGGCUGGACGGUCGAGUGGGAUCCUUCCUCAGACGGUGGGGAAUGGGAUCAUUGAUGUCCUGGCUGGCCUCACCAGGGACAUCCGACCCCGACGAGUAGCUUCCGCUUUGUGUUUACCUUAUGUUGUUUUCUUCAGAACUUGUAAAACUCUGAUUUUAACCAAUGUGUAACAACUUGUUAAUCAAAUUUUGGACCUGUUGUAUUCUCUAGAACCACUCAUCUUCGUGUGACCUAUGCUAACUCGGUCCUGUUAAGUGGUUAAAUCGGAUGAAAUUCGACGGCACAUCGAGUUAACUUGAUUAAGGCGUGGGUGUCGCAUGUCAAGCGACUUAACCGGGCUUUAGUCAAGAUAAUCCGAGGUGUUCCGCCACACAAGUGUGGUCACAGAAUGGCAGAGGCCGGGUCUGUGGAACCUUGCACCAAGGAAAGUGGGCCCGACAUGGGUUAGGGAAUUGAUGGGGACGGCCGACACAGGAAGCGACUCUCGGUGGUGCGCGGAUGUCGUGAGGUUAGGUUCACCAUGCAUGGUUAAUGAACUCGAAUCGAUUCGUCUGCCUCUCACAGUUUGAGACUGCUUGAUCGCUAUGCUACACUGAGUAAAGAAGGAGUCUGAUGAUGACAUGGUCUUGAUGUUGAGGUUAUAUACAUAAUGUUGGAUCUAUGAUUGCUUAGUAUGAGUUGCCAAUGUAGACUGGUUAAUGAACUUAGAAUCUGAGCUAAAACAUUGAAAGUAAGGACUUAACGUAGUUGCUUUUGGCAAACCAAACCCCUCAGCCAAAGAGCCUUGCAUGUCUAGAAGUGGUGAAGUAGUUUUUCACCGGUCGGUUAAGUCUUGUUGAGCUUAGAAGCUCAGCCUUGUUUGUGGCAUCUCUUUUCAGGUGAAAUUGAAACUUUCGAGCUUGCCGCUGGCAUUUGGCCACCCCAGCUUCCUCCUGGGUGGACGGUCGAGUGGGAUCCUUCCUCGGACAGCGAGGAAUGGGAUCAUUGAUGUCAUGGCUGGCCUCACCAGGGACAUCCGACCCCGACGAUUAGCUUUCGCUAUAUUUUUGUCUUCUAUUGUUUCUUUCAAACCUUGUAAAACUCUAAUUUCAACCAGUGGGUGAUGAAUUGUAAACCAAUUGUGGAUUUGUUGUAUUCUCCGGAACCACUCACCUUCGUGUGAGCUAUGCUAACUCGGUCCUGUCAAGUGGUUAAAUCAGAUGAAAUCCGACGGCAAAUCGAGUUAACUUGAUUAAGGCAUGAGGAUCGCGUGUUAAGCGACUUAACUGUGCUUUAGUUGAGUUAAUCCGAGGUGUUCCGCCACAGGUACAGUCCUCCUCAACCUAACACUUCCAUAUUUCUCCUCAUACUUAUUAUAGACAUCAGUAAGUCGAGCUCUAGUGCAAACCGUUGGCACUGUAAUCUGUACUGUACCAGUAAGGGUACUGUCGUUGUUAAGAUUAGCGGGUCAAGACUUAGACUAGUAAAUUUCUUUUAUGCGUGUAAGGCUUCAGAUGGUGGUGUGAGAGACACGGGUUUUAGACUGGUUCGGGCAAAAGGAACGCCCUACGUCCAGUAUCCAGCGCUGCUCGUGUUGCCCACGCGGGGUUCUGUAGUAGGGGUUACAGGAGUGCGAGAGAGGGAACCGGUCCCAGGUCUCUUGGAUGUGCACUGAUGCUCUAGAAGGGUGUGUGCGUGUGUUCUGUUGGCUUGGAAGUGUUGUGGUGCUUUUAGUUGUCCUUCGAGCCUCUUAUUGUCUCCGGCCCCCGAUUCCUCUUUUAUAGCAUGAGGAGGCCACCGGGGUUACAGGUGAGACCAAGUGUGGAGAGCAGUAACAAGAUAAACAUGGCUAGUAAAAAGAAUAACGAGAGGGGGGGUACAAGUCCCCAGGUCGCCGGCGGCCUCGCCGGCCUUCGGCUUCUACCGGCGUGUUAGCCGGAAGGGGGUGGCGGCCGCUGCAUCCUAUCGGCGGCCUCCUCGGCGACUGUAGCCGUCGGACGCGAUGAUGGCAUUUUGUCGUGACCCCGUGUCCGCUGGGGGAGGCGGCGGAUCUUGCCGUCCUGCUGAUGGCCUGUGGAGAGCGGACGUCGCAUCCCUGCCGCCAGGCGCGCGGGGCACGAGAGCAGGCGAGGCUUCUUCCUGCCCUGGGCGGUGCAGCUCAUGAGUGCCUUGUGGCCAAUCGGAGAAGGUCGCAGCCACUAUAGCAGAUACUGUGCGGCCGCGUAUGGGUACUUGCGAUGGGUUGCGUGGAGGCGCGGAGAUCCUUUCUUCUGACAGCUUUGCGGCGCAUUUAUGGUGGAAUCGACAGGGGGACCCAAGAGAUCCGCGCCCGAGGCGGAUACUUGUCUGGUGGGCCCGGUCCAGCCCGACCCUUUAUGCUUGGGGUCGGGCGAAGCGGAGGUCUGCGGCGGGGGGUCGGAUGCCCCCGACCCCGGUCCUAUGGUCGGGCGAGGCGGAGCUUGAUUUCGCGGGGGUCGGGGAUGCCUGACCCUAGGACGCCGGGUCGGGCGAGGCGGAGCGUGAUCCUUGCUCCCCGUGUUGGGCCGACGCUGGCCUUGUUACCUCAGGUGGGCCUGGGCCUUUACGUUUUGUCGUCUCCAUGGGCUUGGGAGGAGUCGUUAAUAUUUUCCCCCAACAGUAGCCCCCGAGCCUGUGGUGGAGCAGGGACGCUCCUCCAGAGGCUGUUGUCAUUGCCAACGGGGGGUCUUCGUUUUUGAUCCAGGACGGGAGGUGUUGCUUGGGUGGCUCGACCGAGGGGGUUAAUUAGGUGAUGCACCCUGUGAGCGACUCGGUGCGGGAGGACUUCUUGUUGUCCCCUUUCGCCCGCGAGCCUUAAGUCGAGACCACCCGCGUGGCUUUAGGUUGCGAGGCCAGCCCCCGAGCCCCUACGCGUUGCAGGGGACCGGUCGGGAGACUAGGUCGACUUUUGUGCGUUUACCCCUCAAGCGUCCGUUCGUUGGGACGGAGGGGACGAGCCGUGCCAUGCUAUCCUCGUCGGACGAACCGUGGUGCUCAUUGAGCUGCUAGCGGGCAAAUUCGAGUGGGGCCCCGGUCCCCGUUCGGGGAGGGGUCCGGCUUGGGCCAAGCUGGUGGCGUACCCCAGGUUCUGAUCGGCCAGUUCAUAUAGUUCCCGAAUCCGUUCGGUUGGAUCCGAGGGCUCGUUGCCUUUCUUCGGGGAAAAACCAUGAACUGUAAUACCGGUUCGGACUCGAAUGUGAGAUUGAGAUGCCCUGGGCUAUCGCGCACUCAGAUGAUGGUCACUUGCGGAGCCGUCUCUCCUCACCCCUCGCUCGGGGGCGUCCUGGAGCGGUUGUCGAACCCGUGGCGGGCCAACCUUCGAACUCCUGGACCAUAAUGGGCCGUAGGGGUGUUUUCAGCCCCGUAUCCCUUUCUUACCUUUUGGUGGGCCUUGGGUCGGAUGUGGAUGGAGGCCGCGCCUUGGGCCGGAUGCGGAGGAAGCAGCGCCUUGGGCCGGUCGUGGGGGACGUCGUGCGCGCAUCCCCGGGAGGUGAAGCGGUGGAGGGCAUCGACCCGCGAAUCGAGGGAGGAGGGGAUGUUUCUGCUGCCGGCCGUGCGCACGGUUUCCGAAAAAGAGGCGGGCGUGGUGGAGCGUACCUGGCGCCGUAUUUAUGGUGACAAGGGCGUCUGUUCCGCUCCCCCCGCGCUUUUCCUAUAAAACGGAAGCCAUACCUCGCUGGUUCCGCCCGCCGUCUGCCUUCAAGCUUUUCCACCGCCCUUAACUCUCCCGCACCCGCUUCGUCUUCCUCCGCCCCAGCGCCGCGCCCUUUCUCCUCAUCCCCCGUCGAGCCCCUUUCUCUCCGGCGAUGGGAUCUUGGGCAUUUUCCCACUUCGGCCCCUCGCGCGCCGAGGACCUAGUGAGGAGGGGUCUCCUCUGCGAGAGGACGGAGGUGGGCGAAUGGGAGCUCCCGGGAUGGAGCAGGCGUCGACGCCACCCACCCGCUAUGUCGUCUCCUUCGCCCACUUCCACGAGAGAGGCUUCGCGACUCCGCCGAGCCUCUUCUUCCGCGGGCUUCUUCAUUACUACGGGCUUGAGCUGCAGCACCUCAACCCCAACGGGAUUCAGCAUAUCGCGGUGUUCAUCGCGUUGUGCGAGGGGUUCCUGGGCAUCAAGCACAACUUCUCGCUGUGGAAAUACUUCUUCACCGUCACCCUGUACCAGAAGGUGGAGAAGAAGGGAAGCCAGCAGCGGUCGCCCCCGGUGCCAAUAGGGUGUGCCGGAAUCCACCUCCACCAUACUCGUGCCAAGGAGUACAUGGCGAUGAAGACUGCGGCGUCCCACAAGGGGUGGCACCAGCAGUGGUUCUACGUGAAGAACUACUCCGACUCCCCCUUGCCGGCGUUCACCGGCCGCAUUAUUAAGGCGGCGCCAGAGGUGUGGGCGUAUGGCCCAGUUGACAAGGAGAAGAAAUAGAUCCAUGGCCCACUGCCGGCCAUUGAGCACCUGAAGGGGCGGGGGUUGACUAGAGCCGGAGUUAUCGGGGCGUACCACGCCCGGCGGGGGGUGCCGCUGAUGCUUCGGUUCCGCUCGCUGGCCGAGAUGGCCCCCGAUGCGCCGAUCGAGGGCACCGCCCUCGCGACAGGUGCGCUCGCCGCCUCCGAGAUCCGGCGACGGAUUCGGGAGGCGCUGGAGGACAAGGGCGCCGACUACCCGGUGCCCAGGCACCCUCCGAUGCGCCCGGACGAGAACUUCGUCGACCUGGUAAGGAAUUUGUGCGCAAACCUUCUUUUUUCGUGUUUCUUGGUUCGCCGCUCUAACGCGGGGCCUUUUUGCAUCUGCAGGGCAGCUUGACCCGGGUCGUGGACUCACGCCCGCCGGUGCCGGAGGACGCCGAGCGGCGGCUACAGAAUCGUCUCCUUGCUGAGAAACAGAAGCGCCGCAAGGACAAGGAGACGGCGAAGAAGAAGAAGAAGGCCGCCAAGGAGUUCCAACGGCGGCGGCGAGGGCAGGUCGUGUCGGACGACGACGACGACGACGACGUUGAGGAGGAAGAGGAGGAGGAGGAGGAGGAGUUUGUCCUGUCCCCCCGGUCGGGAGCGCUUGUCAUUCGGGAGACGCGCUCCCCAAUGACUGCGAGGGACGAAGCGGGCGGAUCGUCCGCCCGAGGCCUGGUCCCGCAAGGCUCUGGGGCCGUGCCCCAGGGGUCGGCGCCGAGCGCCCCCCAGGGGUCGGCACGGAGUGCUCCCCAGGGGACGGCGCGGAACGCCCCCCAGGGGUCGACACGGGGCGCUCCUUAGGGGUCGUCGGAACCCGCUCCCCGGGGGUCGACGGAGCCCGCUCCCCAGUGGUCGACGGUGCCCGCCCCCACCCCUGUGCCUGCGGCCCAGGAGCAAAGGAGCGGCGACAAGCGGCCGCUGCCGGACGCCCCGGGGUCGACGUCCGGCUCGGAGGCGAGGCGCGCACGCCGUCCUUGCGCCGGGGGAACGUAAGUUGAAUUUCCUCGUGAACCUCGUUCCCUUCCAUGCAUUGUGUUUGUUUCCGCUGAUGUCUAUUAACUGUUUUGCAGCGCCACCCCCCGAGGCCUCGUCCCGCAGCUGGCGCCCAAGAAGGCGCUGCGGGUGUUGUCCGCCCCUGCGGAGCGCACCGCGGCCCUGCAUGCGGUGAGCGGCGGGGUCCCUGGUGAGGUCGCAGGUUCCACCGCAGAGGUGGCCCCCGUGGCGGCGACCGGUGGAGUGGUACCGCCACCGGGCACGGGAGAGGGCGCAGACCCCGCUCCACCUUCGGCUCCUUCUGCUGGCCCCGCGCCGCGGGGUAUCGCCCCCAGGGCCCCCCCGGCCGGGGAGGUGAUCGACCUCGACGCCGACGAGGCAGAGGGAACAGCGACGGCGGAGACGGGGACAGAUGUCCCUGCGGCCGCAAUAGGGAUGGCGGCGGCGAUGGAGGAAGGAGAGUCUGCCCCCGCGGCCACGGCGGGGACAGCGGCAGCGGGGGAGACCGGGACGUCUGCCCUGGCAGCUGCGACAGAGGAGGCGGUGGCGACGGAGGCGGGGACUUCCGCUCGGGGGGCCAUGGCGGAGGUGGCACCUGUGGCGGAGGCGGAGCUAGCACCUGCGGCGGAGACGGAGGUGCCUACUCCGGAGGCCCCGACAGGGGCGGAGACGCCUGCCUCGGCGGUCGCGGCGGAGGGAGAGUCGGUCACGGGGACGCCCGCUCCAGUGUCCGCGUCGGAGGCGGCGGUGCCGACUGGCGGGCCCGCGGUGGCCUCGACGGGGGCAGGGGCACGUGUCCCGGGACAGUCGGUGAGCUCGGCGGCUUCCGGGGCGAUGGAGCCUGUUUUGACGGCGGCGUCGAGGUCAGCUUCCGCCUCUGCCUCGGCCACUCCCGUUCCCCGGGCGUGGAGGGGGUCCGUCCUGCGUUGGUCGUCCCGUCAUGACCCGCAGAGGCCCCUCUUCACGUUGGAUGAUGCCGCGGAAUGGGGCAAGUGGCAGGCGAUGCAGAGCGGCCUCGCCAACGCCUGCACGGCUCUGUCCUCGGCGCUAGGGCAGUUGGACGGCGUCAUCCUCCCUGGUAGCCAGGUAUGGUACCUUCUCCGUUGGUGGCUGUGUCCUCCCCGUUGUUCUACCCCUGAUGUCAUAUUGUUUUGCAGGGUCUCCAGGAAUGCAGUCGGGGGAAAUCUGAUUUUCUUCGGUUGGAGCAGGGGCUCUGGGAGCGCUUCAACUUGGAGAGACAGCGGACCGGGGAGCUGUCGAUGCAAGUUGCCGCCGCCCAGCAGGUCAUGGACAAUCUGCGGAGGCGCGAGCAGACGGCGUAGGAGGAUGCGCAGCGGGCGGAGGCCAAGCUCCAAGUCGUCGCCGAGAGGGCCCGCUGCGACCAUGAGGAGUUCCAAGCCGCUGUUGAAAAGGCCCGCCAUGACGCUGAGGAGCUCGCACGGCUGAAGGGGGUGCAUGAAGCCCUUCAGAAGACCAUCGAGCGCAUCCAGCGCGAGUGGCAGAAGGCCUGGCAGGACCAGGACGCCGAGAAGGUCCGGAAGAAGGAGGCCGAGAAGGUAGUAGCCAACCUUGGGGCGGAGGUCAGUCAGCUCCAAGUGCAAGCGCGGGAGCUUCAGGCCUGUGUGGCCGAGGGGCUCGACCGGGAGCGCUAGCUGAAGGCCCAAUCCGCGGGUAAGACUCCUUUCGUUUCUUUCUCUUUGUGGUGUUUGCGGUGGUUUCUGAUUUGGAGGGUCUUUCUGGGUGAUCCUUGCAGGCGAGCUCGCCCGGCUGAGGGAGGUGCUUGACGUGGAGCGCACUGAGCACGGCACCCUACGGGAUGCGGUCCGCGUCCUCUGCGACGACCUCAGCAUGGUCCAUGGGGAGGGGACAAGCUCGUUGGCGACUCGUGUCCUUGGGACGCACCGCCGGGCCCGCGAGAUCGCCCUGGAGGCGCUCCACACCGGCGUGAGGCGAGCCUUUGGGGUCUUCGGCUCCCAUUACUCCGGCAUCAAUUUCGCCGGGAUGAGCAGGGGGUACGCCGCCGGCUACUCCGAGGCCGAGCUGGACGAGAUCGACGCGUCGGUGCUUGACCCGGCGGAGGCCUUGGCGAAGCUCCUCGAGGAUGAAGCCGUCCCGCCCGAAGAUCCCUGGACGAGUUAACUGUAUCGGGCUGGCGCCCCAGAUGUAAAUACAUUAGUUUCAGACUUGUUUUGUGAUUGCCAUAGAGGCCUUUUCUAUAAAUUGUCGUGAAAAAGUUUUCAAUCCCCUUUCUUAUUUUUUUGGAGUUGUAAAGUUUAGAGCGCUUUGUCGGGUGUGUCAAUAAGCAUUGAUGAGCGAAGGCACCGUAGCCGCUGGGGCGUAGGUUUUUUCGCAGUCCGAUCAAUCUUGCCUGAACACCGGUCGUGCACUCUCUCCUUUUCAUGCCCGAAAGUUCAGAAAGAGGGUCGGCCGGAAAGAGAAAGCAUUUUGAGAGGAUGUCAAGUGGCUUGGGCCAGAGCCCCUGAUAGCCCCCGAGGGAUGUGCGACCCUGAGGCAGAGCCAGGGUCGGAUAUCCCUGAGUUCGAAGCGAAACUUGAAUGGAUCCAACUUAAAAUUCUUUUUUCCGUAAAAUUUUUAAUUUACAGAAGUGUCUAUCUACAAAACUUGGAAACGAAAGCUAAGGGUAGAAGCGUCUUAGCUGUUCUAUGUUCCAGGCGGAGCCGCCCCUAUGGGGGAGGCCCGCCGGCGCGCGCCCGGCCGCUCGCCGCUAUCCUGGCGGUGGAGCCGGGGAUGGGGGGACGAGCGGGCCAGACGAGGAGAGGGAUCAGCUCGAUCCCCUCCCCGGUGGCGAGGAAGUCCAGACUCCCGAAGCGGAUCAGGGAGAAGGAGCGAAGCUGGCGUCGUGGUUGGCCAUCUGAAGCUGGAGAUGUACGCGCAAAGGUCCCCUACCUGGCGCGCCAACUGUCGUUGUCAAGAUUAGCGGGUCAAGACUUAGACUAGUAAAUUUAUUUUAUGCACGUAAGGCUUCAGAUGGUGGCGUGAGAGACACAGGUUUUAGACUGGUUCGGGCAAAAGGAACACCCUACGUCCAGUAUCCAGGGCUGCUCGUGUUGCCCACGCGGGGUUCUGUAGUAGGGGUUACAGGAGUGUGAGAGAGGGAACCGGUCCCAGGUCUCUUGGAUGUGCACUGAUGCUCUAGAAGGGUGUGUGCGUGUGUUCUGUUGGCUUGGAAGCAUUGUGGUGCUUUUAGUUGUCCUUCGAGCCUCUUCUUGUCUCCGGCCCCCGAUUCCUCUUUUAUAGCAUGAGGAGGCCACCGGGGUUACAGGUGAGACCAAGUGUGGAGAGCAGUAAAAAGAUAAACAUGGCUAGUAAAAAGAAUAACGAGAGGGGAGGUACAAGUCCCCAGGUCGCUAGUGUCCACGCCGGCCUUCGGCUUCUACCGGUGCGUUAGCCGGAAGGGGGUGGCGGCCGCUGCAUCCUAUCGGCGGCCUCCUCGGCAACUGUAGCCGCCGGACACGAUGAUGGCAUUUUGUCGUGACCCUCGUGUCCGCUGGGGGAGGCGGCGGAUCUUGCCGUCCUGCUGAUGGCCUGUGCAGAGCGGACGUCGCAUCCCUACCACCGGGCGCGCGGGGCACGAGAGCAGGCGAGGCUUCUUCCUCCCUAGGAGGUGCAGCUCAUGAGUGCCUUGUGGCCAAUCGGAGAAGGUCGCAGCCACUAUAGCAGAUACUGUGCGGCCGCGCAUGGGUACUUGCGAUGGGUUGCGUGGAGGCGCGGAGAUCCUUUCUUCUGACAGCUUUGUGGAGCAUUUAUGGUGGAAUCGACAGGGGGACCCAUGAGAUCCGCGCCCGAGGCGGAUACUUGUCUGGUGGGCCCGGACCAGCUCGACCCUUUAUGCUUAGGGUCGGGCGAAGCGGAGGUUUGCGGUGGGGGAUCGGAUGCCCCCGACCCCGGUCCUGCUGUCGGGCGAGGCGGAGCUUGGUUUCGUGGGGGUCGGGGACGCCUGACCCUAGGACGCCGGGUCGGGCGAGGCGGAGUGUGAUCCUUGCUCCCCGUGUUGGGCCGGCGCUAGCCUUGUUACCUCAGGUGGGCCUGGGCCUUUACGUUUUGUCGUCUCCAUGGGCUUGGGAGGAGUCGUUAAUAUUUCCCCCCCAACAGGUACCCAACCUCCUAAGUACUCUAUUGGAACCUUUCAUUUUAGCUCUAGGGUUCAGGAUGAAUGCAAAAGAAUAAAGCAAAGGUAUGUCCCUCCAGUAUUUAUUAUAUUUGUCUAUCAUAGGUUGAACCACAUGUCUCAUGUGAGUAUCAUUAGCAUAAUUCUUUAAGUGCAUAGCAAUCUUAACAAGAUAAUGAAUCAUAAGUGGAGAUGUAGGAUAGUACACACCAGCAUCAUAAAACAGUUCAAAAAAUCUAAGCACUUUUUCUGCCAUAGCCCAAUUAUCAACAGUCAAAAGCAAUUGAUCACCUUCAGCCCUAGGAUAUUGAGCAAUGAUGAAAGUAGUGAAUGGGGACUUAUGAGGAAACAAAUGCUUAAGCAUUAGAUAUGUAGAAUUACACCUAACUUCCAUGUCCAGCUAAAACUUUCUAGGCCUAAUACCAGUGACAAUGCAAUAUAUGCAGCAAUUCUCUGGUUAGAUGAGUUUAAGAAAGAUAUUGCAAUUCUAAAUUUCUCAAUCAAUGGCUUAAGAGCAGUUAGAGCCUCCUUAACAAUCAGAUUGAUAAUAUGGCAUGCACAACACUGAUGCAAGAACAAAGAAUUAACUGCAUUGUCUAAUUCAUCCCUAUCAUCAACCACAACUUCAAUACCAAGAUAUUUAGAAAGAACAAAUCUAAGUUUUUGCAUGGCUGAAAUAUUAGAUGAUGCAUUAUCCAACGUAAUAGCAAACACUUUUUCUGUCAAACCAUAAUCAUCAAGCAUAGAUGCAACAUGAUCAGCAAUGUUUUGACCAUUGUGUGAACAAUCAAUCAACCUAAGACCAAGCACUCUCUUCUCUAGUUGUCAAUCAGAGUUUUAUGUAGUGAGCAACAACACUAAGGUAGUCCUCUUUGGCAUUACCAGACCAAAUAUCAGAGGUUAGACACACACAAUUAACACCAGCAAAAUUUACAAUCUCAACAAGCUUAGCCUUGCAAUCAGUGAAGUAUUUGAGCAUGUCUCUAAUGGUGGUUUGCCUAGAUACUGAAAACAUAUUUAGGAUUAUGAGCAGCUCUAAUGUAUUCUUCAAAUGCAUCAGAUUCACCCAAAGAGAUAGGAACAUCAAGCCUAGCAAGCAAUCUAAUCAGUUGAGUGCCAGCAACAAUAGGACAGUACUCCCAAUUACGAAUACUACCAUAAGGAUUAAAAGAGAUUUGUGACUAAGACAUGCGACUUUUUUCACGCCUUCUAGGGCAUUUAUCCCUAUGGCAGGUGAGGUGACCAGUGCCACCACUAGAGCGCUCAGAGUAUUCCUUAGAGCAAUGGAUGCAUUUAGCUCCAUACCUCACCUUCUUACCAUCCACUAUUUUGAAGAGCUUCUUGAAAUCGAGUCACACGGCCGAGGUAGAGGGGCGUGAGCGCUUACCGUUGUUCUCUUCCCCGUCCACUUCUUGGUCAUCGAUGGGAGCUUGAGCCACACGGCCGAAAAGCUCUGCGGUGUCCUCGCGCAGGUCGUCCUCAUCAUCAUCUCUGGCCAACCCGCACAACCGCCUCUCUUGGUUCGACCUGCCCUCAACCGUCUCGUCGUCGUCGGAUCCAGCCAUCGUCGCACGCCGACACCCCGAUUCCUUAACGGCUGCACACAAACAAGAGUUAGUUAGUACAGAUCACGGUUCGGGUUAGGGAUUGACUGAUUGAGUUAGAGUUACGGUUAGGGUUAUGGUUAGGGUUAGGUUCUCCUACCUUGACAGCCGGAGCACCGGGGUCACCGGCGAUGUCGACGAAGCACGGAUCCAGCGAGAUCGACUACGGAUCUGGCGAGUUUGACCACGAAUCCGGCGAGGACGACGCAGGACUUGGCGAGGCCGACAUGGAGAUGACGAGUAGGACGACGCGAAGCGAUAUCAAGAAUAGGGGAUAGGGUAUACAUGGUCGUGCAGCGGUGCCCCAAGAGGUCAAGAGGCCACCGGAGGGGGAGAAGAAGAGAGAAGGUCGGGGGAUGGAGAGGAAAGUCGCACGUCGGAGUCGUAGAGGAGAGGGAGAGAGCUAGAGUCCAGAGAGGAGAGCGAGCGAAGAGAGAGAGUGGCUGCGCAAAUGAGCUAGGGUUAGGGAUGGGGGAUGGGCACUGCGGCCGCGGCUUAUAUCCGCUCCCCCUCCAACGGUCAGAUUUAACGGUCGGAUGGAGCAGGGGAGGGGGAUCCAACGUCUCUCAACGUCUGAGUCGUGCCUUAUGCGGGCCGGCCUAUUAAGCGUGCCGUGCCUGUGCCAGCACUGCGGGCCGAAAUGGCGGUCCAGACACGGCACUAAGGCCCGAGCACCACGGGCCGGCCCUACCACGAGCACAGCAUCCAAUCCGACGGCGGGCAACCCCGCCGGCCGGCGCGGGGGAGCUAUAAAUGGGCCGGCGCGCGGCCCAGCUCGGCGUGCGCUGCGGCCGGGUCGGAUCUGAGACGAGCACCCCCAACUUAUUACCAUUUCAUCCUCAUCCACCCCGCCUCCUCCCGUCUCCCCCUCCGCCGGAUCUGAUCGGAUCCGCCCGACCACCCCGCGCCGCCGCCGCAGGUGAGCAUCCCCUCCGUCCCCGCCGCUCUCGCCGUCGGUCCGCCGUUCUGCUCUGAGUUCGGUGGGGUUUGCCCGCCGUAGGGUUUUCCUUUUGUUUUGUACUAGUAUCUUGUUUUCUCGGGGAGCCAGGGUGGUUCUUGAUCCGCCGCGCUGGCAAUGGUUUGCCUGGUUGCUUCGUGCCUCGGAUGGUAGUCUUGCGCGCGCGCGUCUUGCGCAUUUCUAGCCAUCAGCGUACAAGAUUGGUGCUCCCAUAACAGGUUUUGCGUUUUUUUUUUGUUAUAUGUACCGCGAAAUGUUUCCUUUUUCUUUUGCUAUAAUUCGAUAGUUAGAGAUGGGGGUUUCUUUCGUACCCGCCUGUUUGGAACGGGUAGUGAAUGGUUCUUGUCACUCGUAGAAUUCCUUGUGCCUUUCAUCCACUAGCCACACAUAUGGACCAUACUCUUGUGCCGGCGGAUCAGAAAUGCCAAACUUUUUAUUGGAGGAAUUUAGUUUACUUUGCAUGACGAAUCUCUCAGCCUGGAGUGUGUGGUCUUGUUAUGUGCCAACAAAACAGAAGGUUUUCAUGGCCAUAAGAUACAAAGAUGCCCUUUUUGUUGCUUGUUUAUUAGACUAAUGUUUCCUUUUUAUAUUUCCUUUUACUACAUGAGACAAUAGGACAAAUUUCGGUAAAGUAUUCUGGCCUACUGUGUUUGCUAAGAAUCCAGAUUGUCCUGUCAGUGUGAUGUAUAAACAUUUCAACAAAUAGAUUAGUUAUUGGUCUUAUGUAUAUGAGCAUAUCAAUCUCUGCUUUGUUGAUCACGAAUUUGUUUGGUUGCAGUAAUUUUUACUUUGCCUGAGCGAUUUUUUCUACCAUAUUGUCUGUAACUAAACAUUUGUAUUGCCUGCUGCAGAUCAGAAAAGAUGGCCGCAGUUGACACCUUCCUCUUCACCUCGGAGUCCGUGAACGAGGGACACCCUGACAAAUCCGCGGUGGCGUCCGCGGCCGAGGCGGCGACCACGGACGUGGAGCUGCUCAAGCGAGCCUGGCGCAACGAGAAGGCGGUGCCAGAGAUCCUCCGCUUCGACUCCCCACUCGUCUCCCGCGUCCGCGAGCAGAUCCAGCUCCUCGUACGCCCUUUGCUUCUUCUUCUUCUCGCCGUCCCUCCUCCUCUCCCUCUAUUACUUGUCUGGGUCUGAUGCGGAUUCGCUACUGCGAUGCCACCAGGAGGAGACGCUGGAUGAUUUCGCCGACAGCGGUGUCGACGAUCUGGUGGUCUCGCUCUACCAGAUGGACCUCGACCGCACGCUCUUCCUCCUGCGCUCCUACCUCCGCCUCCGUCUGCAGAAGGUCAGUCGCAUCAAAUCCCAAUCUGUUCGCUAAAACUGACCAAUUGUAAUUGUAAUUACCGAAUUGUUGCCAGUUUGAUUACUUGCUGGCUAUAGAUCGAGAAGUACACGAUGCAUAUCUCCAGGUCUGACGACCUCCUCAGCCGGCUGUCGCUGCAGGAGUGCCGGUUCGCUAAGAGGUAUCUUCUGACUGUGCGACUGGCAUUUGCCCCAAUUAUUUUGCAUUGGCUUGUGAAACUAGAUGAUUCUGAUGGGAAUCAAUUUCUUGUGUUUGAUCUGUCACUAGUUGCUCUGAGAUCAUGGAGAAGCAUCUCGAACAGUCGGUGCUGUCGAAGCUGCCGUAUGGCUAUGACUCGGUUACCAGACAGUCCUUAUCGAGCACUGAGGAUGACAUGGGUAUGUACCCUUCACUUGAUCUGCCAAAUUUUGGAGUUCCUUGUCCUGUUGCCGUACUGCUUCUGUCGUUUGCAGCUUCAGUCAUUACAUAUUUUGCAUAGGCUGCUGGAUGUGAAUAGUUGGUAAUAUAAGUUUCACCAUUUUUUUUGAGUUGGGCGGCCUGAUAGUUGGUACAAAGUAUCUUUGGGAAAUCUGGUCAUUAGUUGUACUCAAAAGUAGCGUUCCUACAUAACAAAAUUUAGCUUUCAAGUUAAUAGCAGCUCGGGUAUAAGAAUGCCUCUUGCCCUCAUGUGAUGGUUCUGAUUACCUACCGCAUCUUGGGACUUCCAUCCCCAAAUUAUCAAUAUGUUCCCACCAGGUUGCCAUGAAGCAUGACAAUUUUAUUUGAUUCUGAAUUUUAGACUGCCUUGUCCUUAUCAGGUUGAAAUUUGCUGUUCUGACAGUAUUCUUAUUAUCCUAAUGACCUCAUCCAUUGAUGCGUAACUAAUGCUUGAAUCUGUAAACUAAUGCAUAGGGACACGUUUCUAUUUGAUUUAUCACAUUUGGAUGCAUCAUAAUCUUAAUUUCAGUAGCCUAAUGGAAAGAAACGAACUGAGAGUUCGUGAUACGGUCACAAAAUGAUAAUCUGCAAUUGUAUAAAGUUACACUCCAGAGAGUGAUCAAGGAGAGACCCGACCAGGCACAAAUGUCAGUGUAUCUUUCUAGCAUAAUAACUAGGUUCUCAUGUCUCCCCAAUGCCCAAGGAUCCAUGUUCAGAAUCUUUAAAUCUGUAAAGCUGUCGGCCUGUUGCAUGAUGAAAAUUACCAAUCCUCUAAUGAACUGUUGUGCAUUUGGUUAAGAAACACUUUUGAAGAAAGCAUUCAGUUAAUAAUUAACUUUCUUCACGAAAGAGUUAACUAACAUGUCUGCAGUCACAAACAUCUAACACAGCUUUUGGAGAUGAUCACUAUAGGGCGUAGGCAUAGCUAGAACAGAAACCUAGCUUCACGUUUUCUAGAACAAGCCUUUUUUUGCUUCACUUUGAGGCAAAGUUCAAGAGUAAAUAAACAAUUCUUCCGUAUUUCUGAAAAAGUGAAUGCUUUUGAAUUUUUAUUUCUUAAGUUGUGGAAUUUAGGAAUAUCCAUGUAAUAGACCAACUUCUAAUUUGAUUUCGAUUUGAAAUGCCUUGUUUAGUGCCAGAGCCUCAGCUUGACACCUUUGUCUUCUGCAAGACUAAGAGCGACGUUGGAGCCUUCCAGCUAGAUGACAUGUAAGUGCCCAGGCACACUUCAAUUCUUGAUUUGCACUGUUGCAUGCUUUGCUUACCUGUGAUGCUUCGAUGCAGUGGAGAGGAGGUUGUGGACUUGGUUGCCAACGACUUGUAUGUUCUUCGGUACAAGUCCAUCAAGGGCCUGGUCGAGGGUGGCCAAAUCGAUCUUAUCUGAUGUCAAUCACAAAUCAGUACCUGUAAAAGAGCUUUUGGUCCAAGAUUCUUCUGAAUUCUUGGAACGGAUGGAAUCAAGGGGGGAAUGAUAUUUGCUCUGUAUCGCCACAAAGAUAACCUGAAUUGGUAAAUACCGUCUAAGUGCAGCAUGUGGCUUAGGCUCCAUAUGUAAGACUCACAUUGGAUUGUAUUUUGUAAGUUGUACAUGAAUGUGAUGGUACCAAACUUAGUUUAUCUAUUUUCGUGGGUUUUCUCUCCAUUGUUAAU